AUGACGACAUAUCCUUAGUCUUUAUUUAAAAGGGGAAAUUAUAAAAAAUUCUCCUCGUUCCCUAAAAAUCUAGGGUUUCUCAAGAAUCGCUAAACCUAGAUCCCAAUCCUUCAAAAUCUCAAUUUAACCUCUCUAGGGUUUCAAUUGUCGAGGAUUCGCUUCAAAAUUUAGUAUUUUUUAGGGGAUUUUGCUUGUCUCGUAUCCUUCAAUUGUUGUUCGGUUUUGAAAAUAAUUUGGAAUUUUAGGGAUUUUCAGAUUAUUUGGUUUUGCUUGAGUGCAAUUUCCUCUAGUUACGGUUUCAGUUUGAAGGGUUAAGUGCAGUUUGAAGGGUUAAGUGCGAUUUCGAAUAUUUUUAUAAAAUUAAAAUUAAAAUUCAUAAAACGAUUGGACGUUUAAUAAUUAAUUGAUGGCUAGCGAUACUACAACGGCGGCCGCAGCUGCGGAAGAAGCAGAGGCGGUGGAGGAGUAUGAUAGCGAUCCAGAUGAAGUGAAACACUCUCUUGCGAUGCGCAGAAGGGAAGCCAGCGAUGAGGAGGUUGAGGAGGAUAAAGAUUCAGAGCAAAACCAAAUCAAGGUAAUUACCGUCACUCGGCUCAAAUAAAUAGUCUCCUCGAUUCAACUGAUGACGACAUAUCUCAUAGUCUUUAUUUAGAAGGGAAAAUUAUAAAAAAAUCCCAUCGUUCUCUAAAAGUAUGGUGUUUCUCAAGAAUAGCUAAACCUACAUCCCAAUCCUGCAAAAUCUCAAUUUAACGUCUCUAGGGUUUCAAUUGUCAAGGAUUCGCUUCAAAAUUUAGUAUUCUUUUAGGUGGUGUUUGGUUGGAAGGAGAGGAAGGAGGAAAGUGAAGUAAUUUAAUUUUUUUUUUAUUUCUUUUGUUUGAUUUACCAUAAUUUAUAAGAAUUUAAUUUUCAUUAAAAUUUAAUAUACAUCAUGAUGUAGAAUUUAGAUUCCACCCCAAAGAGUGAUGAAUUUGAAUUCCUCCUCUAUUGAAAGCCAAAAUAUCCAAAAUUGCCCUUUCAAUUUUUUAUUAACUUGUUUAAUAUUAUCAAAUUAUUAUUAUUUACAAUUUUAUUUUAUCAAUUUAAUAUUGUAAAUAAUUAAUUUUGUAAUAGUAAAAGUUAAAUAAUUAAUAAAAUCACUUUAUUUAUUUAAUUAAUUUUAAAAAUAGAAAUACAAAUUUAACAGUCGCCGGAUCGCCGCUGCUGCUGCUAACAACCUCGCGUGAGACGUCACCACCUGUACUGUUGGAGUCGUUGGACGACAAGAAACGUCAUUUUACCGUCACGUAAGUGAAAAAAUGAAUUUAUGUUCCUCAAAUUCGGUUAACAUAAAUUUAAAAACUUUCUAACUAUCUCAGAUCCGGAUAGCAUUCGAGUUUUUUGGCCAAAUAAGUUGUUUCAAUCCAUAGAUCGUCAAGUUCUGAAAAUUUUCAUGUAAUUAGCGAGUUGAAAUGACAUGAUGCAGUGGUGGCCGACGGCGAGAGGCGGCAGCUCCGACAGCGGCGGCAACUCUUUUUUUUUUGUUGUUCAAAUAAAAUUUUAAAAUUAUAAUAUAUUAAUUAAGAAAUUAUUUGUAUUAUGUCAUAAUUUAUUUAGAAAUAAAUUAAAUUAAACUAAUUUUAAAAUAAAAUUAUGUUAAUAAACUUUUUAAAUAGAGUUUAAUUAUAAAUAUAAUUAUACUACUUAAAUAAAAUUUUAGUAGUUAUUUAUAUAAUAUAUUAAAUAAAUUUAUUGUUUAAUUUUUGAAUUAUAUUUUAUGAUAAAUAUUGAAAGUUUAACCCUAAAGGGUGAAAUUGUCCAAAUAAAAGUUAAGACAUUUUCUUUCUUUGUAUAAUUUUAUAACAAAUCAAACAUUAGAAAAGAAUUUUAAUGUACUCUCUCCUCUCCUCUCCUCUCCUCUCCCUCUUUUUCUUAAAACCAAACACCACCUUAGUGGAUUUUGCUUGUCUCCUAUCCUUCAAUGGUUAGUUCAUUUCUGAUAAUAAUUUGGAAUUCAGUUUGAAGGGCUAAUAAUUAAUUGAUGGCUAGUGAUACUACAUCGGCGCCCGCGCCCGUAGCUCCGGAAAAAACGGAGCCGGUGGAGGAGUAUGAUAGCAAUCCAGAUGAAGUGAAACGCUGUCUUGCGACGCGCAGAAGGGAAGCCAGCGAUGACGAGGACGUGGAGGAGGAGAGAGAUUGAGGGCUUCCAAUGGCGAAGUUUCCACAUUCCUCCGGGAGAAGCGGAGGCUGUUGAUGAGUACGAGAACGAUCCAGAUGAAGUGAAAUACUCUCUCGUGAUGGGCAGAAUGGAAGCAAGCGAUGAUAAGGAGGAGGAGGAUAAAGAAUUUGGGCGUCGAAUGAACCGUAGGGUCCACAUUCAUUCUUACGAUGAAUCUGAUGGCCAAGGUGGUGUCCAGCUGAGUAUGAUGAUGGUGAUGAUGAAGAACAUGACAGAGAAUUAGAAGAAGAAGAUGAAGAGGGGGAUGUGAUAUGACUUCAUAUCAUUUAAUUUGUAUAACCGUGACGCCAAUCCCAUUCAUCCUGGUCCGAUCCGAACGGAUCUUGUUGAAUGAAUUGAUCCAUUGUUGUAUGCCUUACUUCUUAGUGAUUUUUUUCCUACUUGGAGCCGCCUUUGAGUACUCCUGAGAGAUAGAGUGGAAGCAUUUUGUUAUGGUGGAGAGUGGGGAGUGAAAAAGCCCAAUUCAGCAGAGAACGACAGCAUGAAUCGGAAUCCACUUAUAUUAUUAAGACAGACGACCGAGAAAGAAAGGCUCCACGUUCUCCAAGUGAUUGAUCUUAGCGUAGCGCGCUAGCCGCUGCUUCAUUUCGUAUAGUGACAACGCUUUCUUAGCGCUCCGCCCCCCCCCGGCGCAUAGUAAGGGGGACUCUGGUUGCGCGGCUUUCUCUUACAGUGGUCUAUUUUCUCUGACUUUACUCAACUUGUGUCGGUUAGAGUAUCGCUUUCGUACGGCGAGAGUUAUUGAUUCAAAUCCAAUAGUAGUUAAAACCGGGGGAAACCCCUGCUUUUGCCAGCAUGACAGCAAGCACGGACUGGCAGCAAAUGUGGUGCGGGUUCAUCUCUCUCGAGCAGUUCAGGUUCAAGGGAAGGGUGCUCGAGGGGUACUUGUCUUGUUUAUCAUUUUUGUUUAAUUUUCAUAAAUUCGACGACCCACAAUUCAAUUAUGAGUGAAGAGUUUGUUAAAAAAAUGUGGUCUUCCAUUUACUAUAACUAAGUCCGUGUGAUGUAAUUAUUUUUCUUUCACUUAAUGUCUUGAAAAUUAUGAAUACAUUGUAGGAUUUAGAAGGAUUUUAAAGUUUUAAUGCAUAUGGGUUUUUUAUGUCCAUCCACUUAUGCGUAUCCUGCAUUUUAUGAUUAUCGUUGUUGGUAGAUUGACAAAUGGACCUUAAUUACAAGUCAAAUAACCUAAAUACUUAUCGGCCAAAGGAAGCCAUUUACAGUACUUUCUAGUGAAGCAAAGUAAAAUGAUUCAUACUGGCAAAGAAAAUUAGAAAGAAAAGGAGGAUUACUGAUCCACACAGUGUCGUUUACUAAAAGUACGUUGAUCUUACACUUAAUUUAUUAUAUAUCCAUUUAUAAUGUUCAAAAUGAUAAUGUACUAUUUCUUAAAUUAGGCUUUCAAAACAUCAUUUUGAUAAUGCAUAGUUGUAAUGUGUCUCUAAAUUCAGUAAUACAAGUUAUUUCUGUUACUAAUGGAUGAAGUGACUUGAAACUUGCAUGGUCAUUAAAUGCUGGCAUAAUCUCUUUGACUUCUCUUGCAUUUGAAUGAAUGGAUGAGCGUUGCAUUUGAAUGAAUGGAUCAGUGUUAAUGCAGGCAAAGAUUUUCUGGACUUUCAUGGAUUCACAAUAAAUGCUACGUCAAAGGCCUGGUAAGAUGUCAGCAAGCUGGUCGAAGAUAUCAACCUGAUUUGGUGGCUGCAAGAUUUGUUCAUCCAGGACCGUUUUCUUUGACAAUGAGAAAGCCCCAAUGUCUAUAAAUUGAGAACUCACUGAAUUGUAGAGAGAGAGAGAGGAAAGUGAAUGACGGGAGAGGCAGUGAAAAGAGAGAGUGGGAAGAUUUGGGCGUAAUUGGGGUUUCGGAGUGAGAUAAAAUAAUCAGAGAGUGGUUGUAAUAAUUUUUUAUACGGUGAAAUUUUUUUGUCUCGUGUUGUUUUUUGCAGUGGUGGUUUUUUACUCUAAUAAAAUAGUCUUCCAAGUAAAUUUUGUGUGUUAUGAUUGGGAUAUUCACCAUUUUAGUUUUCUAUUUAUUAUUUGUUUUACAUAUUGCUAGCAAAAAUCUGGGGCGAGAACCGAAAAUUCCCAACAAUUAUUAAUUAUUUUAAACUCUGUUCUGAACAGAGCAUGAAGGGUUUCACUUACCUAGUUACGUUUUUCAUUCUUUCACUUCACUUGAUUUCAUCUUGUCCCUCUCCUUUAUAAAAGUUGCAUAUAUUGGAGUAUCAAGUUCAUCACAAGGAUCAUAUUCUGGCUAACGAAGGAGCAAAGUUCAUUGGCUGCACUCAUGUGUAGCAGAGUAUUUGGAUUCAAGACUGUUAGAAGGUCGUUACAGAGUAUUUGGAUUCACUCUCCAAUUUUCAUUAAUUUAGUGUAGCCAAGCUUUAACUAGAUAGGUAGAUAACGUGGUCAUGAAAACUUGAUUAAGAGUUUAAUGCAAUCAAAUCUACUUUAAUGAUUAUUUAAUGCACGGAGAUUUAACAUCAAUUAUCAUCACGUUAGUCUAACAACGAAAUUGCAGAGCUUGGAUCUUUACUCGAACAGUUUCACUGGCUGUAUUUCUGACACAUUGGGCAAGCUGAUGGAAUUGCAAUUCCUGUAUGAUCAUUUCCCCAACUAUUAUUUGAAUAAUUAUUUAAUGCCAUUAUUCCAGCUCUGUUUGGCUGUUAACUUUAUUUAGUUAUUUAUGAGGAGAUUCAUUUCUCACCUGAAGCUAGAAAUUUACGGAUCAAUGACUUUUUAUUUUUUCUUUUAUAUGAUAGCUUGCAAUCCCUGGUGUGUGUUGAUAGUGCCUUACAUGAAUACAAAAAUGAACAAAUUUUUUUUUUUUUUUUGGGGCCAAUUGCAGUUUUGAUAACAACUAAAAUCUGUGUGGUCCGGUUACCACAAAGCCUUGCCCCAGAUCCCUGCCAUUUUCUCCUCCACCUCCAUUUGGGGAAAUUACUACUUACUUUUUGCAAGUUUUUCGUGAAAUAUUUAUUUUGAGAAGAAAACCAACAAUACAUUUUAUGAUUUGGGCUGUUUCAAAGAUCUUCGCUUGAUGUCUCUGCUACUGGUUUUCAGCAGAGUGCCCAAAAAUAAUCAGUGCACGCACUAUAGGCUCUAUUAUUAUUAGUAAAAAGCGUUAAUGAUAUAUUGGGAUCGACUUUUUUAUUUGGGAGUGGAAGGAUGCUUGAAAGAGUAGAGUGGUGCAUCUUGUUCAAACAUGCACCGUAGAGCCAAUUCCAUUUUAUGAAAUAGGAGUUAGACUGAACAACGUUAUGUCUUCGUUAUCAUUUCAGAAGGAAACAAAUCAAAUGCAGCAAUUGAUGUAGGAGUUGCUGUUGGCGCUGCUAUAUUUUUUACGGACUCUCAUACCAUGGAAAAACUCAGCUUUAAAGAAUGGUAUGAUGCUUUGAUAUAUGAAGUAAUUGGUAUAUAUUUUGUACCUUGCAUACAUUUUGCUCUGUUAAUGUUAUUAUUUGAUAACAUGUUUGUCGAGUUGCACAGUGUCUAGAAUUUUGAGAUUAAGAAGAGUAUAAAUGUUAUACAAAUACACUCCUUUCAUUUUAUACAACUUUGAUUGAUCAAGUUGUAUCUCUUUGAUAAAAGAGCAGUAUGACAUUUAUGUGCAAGCAAAGUUGCAUUCUGUUUUGGGAUCCUGGAAAAAAUAAAAGAAAGAAAACGCGGUACGACGCUGAUACUGUGCUCUUUAAUAUUUUUCUAGAUGCUUCAAUGGCAGAUUCUCGUUGGUUCAUUUUUCUUUACGCCUUAGAUUCUAUGAUUCAAUUUCAAUCAUAUACGACAAACAAAAGAAGCCUUUGGGAAAUUUACAAUAAUAACCAUUAAAGUUUUGCCUUUUUUCAUCUUAACCCCCCAAAAAUAUUUCUAUCAACAUUAGCCAUUAAACAACUUUUGAGACGAAAACACCCCUCCCUCAUCUCUCCCCCAACACUCCCUUUCACUCAUCUCUCCCAAACCGAUCCAACUUCCAUCAUCGGCGGCGACAUUAACCCUCGUCGGCGGCGGCUCCAUCUCUCACCGGCAUCCGAUCUACGAUCUACAACCUUCAACAAAACCUAGGUUAGUUAUUUUUCUUAUUUUCAUUAAUUUAAAAUGAAAUUUUAGAAUAAUAAUAGUUAUAGCUUGAGAAUAAUGGUGGUGGUGGUGGUGUUUGUGGUGGUUGGUGGUGUUUGGGAGUAUUGUUUUUCGAUUUUGUUGUGGCUUAAUUUUGGGGGUGGAGAGGGAGGGGGGCAGGGCGCGCGCCCAUGUGCGCCCCACUGUCGCACCAGCUUUGGUGCGACAGGCGCCUGUCGCACCAAAAAUUAUAGUGUCUUUUUUUUUUUAAACGAGUAUUUUUUUUUCUGUAAACGUAAUGUAAUAAUUUUAUAAAUAUUACAGAUACAUGGUGAAAUCAGAUUCACCGGAUAUUGAUGUAGGCAAGAUGUAUUUUAGUUAUGCCGAUCACUUUCCUGGUCGAAUUUCGAGCAUGUGUAAGUUAUCUUCGGUCAUAAAAGCCAUCGAGGAAAAAUUAACAAAGCGACAGUUGACUAUGUUCAAAAAGGAUAUAUUUGGGCAUUUCUUGGAGUGUCGAAGUUUUCCAUUUAGUGGGGUAAUUUUGCACAAUCUUUUACUGAGGCAAGUGGCCCAUGAAGAAGAUAGCCGUGAGGAUCAGUUAUGGUUUCAAAUUGGUGAGCAUUUGAUUCGCUUGUCAAUUGUCGAAUGGUGCUUGGUUACUGGACUUUCAUUUGGUGUUGAUACCAAUCAAAAAAAUGAAGAAAUGGAGCAGAGGCUACGGAAUACGUAUUUUGGUGGUGUUCAUCGUAAGAUUAAUGUGAAGGAAUUCGAUGCAAUAUUUAAGGAGUUGAAAUUCGAGGAAAUGGACGAUAUGGACGCAUUAAAGAUUGCGCUGUUUUAUUUUGCGGACCAAGUACUAAAUGCAAGAAAAAAUCACUGUCAAAUCAAUUUCGAUUGGCUUGACAAAGUUGAUGAUAUACAGUACUUCUGAAAGCGUCCAUGGGGUCUGUUGUCAUGGGAAAUGAUUUACGAGAGUCUUGACAAUGCACUGUUCGAGAAAGACGAGAAAUUUAAGAAGACUCGGUUGAAAAAUCCAGAUCAUAACAUUGAAAAAUACAAUCUUUACGGCUUUACGUCUAGGGUUCAAGUGUGUUUUUGUUUUUGUUUAUUAAUAAGUUUUAUAGUAUUAAAUAUUUGAUAUGUUGUUUUAUUUGAUUUUUCAAUUUGGUUGUUGUAGGCUUGGAUUUACGAAGCAAUCGGAGGGUUGCCAUCAACAUGGGUCGUCAAAACGAAGAAUAAGAUUCCCCGCAUUUUGCAAUGGAAGCCCAUGGCGUCUUCGAGAAUCAAUUUUGCGGAGGUUUAUUCGUUCUUCAAUGACGAAUCUCGUCUUGUAAGCAAUAUGUAUUACUUAUUUUUUUAACUUUACUAAAUAUAAGUUAUGUAUACUUACUUAAAAUUUUCAAUUUAAUUUAUGGCAGGGGGACGUUUUACAAACUCUUGAGCCAAAUUCAAAGGAGAGUAGCAGAAAUUAUUGGGUCUCUGUGAAGGAUUACUUGCCAAGCAUUCCAGGCUGGGUUCUUAAGGUUGGUAUACUCUAAGUACUAAAAAUUAUUUAAUUGAAAUUUUUGACUUUUCAUUUACAAAUUUUAAAUGAUACUUUAUACAGCACCAACCCUCAAUCAACCCGAUGCCGUCGGUUACAAGGCAAUCAGACGAGCAUGACGAUCAUGACGACAUACUAAACCCAAUACCAGAGCAGCGUCAUGACACUUAUGAGGAUGAGGUGGCUGUUGAUGACCAGCAGCAGCAAACAAACAACUCUGAUGACGCACGGGAUUCUGAGGUUAUAAAUAAUAUACGAUAUUUUUUCUUUAUAAAUUAUUAAUUUUUUUUUGUUUUUCUAAAGUUUUCUGUUUUUUCUUUUGUAAUAGUCGAGGACAAAGCAGUUUAAUGAUUACAUACGACGACGGCUGGAUAAGAUUGAUCGUAACGUGUACGAAAUAAAGUCAGAAUUAAAAGAUUUUAAAGAAACCGUUGUUGGCUUUAUCGACACAUUUUCUAAAUGUCCAAAUAAGGAUUCUCCCACUGCACACUCGUAUGCGGUGAGAAAAUUUUUAUUUAAUAAUUAUGUUCGUUUAACGUUUAAUUUGAUAGUUGUUUAAUAUGUUCUUCUUGGCGAAUGGACAGGCCCCGGAUGACUAUGGAGUGUAUACUAACGUGGGCAAUGAAAAUUUGUCUACGCCCACGUCAUUGUAUAGUUUCUACGGGGAUGUUAGUGGGGAGAGCGUGCAGGUGUUCUCUGAGGUGCCUCCCGGCGUUAGUAAGUUCGGCCGCGCGUACAUACCGUCGUAUGUUUAUAACAUUCCUUACAUGAUUCCUCCAGUCAAGCGAAGACAGAACAUCCGGCCUUUGCCUCGACCCCAAAUUUUGGAGCAUGCGAUUGUCAUGAGUACGACUGUGGAUAUAAAUCCACUGAGAGGAUUGGAAGACUCUAGUAUGUUUGCUGAGUUUGAUCGAUGGUUCGCUGGUGAUAUGAUAGUGGUUCGGAGAGUCCGGCACCCGCGGUCAUUCUUUGAAAUACUUUUGGGUUUAACUUCGAUGGGAUGGCUAGGCGAUGAGGUAAUUAUAUUUUCGAAGUGCUUUGAGUAAUGUGGAUUUGUAAAUAAAUAUUUUCUUUUAAAUCGUAAUGUUUAUGUUUCUCUACAGCAUAUUCACGAGUAUUUUUGCUUGAUUAGCGAGAAACAACGGCAGUAUCCGAAUGCCUUACUUCAACGUGUCACACAUACCGACACAUUUUUUUGGGUAACGUGCCAACAUAACGAACAUAAAUACUAUUUAUGUUUUUUUUAAUUAUCGCCUUUAAGUUUUGUUAAUUAAUGCAUUUUUUUGGUUAUCUAUGUAUUAGGUGUUCUUGACUCAGUUAUGGAACAAUGGGCAUUGUGCGGUCAAUUCAUUAGAAUUUGACGACCGCUUGAAUAGCUAUCUCUGUGGGCGACAGCACACAAUGUCCAAAUCGAUGACGGAUGUCGAUAUGGUAUGUAGUUUAUUGUAUUUCGUAUACAAGUUGUCGAUUUUUCUUAGUUGUUUUUCAAUUUCAUAUAUAACGAAGAUGUUUUUGAAUUUUUAUAUACAGUUACUCAUCCCUGUUAACUUGGACGGCGAGCAUUGGGUACUAGCACGAGUAGACUUUCAGAAAAACAAAGUCUGGAUUUAUGACUCAUUACUCACAUGCCGCGACGACAAAAGAUACAGGUUGAAAUUCAAGCCACUUGAAGUUAUCUUCCCUCGAUGGUUGGAAUAUGUUGGGUUCUACAACAUCCGACCUAAGUUGCAGAGUGCUGACCCCUGGAAAGUUCUCGCAGUUAGGAGUGCGCCACAACAAGAGCGCGGAACUGGCGACUGCGGUGUUUUUGUAUUGAUGGUUACGAUGUAUUUAAUGGUCGGGCUUACAUUAGAGUUUACCGCUAGUCAUGUCGAGUACUUUAGAAAGAAGAUUGCGGUUGACAUAUUUAAUGACGAUAUUGUAUUGUAAAAUGUUGUAGUAAUUUCAAUGUUGAAAUUUAAAUUUUUAUUCUAAUUUGCGCACUUAAGUUUAUAUAAUUUGAAUGCUCACAUUUUAAUAUUAAAAAAAAAUACACUCACAUAUAAGUGUACAAUACACUAAAAAAAUAUAGCAGUUUUAACCAACGAAUUAUUGAAACAAUACAACUAACUUCGAUUCGACGCAAUGGGAUUCUUACACCGCUUGCGAUUAUGGCCCAGUUCAUGACACCGCCCGCAUCUUACAGUCCGCCGGUUAACGUCCUCGCCAGCCAAGGGUAUUCUACGCUCUUUACGACGGUCAGGUGGUGGUGCCUCAACUGGAGGGUAUACUUGCAUCUCCUGAAUUUCAUCUGGAACUUCCCAAUCAGCCACAUCGCCAACUGGCUCCACUGGUUGUGCAUAAGCCAUUGCCAACCAUUCUGUAGUGUAAAAGUCCAAGCAAAGGUUAAUAUAAUCCACCCGGUGUGUUAGACACGCCGCAAUUGCAUGAGCACAUACAAGCUGAUCAAGCUGAAAAACUCUACAGGAGCAAGUUUUCUUUUGCAAGUCAACCAAACCUUCCUUAAGCCCACCACCUAUAACUUGAAAUCGAUGCGGAGACACCGGCCGAACUAUCAUUCUUUCAGCUAUAGUUCUCCGCUCAGUGACUAUUUCAUCUACCCAUGUUGUUAGCCGAGUACUCAUUGAUUCAGCCAUAAUUUUUCUAUCAUAAAACCAUUGCUGCAGCGUUUUCCUAAAGUGAUCAACAAGAUGAGUAACAGAAAAUUUUCGCGGUUCUCUCAUGAAAGAAUUAACACUCUCCGCGAUGUUGGUGGUAAGUAUGUUGUACCUCCUACCUUCAAACUGAGACCUUGCCCAAUUACACGUACCGACAUUAUUUUCUAGGUAGUCAGCCGCACCCGAGUGGAUCAUCCACAACCCUUCAAGUUGUCUCUUAAAUUCCUCGUGGCCAUAUGCUUUUGCUGCAUUAAUAAAGGCAGGCUCAAAUUGAUCCCAAAGAACUUUUGACAUUCUAAACUGUGACUUAAUGUUACCUUUCACGUGGUAAAAACAAACUCCAUGAGUUGCAUUCUGAAAUACUUUAAGAACGGCUCUCCUUAUGGCAGUGCAUCGAUCAGAUAUAAUUACCAACUCAGAUCUAUCGCCAAUCACUCCAUGUAACUUCAUCAUAAACCAUUCCCAAGCAUCAUUGUUUUCUGAAUCCAUGAUCCCAAUGGCUAACGGAUACAAUUGAUUGUUACCAUCAAGACAUGUUGCCAUGAACAUGCUUCCACGAUAUAGCCCCUUGAGAUGAGUACCAUCUACAACAAUGACAGGCCGAAUGUACUGCAUAAAACCCUUGAUGGAAGAUCCGAGUGCUACAAAAUAGUACAAGAAAUUACCAUCUCCAUCCUGCUCGAUGUGAGUGACUGUACCCUCAUUCGCUGCAGUUAGUACGUGAGAGUAUUUAGGGAGCAAGUUGUAUGACUCUGCAGGGUUGCCUCGAACUAUUUCAAGACCAACUUCUCUCGCCCGAUAUGCCUGCUGGUAUGUUAACUGAACACCGUAUUCUUGUUGCAUAUCUGCUCUUAUGUCAUUCGGAGUAUAAAUUCUCUUGUCUUGAAUAUAUUUAUCUGCAAUAAUAUGACCGACAACCCGGCUCCUGACUUGAUGACGUCCAGCAAACAAUACCUCAUUAUGACAAGUGUGCACAUUAUCAACUCUCCGCACCACACAAGGAACAUUUUCCUCGUUCGAACAUCUAGUUGCUCGAAUAUGCCAUUUACAUGAUUCUGAACUACAGUGAGCCUCGAAACGUGUCGUAGUAGACCGUGCAAUCUUGAAAUCAAACUUAUCCCGGAAGGCAACCUUGCGUAGUUGUAAUAUAAACUCAUUCUUCUCAGCAAAUAGCUUACCCACACUGAUAUCAUCUGAGUCACAACUGCUAAUAAAGCUUGGAGCAACCAUGUUCGAAGGCAAAGUUGGAGCAAGACUUGUGAGAGGGUCAAUUCUCCUUCUCGAUCGAACCAUUGCUGGAAUAGGUCUAUUGCCUCUGUUAUUCACUGGAGUAUUGUCUUCACACUCAUCCUCAUGCUGAAACGACGGAACAUUCGAAGGACCGGCUCCUCCAUCAUCACCAUCAUUAUUGAAAUGAGUGCCCCUCAUAUUAUUAGAAGGUUCUGCACAAACAUUAUCCCCCUCUGUCUCAGCAUGAAAAUCAUCAUUGUCCCGAAAAUCAUUAUUGUGAUACGGAGAAUACCGUUGCUCCAACGACGUCGUUAUUGAAAAUACCGUCGCUCCAACAUCCUGUAACGUAACGCCAUCAUCAUCAAUGUUGUCAUAAUUGUCGUGGAUUGGAGAGUAAUAUUGCUGCAGUGAUAUUGUCCUUGGAAACACCUCUUCUUUAUUAUCGGGGCCAGACAUAUUUGCUCUAAACGAAGUUUCUGUAUCGACAUGUGGCUCAAUACCUCCACUCGGAACUCGAGGUGAUGUGGUAAUAAAUAUAGGAAUGCAUCCAAAAUUAGCUACGUCGGAUGCCAUAUGUAACACAACCCUCACCAUUUCAUCAUCAAAUAUAUCCAUGGGCAGUGCACAUACACGAUAUAAUGUGUUACUAGACCUCAAAGUUGUCUUCAUUGUGAUAUUAUAUUCAUUAGGAUUAAUUUGUAACACAUCGUAUACUCUUGCCAAUAACUGAUCAAAAAGAUAAUUUUUUCCAACCAAAAAAGCUCUAUUUUUACCGUUGACAUACUCCAUACGCCCAUCCUCUAAUGUCUCCCAGCAACCAUCGUAACACAAUUCAAGUACAACUGAAUCCAUUAAGCUUGAAAUUAUAAAAAAAUAAAUUAUUUCAGCCCUAUCAAAUUAAUAGUUAAUUAUAAUGAAUCUGGCUUUUGGUGCGACAGACUGACUGUCGCACGAAACUUGGUGCGAAAGGGAGCCUGUCGCACCAGGCCUGGUGCGACAGACAACCUGUCGCCAGAUUCACCCAUGAAAUCAUCCGCAGUUCAGUCAAACUCACAAGCAAGAAAAUAACUCAUACCACUAUGUGAUGCCGAUUAGUGUUGGAUCCGAAUAAAUUAUGAUCGGAUUUCACUUUUUAUCGUUGCCUUUUGCCGUUGCCGUUGGUUGAUGAUUCAAGAGUGGAAGCUGCCUUUGUUUGACGAAAGGGGAGAAAGAAUGUUGCUUUUGGUUUGUAAAGAAGGGUAAUUUAGGGAGAACAGCAUGUGUUUGGCUAAUGUUGAUAGAAAAAAGUUGAGAGAGUUAAUUGUGAAAAUAAUAAAAAUUUUAUAAUUAUUUUUGUAAAUUUCCCGAAGCCUUUAAGCCUGCAGCUGAAAUAGAUGGUACUUUAAUUUUCAGCUGAACAUAUAUAUGGUAAGAUUAUUAUUAUUGAGCUUGAUGAGGCUAUAGAAAAUUCAAUAUCGAGAUCGGAUAAGGGUCCAAUAAAUUAUAAAAAUAAAGCAGCUCAAAGCCCAUAUGAUCAUGGGCCAGGCCACUACUUGCUCAUGCUUUGAAUCAAAAUUAGUGACGUUGGAAGCUGAAAGGGGCAAAUGAUGAAAUGGGGUUCAUCAUAUACUAUGCCCAACGGGAUAAGAUCAUCAUUUAAUUGCCUCCUCCUCUCCUCGAUAGAUAUUUGCCGAAUUUUUCUAUUUCAAAAUUAUUAUAUUGGUUAAUAUAAUUAGAAGUUUUACAAAAUAUAAAUAUAAUUUAAAAAAUUUAUAUUUAUUAAUCUAAAAUUUCCAUUUGGUGUUUGAGAAAAAUUUUAAGUAUAUUCGGAUAUACUUUCUCAUUGUUUAUUGAUUUUGGACAUUUAGACAUAUUAGUAUUCAGUAUUCUUAGGUAAUUAGCUAAGAAGUAUACGUGACAAAAGUAUAACACGUGAAAAAAUACACAACAAAAUUAUCUACAAUUUUCCAUUGACUUAGUCAACUCUCCAUUGAUUUCAUUGACUUAGUCAACUUAUGAUCUAACUCAACAACUUGAAAAUUAAAUUAUGCUAGUAAUUCCGUAAAAUUAAAAUUUAUCUCCCAAAAUUGAUAAAUACUAUGUCACUUUGUCAAAUUACUUAGGGUAAAAGUUCUGUGGCUAAAAACUUUUAAGAUGAGUUGUAUGCUAAUUGAGAAGGACAAGACACAAAAGAAUUCAAUGAAUGCUACAAACUUCUAAAAAAUAUUUUCUCUGCUCUUUUUUCUUUCACUUUCUCUUCCAUUUUGCCAAUCCCCAAACACCACCAAUCCUUGAUUUUUUGAGUAUUAGCUGUCAAUUUCUACAAACCUAGAACUGCUGUUUGUUUGUCUAAUUACUUUCAAGAAACAAAACUCUUUGUCAUGUGGUCUCUUCGUUUAUUGGCUUGUGAGCAAAUAAGAUAUUGGGCCAAUGGGCUUAACGUGACAAGUUCUUGAAUUGAAUGGCUCCUCUUUUUUUCAUAGAUCUUUGCUUAAUUUUUUUGUUCCCUCAACCUUUUUUGGCCUUUCGCGCUAAAAUUCUUUUUUUGAUACAUUAUGCAAAAAUUAUGAUGAAAAUGAGUUACUUUAGGACAUCAAUAAAUUUUUAUUACAUCUAUAAUAAGACAACUAUAGUGAGAUUACUCUUAUUUAAUUGAAUUAUAUGUAAUAAAAUUAGUUUAACAAAAUCUAACCCGUCAGUAUUCCAUAUCACAUGAUUAACGUAUUUAAAAAAUCUUAGCUAUUCCGUCGCUUGUUUUACAAUUCUUUUAUAUAUCUUUGAAACUUUCAGCUUCCCAACACAUCAUAUUGUUCUCAAUUCGUCUAAAUUAUUUUUUUCUUCAAACACUGCAGCAACAACCGGUAUAAAAUAGACUGAACUCAUUUAAUGGGAAUUAAAUGAUAUUUCUCUUCUCACCUUAAGAGACGAUAUUUCUCUUCUCACCUUAGGUUCCUCUAACAAACUUAAAAGAUGUUCCCCAUCCCACCUGUCCCCAAAUCUUCGUAUUUCCAAAAUAGAGAAGAGGAAGGCUUUUAUUGCAAACUGUAUGAGCGUUAUGGCCAUGGGAGGAUCAAAAUCAAACCAAUGGAUUGUAAAGCAAAAUUACCGAUUAAAAAUUCAACCAAUUGAAUCGGUUUGGUGUCACUUAAAAAAUAAAUAAUAUAUAAAACAACACAAUUAUCAUAUUAAUGAGCCUCUGUUAAAUUCAUUCAGUCAGUAUUUUUCUUUUCCCAUUUUCAAUGAAUGCUUAAUAUGGAAAACAAUAUGUCCCAUUGAGCACUGUUUAAAUCAUUCCCUAGUUUGUUUAACACGCAAAGAAUAUUCUUAUUCGGCUCUGCAGCCAAUCCGUUAAAAUUUGUUAAAAUUCAUUUAAGUGAUGACUGUGAUAUGACUCGAUCAGUAGUUUAAUUUGUAUAAUUUAUAAAAAUUUGGGCUUCAAGUAAUGUAGAUAGAAUGGUUAAUUAUUUUAAUAUUCAGAUAAAUUGAUAUAUGUCAUUAUAUUAUGAGUGGAUGAAAUAUCCAAUAGAAAAAAAAAAUGUUUGUAUUCGUCAUUUUUAGUGGGAAUCUAUUUAGUGUAACUUAUCCACAAAAAUGGUUGCCGACUUAUCUUGGUUCUCAUUUUGUUUAAUUUUCAUAAAUUUGAAUCAUGAUUAAUUGUGAGUGAAGUUUUUUUGGAAAAAAUCUGGUCUUCCAUUUAUUUUGUAGGAUUUAAAAGAUUAAAAAACUUUAAUACAUAUAAUUUUAUGUUCGAAACUAAAUACUCGUAGCAUUGCUGCUUCUAUAAAUAACUCAUUUGUGCUUCCAACCUGUUAUUUGUAUUUUACGUUUUUGUUUCUCUUCAUAAAGAUUUUCUUUUUUUUUCUUUUUUCCAUUCACUUUUUCUUCCAUUUUCCCGACUCCCAAACACCACUAAUCCUUGAUUUUCUAGAGUAUUAACUGUCCGUUUCUACGAACAUAGACCUACUGUUUGUCUAAAUACUAUCAAGAAACAACAUACUCUAUCGCGGGAUCUCUUCGUUUAUUGACUUUUGACUUGUGAACGGGGCUAAUUAAAGGGCAUUCCUUUCUUCAAGAAAGAAUGCAAAUAAAGUACUAUCCAUGAGACACGUUAAAAAUUAUUUUACAUAAAAAAUGAUAAUAAUCAUAAUAAUCGGUUUAGUGUAACCCCGUUAUUACUUAGUGACUGUCCGAUUGUCUUCUCUUUCAUUGACUUCGCAACUGUGACUUCUAAGUUGGGUUAAGGAUCGACAAAAAUGUUAUAACCUAUAAAGCAUGGAUAAUUAAUUAAUGGGAAUGCACCUCUCAUCUUUACCAUUCUCUUUGUCAUUUUCAUAAUUCAGCUGUUUAUUAAUAAAGUGAAUAAAUUUGUCUUUUAAUAAUAUGUUUCUUGGCUGUUUUUUGUGUAUUUUUGUGUACAAUUUUGUGUGCAAAUAGCAUUAUUCAUUAGUAAUUAGUUUGGAGCGUUCUAAUUUCUUCUAACAAGUAGCUCAUUUUAGCUUAGGACCUGUAACAAGUAUUUUAUGUUUCUGUUAAUCUUUAAUAAAGAUUUUCUCUUUUUUUUUUUUCCUUUCACUUUCUCUUCCAUUUUCCCCGACUCCCAAACACCACCAAUCCUUGAUUUUCUAGAGUAUUAGCUCUCUAUUUCGACAAACGCAGAACUGUUGUUUGUCUAACUACUUUCAAGAAAUAACGUAGUCUGUGGUUUAUUGACUUGCGAACGGGGCUAAUUAGUCACGGUCCGAUUGUCUGACUUCUCCAUUGACUCGGUCAAUUCACGACCUUGACCUGCACAGUUGAUACAAACGGCCUUCUCCAUUUGAGGUGCACAAAACUUUCUUGAGUCAUUUUGUUUGGUGAUGAUGAAUUGGAUGUCAUGAGUUUCAUGAUGAAGAGGACCAAAAACAUUAUUUUAUUAUUUAAAGAAGACUAACAAUUAUUUCGAUGGUCAUUUUAUUAUUAUUUUUAAAUAUCCAAAUGGUGAAAUUUUAAAGAAUUAAGGUGCUUGACUUCUUUACACAGAAUUACAAAGCAAAACAAUUAAGAAAUUAAAUACUCGUCAUCCAAGUGAGAAGAGAUUGGGUUGUUGAUACAUUAAAUAAAAGAAAAAUCAAUUAAAAGCACAACAAUUCAAUAAUUUCAUUCUCAAUCAUAUCAAAAAUAAAAUUUACUGUACAUUGUUUUUCGGUUCUGUAAAAAAAAAAAUUAUUAGGGAUUUGCAGUUUUUUUUAGUGUAAUUUUCGUUAAUUAGAGUUUGGUCUGAAGGGUUAAGCACAUGGAUCAUAAUCAUGUUAUGGCCUAAGGAAGGAGCAAGUUCAUUGGCUGCACUCAGUUUACAAAAUAUUUUGGGAUUCAAGACUUUAGGUUGUUAAAAAUGCAACUUGCAAGGCUGUUGCUGUGUAACUGUAUGCAAUGCUGGCAAGUGUGCUAUUAUUGGGAAAAUAUGCUCUUUAAAAGCAUAUGUGUUUAUUUAAUUGUAAUAAACAAUUUUUCUGAUUAAUAAAAUAAAUGAGGUAUUCUAUUCAAAUAUCUUAAUUGCAUUAAUAAUUUUAUUAAAGUCCAUUUAAUCAUAUUAUAUGUAUUUAUGUGAUCACCAUGUGGAUUCACAGAAGACAUAAAUACAAGUUAUCUUAUAAUUAAAUAAAUUUAGUUCGCAGUUGAUAAAUAAAGUUGGGCACUUUAUUUAGGUAUAGACUGUAAUAAAUUCAUUGAAUGAUUUGUCUUAAUCAUGUAUGAAUUUAUUGAUGUAGUACGACUACAUUGAACAGGAUCACAUAUGAGAUUUAAUUUUCUUUGUAAUAACUGUCAGACUUAUUAAAUCUCAUAGGCAUUGAUUUUACUGCAAUCUUAAUCUUGAGUUAAUUAUGAUUUCAUUAUUGUAAUUGUUAUUCUAUUUGAGUUACCAAUGGGCACGACACAUCCUUGUGGUCAAGAUUACCCGGUAUCUUGGUGGGAGCAAUUAUAAGUAUUGGAGUUAUGGAUUAACAAUAUAGAAUUUGUACAACACAUCUCUUGAUGGGUUUUCGGCACUUGAUCAUAGAAUUCUCUUGCCAGAGUGUGUCAACAUAUUUAGUAUGUUGAAAAUGAUUAUUAGAGAAAACUAGUAAGGAUCAAGGAAUAAGAUGUUAUUAAAUUGAUUGGACAGUUGAGAUAUCAAUUUAAUUAACAAUGUGGUACAAAGGAUUGUGCAGUAAAAAAAAUCAAUGUGGCUUGGGACGAAUUAUUAUUCGAGCAUACAAUUAUGGAAGUCAGUUCCAAUCUUUUAGUGGAGGAGAUUUAGAAUUAAAUAAUUGGGCUAGUUUAAUUACAGGCCUAAUUAUUGUAGCCACUAUUGUAUGUUCCCAAAUGAUCCCCGGGUUAGCUCAUUUACUUGACUGCACCACUACUGGACUAAAAAGUAAGAUAACUAGCUAUUUGGGUCAAAAGCCUAAAUAUAUCAUUUAGUGGGAGGCUCCAUUUAAUUAGCUUUUGUGUAAGGGACCUUAUGUUAUUUUACAAGGUGGGUCCCCUAUAGAAAAAGCAAAUAACGUGAAUUUUGUUUUUUAUUUAUUUGGAGCCUAGGGUUUUCACUAAUGGGUGAUAUAAAAGGCUUAUUUUCUCUAAAGAAAAGAGAGCAGCCACUUUAUACAGAUCAGAGAAAAAGAUUUUUCUCUCUAUUGUUGAGAGAAAAAUUUUCUCGUACUAGUUGCUUUGGUAGUGAUAAAGGCGCCCACAUGUCAAGUGCAGAUCGAACCUGAGUCAUAACCUGGAAGAUCAUUGGUGACAGUUCGUGAUCUAACAAGCGUGGUGGUGAUGGAUCGUGAUCCAAAAGGAGUGGUGGUGGCGGAUCGUGAUCUAGGAGCCUAAAUCACUUCAACGGAAAAAGCUAAAUCGGAUUUUCAAGGUACGAUUUCUAGAUUACAAAUUCUUAUAUAUUAUAUGAGAGCGAUCUUCAAAAGGUUUUAUAAAAAAUUUAAAAACCUGAUUUUUUCCCAACAGCUAUAACAUAUUGUUGAGAUGGCACCAAAGAUUGUAAACUAAUUAGUACUGGAAAAUCCUAUUUGCACAUAAAAUUGCACAAAAUAAAUAGAAUGAGAAUACUUGUGCAAAAAAAAAAAAAAGAUUAAUAAAGUGAAUAAAUUUAUCUUUUAAUAAAAUAUUUAUAGUCUUUUAUUUUUUUGUGUAUUUUUGUGUAAGUACAAAUAGCAUUACUCAUUAGUGAUUAACGUAGAGUACUCUGAUUUCUUCCAAUAAGCAGCUCGUUUGAGCCUAGGACCUGCAAUUAUGUUUUACCUUUCUGUUACUUUCUCUUAAAUAUUAUCUCUGUUCUUUUCUUCUUUGCUUUCACUUUCUCUUCCAUUUUCCUGACUCCCAAACAUCACCAAUCCUUGAUUUUCUAGAGUAUCAGCUAUAUAUUUGUACAAACACAAAACUGCUAUUUACUUUCAAGAAACAACGUAUUCUGUGGUUUAUUGGCUAAUGCCUUGUGAAUGGGGCUAACUAUUUCCAUGAAACAACGUACUCUGUGGUUUAUUGACCUGUGCCUUGCGAACGGACCUAAUUGUCUCCUCUUCCAUUGACUCUGUCAAUUCACGACUUUGACGCGCACAGUACGUAGAUGCUAACUGCCUUCUCCAUUCGACGUGCAAAAACUUUCUUGAGUCCGGUUAAAAUUAAUUGAUCAUUUUAUUUGGUGAUAAUGACUUACUUGUCAAGUCAUGAGUUUGAUGAUGAAGAGGACGAAAAAUAUUAUUUUAUUAUUUAAAAUAAGACUAUCAAUUAUUUCCAUGGUCAUCUUAUUUUCUAAAAUAACUAAAUGGAAUCUUACAGAAUUAGAGUGCUUGACUUCUUCAUACAGUGCUUGACUUCUUUUUACAGAAUUAUAUAGUGAAAAAAGAAAUUAAGAAAUUAAAUACUUUUCAUGCUAGUGGAGAAGAUUGGGUAGCGAUUACAUGAAAUAAAAGAAAAAUAAUUUAAAAGUACAAAACUUUAAUAAUCUCAUUCCCAAUCAUAUCAGUAUAAAAAUUCUGUAGAUUUAUUGAAUAAGUAUUGAUUUUACUUUGGUAAUAACAUUUUUAUUUUCUUUGCAUUCGAGCUUUCUUUCUUUUGCGCUGGUCUUCACUCUUGACCGUAUUUCAUGGGGCACAUUCAAUCUCAAUCUUCUUCGGCAAGUUUGUUGCAGUUUUGUUAAUUACGAACUGUUGUAGGAUUUUAUGGAGAUGAUACUUUUAUAUACAUUUUUCUUUUCUUUUUUUCUUCGGUGAACAAAUUAAAAUUUUAGUUUUUGUCAUCAUGACUAGUGAAAUAAAAAUUGUCCUCAUUUCAAGGAUUGACAAAAACGUUGUGCUCAUACCGAUUAAUGGGGAACUGAUUUCGUCUUCUUAAAAGAGAAUUAUUUGCAGCGUGGUAAUUCGGAGAUUUCUGUAUUAAAGACCAGGAAAUCUAAUUUGGAGGGAAAAAAUUCAAGCGGCGCAUUUUUUUUGAUUUAUUUAAAAAAAUUGUUUUCCUCCCAAAAACACUUCAACGUAUAUUCUGUCAUAGAGGGAAAUGUCCUUCACUCUUUGACGUAUCCCUGGGGCAAUGUAAGUUGACUUUACAUUAAAACAAAACAUAAUUACAAUCACAUAAUUACAGUUAUCAUCACUGAUUUGUAUAAUUUUCAGGACUAGUAAAUUAUCUCAAUUUUUAAAAAAACAUAAUUACAAUUAUUGAUCGAACACCACUAAUUCCAACAAUUCAUCCAAAAAUAUCUUUGAGUUUCAAGGAAUUAAUGUAGCACGAAUGGCCAAGUUUUUCAACUUUUUAGAUAUUUGAUAUAUGUCAUGUUUUAACUUAGUACGAGAAGAAAAUUAUAGAAUACGUUUUUUUCAAAUUAGUGGAAAUAUUUUACGAUGAAACUAUCACAAUCACAUUUAAAAAUAUUCUUUAAAUUUUCACCAUUUCUACUGUUAUUCUUUAAACUUUUUUUUCAACAGAGCAUGGAGGGUCGCUUAUCUAAAUAUGUUUUUUGUGCUUUCACUUCACUUGAUUCAUCUUGUCCCUCUUUUAUAGCUUCUAUCUCGUAGGAGCUUAGAACCCGCAACUUGUAUUUUACGCUUCUAUUACUUUCUCUUCCAUUUUCCCGACUCCCAAACACCAUCAGUCCUUGAUGUUAUAGAGUAUUAGCUGUCUAUUUGUACAAACAUAGAGCUACUGUUCGUACUUUAGAUCUUCAGAUGUUUAGCUGACUAUUGUUUGAAUAUUAAAAUUAAUUUGUUAAAUAAAUAAAGAAAACAAGAGACAAUUACCAUACAUAUUCCAUAUUAAUUAGUCAGUGUCCGAUUGUCUCCGCUUCCAUUGAAUCUGUUGAUUCAUGCUUUCAUGAAGUGAAACGCUUAACACUCUGUUCUGAUCCGCAGGAGAGGAGGAAAAACACAAUUUUAUUAUUUCAUUCCUGACACGAGCAAAGAGCUUUCUUAGCCGGUUCGGCAGCUAAUUCCUUAAAAUUUGUUAAAUUUCAUUUAAUUGAUGAAUGUGACAUGAACUCUAUAAAUAGUUUAAUUUGUAGAAUUGUUAAAAGUUUAAACUUCAAGUAAGGUAGAUAAAAUGAUUAAUGUUUUUCAAUAUUUAGUAAUGAACAUGUGUCGUGUUACUAUGAGUGAAUGAAUGAAAUUUUUGAUAGAAAAUACAAUGCUAGUAUUAAAAAUUUUAAGUGCGAAUCCAUUUAGUGUACGUUAUCCAUAAAAGCAAUUGCGACUUGUCUUGUUUCCCAUUUUGUUUAAUUUUCAUAAAUUUGACUCACGAUCAAUUACGAGUGAAGAGUUUGUUGGAAAAAUCUGGUCUUCCAUUUAUUGUAAUCAGAUGAGUGUGAUUAAUUGUUUUUUUCUUUUGCUUCAUGUCCUGAAAAUUAUGAAUGCUUUGUAGAAUGUAGGAGAUUAAAAAUUUUAAUGCAUAUUUAUAUUCAAAACUGAGUAAACAUAACAUUAUUGCUUCUAUAAAUAGGUCAUUUCAACUUAAAACCCGUUACUUGUAUUUUACGACGUUUCUGUUUCUUAUCAUAAAGAUUUUCUAUGCUUUUUUUUUUCACUUUUUCUUCCGUUUUCCCGACUCCCAAACUCCACGAAUCCUUGAUUCUUUUCCUAGAGUAUUAGCUGUCUAUUAUUACAAACAUACAGUUUGUCUAAUUACCAUCAAGAAACAACAUACCUUGUCCUGGGGUCUCUUCGAUUAUUGACGUUUGUGACUUGUGAACGGGGCUAAUCAAAGGGCAUUCCCUUCUUGAAGAAAGAAUGCAAAGAGCCCAAGAAAGUACUAUCCAUUAGACACGUUAAGAAUUAUUUUGCUUUUCAUUAAAAAUGAUAAUAAUUAUAAUAAAUUAGAUUGAAUUAAUAAUAUUUGCAUGUGGUAUAUAAAUAAUCAGUUUAGUCACUAAUUAGUCACUGUCCGAUUAUCUUCUCUUUCAUCGACUUUGAAACUGGGACUUCUGAGUUGGAUUAAGAAUUGAAAAAAAUGUUGCAACCCAUAAAGCACGUAAAAUUAAUUAAUGGGCCACUAAUUCUUCUUCUUAAAAGAAAAGUUUUGCAGGGAGAUUGAAAAAAGGCUAAUUCGUGUUGAAGAUCAUAAAUGAGUAUCUGUCACAAAUACAAGUCAAGCUACACAAUUGUUCUUGUCAUACUAUUUAUUGGCACUUGUGAUCCUUGAAUUAUCUAUUUAUUGGCACUUGUGAUCCUUGAAUUAUCAAACGAAUAGCAACAACACUUCAAAAUACAGUAUUGUAAUACUUGGCAAUAUACAUUGACUUUUCAUUAAAACAAGCAUUGUCAUAUUGUCAUGUUCAAUUUUUUAACGUCUUGUAAUUAAAGAUUCCUAUGUCACAUUAUAAUUUUCAAACAAAUCGAAGUGAGUCAAAUCAAAUUUAGAAAUUUGAGGUCUACUAUAGAUUUUUGACAUAUUAAAUUUAAGACAAUUAAGUAAAUGCUAGACAAAAUCUAACUUGCAAAUAUACCUUACCACAUGAUGAACGUACUUAAAAAUCUUAACUGAUUGCUCACCAAUUAAUUGUUGUUUUACUAUUUUUAUAUAUCCUUUCUUUUCCCUAAAACUUCUGGUUUCCUAACAUCUAGUUCUCAAUUGGUCUAAGUAUAAUAUAAUUUUUUAAAUAUAAAUAAAUUGAAUUUAUUUAAUGGAAAUUUGAAAAAGAGACACUUAUCUAUGCAAGUAAAGUUGCAUUCUGUCUGUGGGGACCUUAAAAAAAAAAGCAUAAUGAUACACUGAUGACGACAAUCCUUAAGUAUUUGUUUUCUUUAGUUACAGUUUGGUUUGAAUGGUUAAGUUCAAGUUCGAAUUUUCUUUUUGUAAUUUAAAUUAAAAUUGAUAGAACAAAUGGGCCGAUCAGUAUGAUGAAGAAGACGAAGAAGUAAAAGCUAUUAAGCAUUAUCCUAUCACCAUAUCAAAUGGACCGGAUUCAAUCAAAUGAAAUCUAGAAAAUAGAGCAGCUCAUAGAUGUACGUCGCUAAGUGGAGGUUCAUUUGGAAGUACUUGGUCGAAUUGCGACUUGCGCCGGAGGCUUCGUUUUAGAAGAGUGCAGAGCAGCUGCCUUGUCCAUUAGGCACGCCAACGACUUUCUAUUGACCAAUAAUUUUGAAAGCGAUAUUAUUAAUUUACCAUCUAAUUUUUUUUAUAUUAUCAUUUCACCAUCUAAUUUUUUUGAUAAUUAUUUUUUUCACUUUGUGUUUUAGUUUUUAUUAUUUUACUACCGAAAAAUAGUAAACACACCCCUAGGGUAGGUUAUCCACAAAAAUGGCUACCGAAUUGUCUUGUUUCUCAUUUUGUUUAAUUUUCAUAAAUUCGACUCACGAUUCAAAUGUGAGUGAAGAGUUUUUUUUGGGAAAAAAUCUGGUCUUCCAUUUACUAGAAUUAGGUAUGUGUGAUUUUAUUAUUUUUCUUUUGCUUGAUAUGUAUCUGGAAGAUUAUGAAUUCUUUGCAGGAUUUAGAAGGAUUUGAAUGUUUGACCGCAUAUAGCUUUCUGUCCAUCAGCUAAUGCAUAUUCUGCAUUUUAUAAAUAUCAGAGCUGGUAGAUUGAAAAAUGGACCUUAUUACAUGUCAUAAGAGACUUUGCUCAAAGCUGCAAUUGGGCAACGCCGUGCUGUUCUUAUCGGCCAAGGCAAGCCAUUUACUAUUCUUUCUAAUGGAGCAAAAUAAGAUGAUUCUUACCUGCAUAGAGAAUUAGAAAAGAAAAGGAGGAUUACUGAUCCACAGGACUACUAAAAUAUGUGUAAUUAGUUGCAUCACUAGGUGGUGUCAAUAAGCAAAAUAAGAUGUUCUAAUGAUACUUAAGUAUUACCUAAAUUAGCCUUUCAAAAUUUCACUUCGAAAAAUUCCAAGGUGGUGAUGUGUCUGUAUAAAUUCGCUAAUACAAGUUCUCUCUAUUCCCAAUUGUUUUAAACUCUGUUCUGAACAGAGCAUGAAAGGAUAUAUUCAUUUUAUCUAGUUAUGCUUUUUAUGCUCUCACUUCAUUUCAUUUAUCUCUAUUCCUUGUCCAUCUUUUAAAACAGUUGUAUAUGUCGGAGUAUCACUCAAGCUUAGCAGAGUAUUUUGGGAUUCAAGACUGUUAGUAGGCUGUUACAGAUGCAACUUGCAAGGCUGUUGCUGUAAAAUUAUAUGCCAUGCUGGCAAGCGUGCUAUGACUGAUUGCUAUUUGCACGUAAAAUUUGCCCAAAACAAAUAGAAUGAGAAUACUUGUACAAAAGGACAAGAUUAAUACAGUGAAUAAAUUUUAUCUUUUAGUGAAUGCUUCUUGUCUUUUAGAGUUUUAGUGCAUUUUCGUGUGUAAUUUUAUGUGCAAAUAGCAUUACUCAUUAGUAAUUAGUCUAUAGUGUUCUAAUUUCUUCUAAUAAGUAGUUGAUUUGAGCUUAAGACUUGUAUUUUACGUUUUUAUUACUUUCUAAUAAAGAUUUUCUCUGUUCUUUUUUACUUUCACUUUCUCUUCCAUUUUCCCGACUCCCAAACACCACCAAUCCUUGAUUUUCUAGAGUAUAGCUAUGCAGUUCUACAAACACGAAACUGCUGUUGGUCCAUUUACUUUCAAGAAACAACGUACUCUGUGGUUUAUUGACUUGUGACUUGGGCAAAUUAGUCACGGUCCGAUUGUCUCCUCUUCCACUGACUCUGUCAAUUCAUGACUUUGGCACACAGUAGACGCCAGCUGCCUGCUCCAUUUGACGUGCAAAAAACUUUCUUGAGUCGGGAUAAAAUCGAUUGAUUAUUUUGUUUGGUGAUGAUGAGUUAGUUGUCAAUUCAUGAGUUUGAUGCAGUGAAACGCUUAACGCUCUCUUGUGAUGCGCAGGAGAAAAGCCAGCGAUGAUGAAGAGGACGAAAAACAUUAUUUUGUUAUUUAAAAUAAGACUAUCAAUUAUAUAUUCCAAAAUAAUUGGGUUUUGAUGGUCAUUUUGUUUUCUAAAAUAUCCAAAUGGAAUCUUACAGAAUUAGAGUGCUCGACUUUUUUAUACAGAAAUUAUAAAGUGGGAAAAUCAAGAAAUUAAAUACUCUUCAUAUAGUGGGAGGAGAUUUAGUUGUCAUUAUGCUAAAUAAAAGAAAAAUAAAUUAAAAGUACAAUACUUCAAUAAUCUCAUUCCCAUUCAUACCGUAAAUAUAAUUUUCUGUAUAUUUAUGAAAUAACUAUUGAUUUUACUUUGGUAAUUUUUUUUUUUUAAAGUAAGGUAAACGUCUUUGUUUUCUUUGCAUACGAGCCUUUUUUUCUUUUGCCUUGGCCUUUACUCUUGACUAUAUUUCAUGGUCAUAUUCAAUCUCAAUCUUCUGUAGGUUUGUAGCUAUUUUAUGAGUUACGAUUUUCUAUAGGAUUGCAUGUAGAUGAUACAUUUAUAUACAUUUUUUCUUUUUUCUUUUCUUAUUCGGUGAAGAUAUUAAAAAUUUAGUUUUUGUUUGCACAUGAAAUGAAAAUAGUCCUCAUUUUAAGGAUUAAUGGGCCAUAAUUUCGUCUUCUUAAAAGAAAAUUAUUUGCAGCAAGGUAAUUGGAAGCUUGAAGAUUUCUAUAUUACAUAGCCAAACCUAAGUGAUAAGAAUUUCCAUAUGAGAUAUAAUUUGGAAAAAAAAUUCAAGUUAAAGAUAAAAAAUUUGUGUUCCUUAAAAAACAUAAUUCAAGCCACACAAUUUUUCUUGUUUUAUUUGAAAAAAAAAAUUGUGUUCCUCACAAAAACACUUUAACAUUUGUUGUCUCAUAAAGGGAAAUAUCCUUCACUCUUUGACGUGUCCCUGGGGCAAUGUAAACAUUAAAACAUUGUCCACAAACAUUGUCAUGUAGUUAAGAAAAAUUUAAUUUUGACAAGUGCAAGACAUUUGGGACUCAUUUGAUUCAAGAAAAACAAUCAGUCUCAUUUAAUUUUGACAAGUGCAAGACAUUUGGGACUCAUUUGAUUCAAGAAAAACAAUCAGUCUCAUUUGAUACGCAAGGGGCUUUUUUACUCUGCAGCCAAUAUUUUGAUGAAUGUCACAUUACUGGUUUGUAUAAUUUUUCGGACUAAUAUAUUAUCUCAAUUUUUUUUAAAAAAUGCAAUUGCGAUUAUCAAACACGACUAAUCCCAACAAUUUAUCCAAAAAUUUGAGUGUCAAGAAAUGUGGUAUUUAUGAUAGCAUGGCUAGUUUUUUCAAUCAACUUUUUAGAUAAAUGAUAAAUCAAUAUAUGACAUGUUACUAUCUUACUAUAGGAAGAAAAUUAUGGAAUAAUUUUUUGAAAUAAUAGAAUUAUUUUACAACAAAAAUUUCACAAUCUAAUUUUAAAAAUAAACUUACUCUUUAAAUUUCUCAUUACUACUCCUACUGGUCCUGUUAUACUACUUAAUGGCACUGGUGAAGCCUUGAAUUAUCAAACAAAAAGCAAAAACACUUCAACAUCUGUUAUCCCACUGAGCACUGUUAAAAUCAUACGAUAAAAUGAGUACUUAUAUUAAAAAAGAAAAAGAAAAAACAAUCAGUCUCAUUGCGUCCUCUUUCAUUGACAUAGGCAAUUUGCGGUCAACUUGUGGUACCCUUAUUGACACGUAAAGAUCUUUCUUACACUACAGCCAACACUUACUUUCAGGACUAGUAAAUUUUUCAAAUGUAACAGAAAAAAAUACAGAAAUAUAAUUUCAGUUUAUCCAAAAAUUUGAGUUUCAAGGAAUAUAGCAUUUCUUAUGUGUCAUGUUAAUAUAGAGAAGAAAAUUUUAAAAUUUCUUUUUUUAAUGAAUAAAAGUAUUUUUUGAUUAAAAAACUCACAAUCAUAUUUACAAAAAAAAGUUUUAUUUAAAAAAAAUUCACUCCUCUUCCUACAUAAUUUAAGAAUUUAACAUUAUAAAUUAAGCUUUUUAAUCAAAGUAAUAAUCUCUCCUUCGGUGCGCAAAUGCUAAAAUUUAAUAUUAUAUCCGUUGACGAUAUUUGAUCUAAAUUCAGAGAAUAAAAUUUCUAACAGAAUUAUGAAAUUCGUUACUAGAAAUUUGUAUAAAAUUCACGAGAAUAGAAGGUUCGAUCAUAGGAAAUUAAUAUGUCCCUAUCCGAUGCAAAAAUGAUUAAAAAGAAAAACAAAAGUCAUGGGCUUAUUUAGAAAAAAGAAAAAAUUACAUUUCAGCCUUAACGCAUGCCAGUCUUUUUCUCCUCUACUUUCUUAGAAAUUUUGGUUUCACUAUAAAUUCUUGGUAUAUAGCAAUCUUAAGAGUGUCUUGCAUUACCAAUCCAAUUAAGCACACACUUACAAUCUAAAAUACUCUCAUCUCAUGGAAAGGCUUCAUUCUCUCAGUAUUAUGAGUAGAUUUCGCUUACUCCAUUGUUUGAUUCUUAUUUCCUUAUUUAUCGCAGCUGCAACAGCCAACACAAGUACUAUUACCACAGACCGAGAUGCUCUGCUUGCCCUGAAAGCUCACAUAACUCAUGAUCCAACCAAUUUCUUCGCCAAAAAUUGGAACACGAGUAUCUCUUUCUGUAAUUGGACAGGCGUCACUUGUGAUGUCCAUAGCCAUAGAGUCACAGUCUUGAAUAUUUCUCGCUUAAAUCUCACCGGCACCAUCCCUUCUCAGCUUGGGAAUCUUUCUUCUCUGCAAUCACUCAAUUUAAGUUUUAACCGACUUUCUGGUUCCAUUCCCUCUGCCAUUUUCACCAUGUACACACUGAAAUAUGUUAGUUUCCGUGAAAAUCAGCUCUCCGGCGCUUUCCCUUCUUUCAUCUUCAACAAGUCUUCUUUACAACAUCUUGAUUUUAGUCAGAAUACACUGUCUGGUGAAAUUCCUGCAAAUAUCUGCAGUAAUCUCCCUUUUCUGGAAUACAUUUCUUUGUCCAAAAACAUGUUUCAUGGAGGAAUACCAUCCGCUCUAUCAAAGUGCACAUAUUUGCAAAUAUUAAGUUUGUCAUUCAAUGAUUUCUCGGGGGCCAUACCUAAAGACAUCGGUAAUUUGACCAAACUUAUGGAAUUAUAUCUUGGCCGUAACAGACUCCAAGGUGCGAGUAAUCACGGAGUUUAAUUAUGAAAAUUGUUCCACAAGUUGUAAUAUGUAUAAUGUUCCAUAAUACAAUUUAUACACGUUGAUUAAUUUGCAGGGGAAAUUCCUCGAGAGUUUGGCAGUCUUGCCGAAUUGGAGCUGAUGUCGUUACGGGAAAGCAAUCUCCAAGGUAUGAUUAUAAACUUAUUGCAAUUUUAUUCUAGUCUCUGCUUGCUUCUGUAUUAAUUCGUUUGUUCAUUAAUUAUGCUGUGAUUUAUUGUUUUUCUUUCAGAUAGAGAUAAAGCUCCAUGUCUCCCCUCACUCAUUUCAUUCUUUGUUUUUUGCAGAUAAAAAUAAAAAAAUGUUUUGUAAUUUUCUUUUGUCAUAUUGCCACUUCCAUUUUGAAGCUCCCGAUUAAGUCGAUGAAAAUGAAUGAUGUUUCAUUCUUAUUCUUGUCAGCCUAAUUCUUAUAUAAGUGAAGAGUAAAUUGUUAUUAUGAUAUUCGUCAGCCAAUAAAUUCUUUUUUUUUCCUCAAAUAUGAGUGAUCAAAUUGUUUGCGCAUAUAUGAAUGUACUUAAUUUGCAGGAGGUAUUCCACAGGAAUUGGGGAAUCUUGCAAAAUUAGAGAUGUUACAGCUGUUCCAGAAUAACUUGACCGGUAACUUUCUUUAUAUAUGAGACAUCUUCCGCUUCUUAAUUAAAAGAUUUCACGUCUCUCAUCAUAAAUUUUCAUAUGAGGAUGUGUCGUUACCACUGUCUAACAUUAUCUCGUUUUUUAUUAGAAAUUAAUCUGGGUUUAUGCAAAAUAUUUUAGCACCUUAAAAAAGUAUAAAAACACGUGGAAUAAAUCGAAAAUCUUUCUUCAUUACUGAAUUUGGAUUUCUCAAAAAUUAUCAUGACAGGUAUAUCGCACUAAUGAUACGCAUGUGUGACAACUACAUAAAAUAUUUUGCAUGGAAUCAAUAAUUAUCUUUAAAGAAUUGGAGAUGCCAUCAGUGAGACAUAAUUUCUUAACAAUCACCAUACCAAAAGAAAUUAACAAUUUUAUUAAUCUUAAAGAGUUACAUUUUCACUGCAAUUAUGACAUAAAUUUUUAGUCAUUAAUCACAUAAUAUUUUAUCUUAACGGAUGAUGUUCAGCUUGGAAUUUAUAAUAUCUUGAAGGUUAGUAGCUAGGAAAAUAAGAAAUUGCGCAUAUCUGCGAAUCUUAGAUUUGUCAUACAAUGAUUUCUCAGGGGCCAUACCUAAAGAAAUUGGGAACUUGACCAAACUUGAGGAAUUAUAUCUUGGCAUUAAUAGACUUCAAGGUGUGUAUGAUCCCGGAGUUUAAUUUUUAAAAUUGUUGCAUAAGUUGUAAUAUGAAUAAUGUUCCAUAAUACAGUUUAAACGCGUUGAUUAAUUUGCAGGAGAAAUUCCUCGAGAGUUUAGCAAUCUUGCCAAAUUGGAGAUGAUGUCGUUAUCAGAAAACAAUCUCCAAGGUGUGAUUAUCAAUUUUUUGCAAUUCUAUUCUAGCUCUGCUUGCUUCUGUAAUCUGUAUUCAUUCGCUUGUUCUUUAAUUAUGCUAUGAUUUAUUGUUUUUAUUUCAGAUAGAGACAAAGCUCUAUGUCUCUCCUCACGCAUUUCAUUCUUUAAUUUAUGCAGAUUAAAAAAAAAAUGUUUUGUAAUUUUCUUACGUCAUAUUGCCAAUUGCAAUUUAAAGCUCCCAAUUAAGUUGAUCAAAAUUAAUGAUGUUUCAUUCUUAUUUCUGUCAGCCUAAUUCUUAUAUAAUUGAAGAGUUAAUUGUUAUUAUGACAUUCCUCAGGCAAUAAAUUCUUUUGUUUUUAUUUUUAUUUUCAAAUAUGAGUGAUCAAAUUGUUUGCGCAUAUAUAUGUAUACAUAUUACUUAAUUUGCAGGAGAAAUUCCACAUGAGCUGGGGAAUCUUUCAGGAUUAGAGACGUUAGCGCUGUACAAUAAUUUUUUAACCGGUAUCAUUCCUUCAUCUAUCUACAAAUUACUCUUCUCUAUUCAAUUUGGAAUUUCCGUUUAAUAACUUGAUGGGAAACUUCCCUUACGAUAGAUAUAUGUGACAUGUUUCCUUUUUAAUUAAAAGAUUUCACGUCUCUCAUUAUAAAUUCUCAGGAAAAGGACAUUCACACCCCCAAGGUUUAGCAAAAUAAUCACCAACACCCCUAAGUUUUUAAAACAAGACACCAAAACCCCCUUUUUUUACCAUUAUACCCUUUAAAAAUUUGACUUUAAAAUUUUUAAUAAACAUAAGUAUUAUAUAAAAUAAUGUAAUCUAUGCAGUAGAAUAACAAUAUUAAAAAAUUUUAAAAAAUUUAAAUAUGUAAAUUGUUAUAUUUAUUUUAAUAAUAUAUUUUUAUUUAUUAUAGAUAUUUUAAAUAAAUAUUUGCAUUAGCCACUCGGCCACAGGACUUGGAGGGUAGCAGUUCGAACCCCCACAAGUGCAAUGUGGGAGUAUUUCCUUCCUUAAUUAUAUUGUAUAAUUGAAUAAAAUUGAGUGAAGGUAGUUUCUCCUUUACCCAAGAGUGAGUGGAGUAGACAUCUCUCGAAUAUUAGUGAGGGUUAAAAUCUGGGCAGAGCUCCAUUAGCAUUGAUAUAAGUUGGUCUCAGUAAUAGUCUGAUUUGUAAAUAUCAGUUAUACUCUCAUGUAAUAUGAGUUGUAGUUUGAGCAAUAGUCUCAUGUAAUCAAAUAAAUAAAUAAAUAAAUAUUUGCAUUAAAUACAUUUUACAAUUAAAAAAAAUCUCGCAUACUAAUGCUAGCAUUAUUAUUUUACAUAAUAUUCAAAUAAUUUAAUUUUUAAUACACUUGUUCUAAUAUUAUGAUUCUACUUUUUAUAAAAUUUAAUAUAAUAGAAUAUAAUAUAUCUAAUAGAUUGUAAAAUAUUAAAAUAUUUUUAAAUAUUGAAAUUAUUUUACAAUAAAUAUAUUAUUACAUUUAUUUUAAUGUUAUAUUUCUAUUAUUAUAAAACAAUAGAGUUGAUCUUUUUUGGGAUAAUAAAGGCAAAGGGUAUUAUGGUCAAAAGAGGGUCUUGGUGUCCCUUUUUGAAAACUUGGAGGUGUUGGUGACCAUAUCUCCAAAUUUUUGGGUGGGUAUGUCCUUUUUCCUAAAUUCUCAUAUGAGGAUGUACUGUUUCUACUAUCUAACAUUGUCUCGUUCUUUAUUAGAAAUUAAUCUAGGUUUAUGAAAAAAUUUUAGCAUCUAAAAAAAGUAUAAAAAAAGGUGGAAUAAAUCGAAAAUCUUUCUUCAUUACUGAAUUUGGAUUUCUCAAAAAUUAUCAUGACAAGUAUGUCUCAUUAAUGAUAUGCAUGUGUGACAACUACAUAAAAUAUUUUACAUGGAAUCAGUAAUUUUCUUUAAAUAGUUGGAGAUACCAUUACUAAUAAAUAAUUUCUUAAAAAGCAUCAUAAUAAAAUAAAUCAAUAAUUUUAAUAAUCUUGAAGGGUUACAUCUUCACUGCAAUUAUGACAUAAUUUUUUAUCUAACUAAAUUUUUAGUCAUCAAUCGCAUAAUAUUUUAUCUUAACGGAUAAUGUUCAAUCUUGGAAUUUAUAAUAUAUUGAAGGUUAGUAGCUAUGAAAAUUAUAAAUUUUUUUAUUUGCUAAAAAAAUUAUCUUAGUAUUUAAGCUUUUCAAUUGAAAAAUUUGAAAAAAAUGUUGAGAACUGGUCCUCCUUAUAAUUUCGGUGGAUAAAUAUGAAAAAUAGACUAGAAAAAGCUAUUUUACUGAAAUAAUUGUUAAAAAGAGAGAAGUACAGUACUCAUGACUUAGGCUUGCUGUGUACUUAUUUUACUUGGGGUCCGGGCUUGAUUACACACGGUCGAACACUUAGUUGCACCCAUUAUAAUAAUAGCAUCCCCGACAUAGGCUUUUACUUUCACCACAUAUUUGAUAAUUUCUUAACCUUCCCAGUUACGUUACAGCAAUUUAUAUAUAAAUAACUAAAGCAUACUGAAGCUGGCAUUGAUGUACGGAUGAGUGGUGUCAAAAGUGUAUCCGUUUUUUGUAUUAUUGUUCCCCGACACAAAUCUGAAUAAUGGAAUAUAAUUCUUUCAAAAUACCGAUGAAAUAGCACAUGAAUUCAGAAAUAUUUUACUGCGACAAGAAUUCAUGUAUUUAUCGUAGCAUCACAUACAUAUAAAAUAGACUAUAAAUUUAGUUCCAAAAUACAUUCUUAUAUUCAUAUAAAUUUUACAUUACUAAUUUAAAUUAAUAUUAAAAUAUGUUGUUUCUUUCACUAUGUUAUUUUAUUUAACAAUGGUGUAACUAUUGGAAUUAGUAAUACUUAUAAUUACUUAGUAAAAAUAUAAAUUUAACGCUUUAUUAAUACUUUGUUAACAUUUUAUCUACAUAUAAUAAUUAAACUGAAACUCGUAUUUAAAAAAUUUUAGUCACGCAUAUUCAUUUCAUGAUAUAAAAGUGCAUAUUUAUACUAAUUCACCAUUAUCGAUAAAAUGCUUUGAGCCGAGUCAUCUAAUUUAUAUUAGUAUAUUUAAAAUACUUACAUUUAUUAUAUUUUGAAAAAAAUUUAUUUGCAAUUAUUUUAAACCUUUGGAUUCAAAUUUUCUUAGUCAUUAAAGUCAAAGGGUAUAAAUGUAUAAUAGUCAAAAACAUAUUUAUAUGAUCAUUUUUCAAUGCGUAAAUUUUCUUAGUUAGUAGGAAAAUUAGAAAUUGUUGAUUUACUCAUAAAUAAAUUUAGUGUUUAGCAUUUCAAUUUUGGAAAACUUUGAACUAAAUGUUGAUAACUUUGAAUCGCUCAAGCCGAGUUCGCUUCCUUGACCCACAAAUCCAUUGAAAGUUCUAUUCGGAUUGAGUUUCUAGGUGCUUAGAAAAAACAUUUCUUUUCCGUGUUGCCAUAAUUUAUUCACAAAUGAGUUGAUUAGCAUCGAUGGUGCCUGAGAGUCUGAGACCAUUUUAGUAGGAGAAAUUUGAAAAGAAAUUAUUUUACUAAAUUAAUUUAUUUUACCUUGUUGUAACGAAGACUACUUUUUUUUUUUUUGCUAUCACUGGGGCUUGAUUUACUUUAAUAGUAGCGGCCACCGACCUAGGCUUUUUUACUUUUCACCACACAAUUUGAUCUUUUAAUUCAUUUUAACCACAUAAUCUAUCUAUGUCUCACCUAUUGCUUACUUAAAUUGCAUACAUAUUUGUCAUGAUCCAACCCAGAUCUGGCAAGAUAUUGUCCGCUUUGGGCCUUAACAAGGCUCGCACGGUUUUGUUUCUGGAGCACCCAUUCACCCCAAAACGCGUCUUGCCAAUUAAGAUGUGGAUCACCCCUUAUAAACCCAGCAUCUCUCCUGUGUUUUGCCAAUGUGGGAUUUGCCUAGAGUGUUACAUACACCCCCCUUAGGGACUUAGCGUCCUCACUGAGGUUUGCCUUACCAUUACCCAAGAGGACGCGCGGAGCCGCUCUAAUACCAUAAUGUCAUGAUCCAACCCAGAUCUGACAAGAUAUUGUUCGCUUUGGGCCUUAACAAGGCCUGUACGGUUUUGUUUCUGGGGCGCCCAUACACCCUAAAACAUGUCUUGCUAAUUAAGAUGUGGAUUACCCCUUAUAAAUCGAGCAUCUCUCUCACGAUUUCUCGAUGUGUGAUUCGCCUAGAGUGCUACAAUAUUUUACCUACUAAUUUUUACAAAUAUUAGUCAAAUAUAUUUUAUUACAUUUUCUCGUAAUUGCCCCAAAUGUGCACUAUUAAUACUUAAACCUCCCUUUUAAUUUACCGUGCAAUCUAUCUACACUUAAAUCACAUAUAUAUUUUACCCAAAAAAAUAAAAAUAAAAGAAAAAGAAUAUGUGUAACAAUUUGUAUAUAAUUAACAAAGCAUUCACGAUGUGUAGCCUUUCAUUACUUCAUGAGUGGCUUGUCUUGUGUGUUAGUACUUGUAAUAAUUGUGUAGUGUAUAAAUGACCUUUUAUUAUUAAAGUGCGUUCGUUUUUAGAUAUUAUUUGUUAUUUGAAAAAUAAUCUAAAUAUAAUUCUUUCAAAAUACAGGGGAGAUACCACAUGAAAUCAGUAAUCUCCAAAAUCUGGAGGAGUUGGACCUUGGUCAUAACAAAUUAGUUGGUACUGUCCCAGCUGCAAUCUUCAAUGUGUCAACGCUCAAAGGAUUCUCCGUUUCAAACAAUUCUCUCUCGGGAUGUCUUUCGUCCAUCGUAGAUGCCCGACUUCCAAAUCUUGAAGUGCUUUAUUUGUGGGGUAAUAAUUUCAGUGGCACAAUUCCUCGUUUCAUCUUUAAUGUUUCUAAGCUCUCUAAGCUAUCGUUGGAAAAGAACUCAUUCUCGGGUUUUAUUCCCAACACAUUUGGCAACUUAAGAAACCUUAAGUGGCUGAUUUUAUAUGAUAAUUAUUUGACAUCUUCAACUCCAGGAUUGAGCUUUCUAUCCUCGUUGUCAAAUUGUAAGUCUUUAACAUAUAUUGACUUAUCACAUAAUCCACUAGAUAGCAUUCUUCAAAGGAUGUCUAUCGGUAAUCUUUCUCAUUCUUUGGAAGAAUUUCAAAUGUACAAUUGUAACGUUAGUGGUGGCAUCCCUGAAGAGAUCCGCAACUUGAGCAACUUGACACUCAUUGAUUUAGGAGGCAAUAAAUUGAAUGGAUCAAUUCCGAUUACUCUCAGCAAAUUACAAAAGCUUCAAGGUUUGGGUCUUGAAAAUAACAAAUUAGAAGGAUCAAUCCCAGAUGAUAUUUGUCGUUUGGCUGAACUAUUUAGAUUGGAGUUAGGUGGCAAUAAGCUUUCUGGAUCAAUCCCUACAUGCUUCAGUAAUCUGGCUUCUCUGAGGAUACUGUCGUUGGGUUCCAAUGAGUUAACUUCUAUUCCUUUAACUUUUUGGAACCUUAAGGAUAUCUUGCAACUCAACUUUUCAUCAAAUUUUUUGACUGGUCCACUCCCAUUAGAGAUUGGAAAUUUGAAGGUUUUGGUUGGAAUUGAUUUAUCGAUGAAUAAUUUUUCAGGCGUUAUCCCAACAGAAAUUGGAGGCUUAAAAAAUCUUGAGUAUCUCUUCUUAGGAUAUAACCGAUUGCAAGGAUCGAUUCCUAAUUCAUUUGGUGAUUUGAUAAACUUAAAAUUCUUGAAUUUGUCUAAUAAUAAUCUCUCUGGGGCAAUUCCUGCAUCUUUAGAGAAACUCUCAUAUCUUGAAGAUCUAAAUCUUUCUUUCAACAAACUAGAAGGAGAAAUUCCUAGGGGAGGGUCUUUUGGAAACUUCUCAGCUGAAUCAUUUGAGGGAAAUGAAUUAUUAUGUGGUUCACCCAAUUUACAAGUCCCGCCAUGCAAAACUGGCAUCCACCACACAUCAUCGAAAAAUUCUCUUCUCCUGGGGAUCGUCUUGCCAUUGAGUACUAUAUUUAUGAUAGUAGUCAGUUUGUUGAUCCUAAGAUAUCGACAGAGAGGAAAACGACCAUCGAAUGAUGCUAAUAUGCCACUAGUAGCAACAUGGAGAAUGGUGUCAUACCUAGAACUCUGUCGAGCAACAGACGGAUUCAGUGAAAACAAUCUAAUCGGCAAAGGAGGUUUUGGCUCUGUUUACAAAGCAAGACUUAGCGACGGGAUGGAGGUUGCAGUAAAGGUUUUCAAUUUGCAAUGUGGAAGAGCAUUUAAGAGUUUCGAUAUUGAAUGUGAAAUGAUGAAAAGUAUUCGCCAUCGAAACCUUAUCAAAGUUAUUAGCAGUUGCUCAAAUGAAGAGUUUAAAGCGUUGGUAUUAGAAUACAUGCCUCAUGGAAGUUUGGAGAAGUAUCUGUAUUCAAGCAACUGCAUUUUGGAUAUUUUUCAAAGAUUGAACAUAAUGAUAGAUGUUGCAUCAGCUUUGGAAUAUCUGCACUUUGGUCAUUCAGCUCCAAUAAUUCACUGUGACUUAAAGCCCAGCAAUGUAUUGUUAGACGAUAAUAUGGUUGCUCAUUUGAGUGAUUUUAGCAUCGCAAAAUUGCUAAUAGGAGAAGAUCAAUCUAUGACUCAUACACAAACACUUGCAACAAUAGGCUAUAUGGCACCAGGUUUGUUCAAUAUAAAUAUUUUCUAUUUCUUAUAAACUUCCUAAUAUGUUAUUUAUAUUUCAUGAUCUUGAUUAGAUGAGGAAAUUAUUAUUAAUGAUAUAUCUUAUUAUGUAAUUGUUGCAAUUCAUAGAGUAUGGAAGAGAAGGACGAGUAUCCACAAAUGGAGAUGUUUAUAGCUUUGGGAUUAUGUUAAUGGAAACAUUUACCGAGAAGAAACCCACAGAUGAAAUUUUUAACGAAGAAAUGACAUUAAAGCAAUGGGUUAAUGAUUGGCUACCCAUUUCCACUAUGGAAGUUGUUGAUGGUAAUUUGCUUAGUCAGGAGGACAUACAUUUUGUUGCAAAGGAGCAAUGUGUGUCAUAUGUCUUCAAUUUGGCUAUGGCGUGCACUGUGGAAUCUCCUAAGCAGAGAAUCAAUGCAAAAGAAAUUGUAACAAAGCUCUUAAAAAUUAGAGGCUCAUUACUUAGAAAUGUUGGAGGCAGAUGUAUAAGACAAUCAAAUUUAAAUUGAUUCGGCCCCCCAUUCAUUGCUUGCUAUCCUUUUCAGAGACUUCAACGGUUAUCCUUCAUACCGGUUUUGUUGAUAUGUUUUCUUAUUGCUCUUGCUCAUGUUUAUUUCUCUAUUUCUUUAAUUUGCAUGCAUGUAUUUUUCGUUCUCUUUUAUGUUUUUGUUAGUUUGUAUGUAGUUUACUUUUAGGGGUAAGGUUGAUUAUGUCCUCCCCUAAUUAGACAUAUCAUUUUUAUGUUUAUUCAAUAAAGCUUCUCUAAUAUUAUCGAGGUUCAUCAAAAGAAAAUUUUUAAUUAAUUUUCUUUUCUUUGACAGGUAAUGAAAUUCUAAUCUUGAUAGUGAAUAACUUCAAUAAUAGAGUGUAAGAGUAUUAGUAGUUAUGGUUGUUUUUUGAACCUGGAGUCAAGAGCAGUUUAACAGCGACAGACAAGUCUCUUGUAUUAUAGGCAAAAUUCUUUUCAUUAAUCUUAUUUGUCUACAUGUUCUCCUAUUUUCUCCAUUAAUCUUCGCUCAAGGUUUCAUGCUUCCUCUUUGAUAAAGGAAAAUAUUACUUGUGAAUAUUUCAAUUUGACAUAAGAGACUGUUUUGCCAACCAUUUGAUAAAAUGGAUGUGAGUGGAGCUUUCAAUCAUUACCUCCACCAAAAUCCUUACAACGCCGCUUUUAAAUUUUAUUUUUUAAAAUACAUUCAGUUUAAUUUAUAAAAAAAUAAAUCCAUUUGUUAAAAUUAAUCUUUUUCUCAUAAAUUUCAACCUAAAAAAUAUAUUUCUUUUAAAUUUUUAAUUAUAAAAUACAUAUAAGUUCUAAACUAUUAUAUUACUUUCAUCUUAUUAUAUAGUUUAUAUCUCCAUAACUCUAAACUCCUAUAAUUUUUUAAAAAAUAUUUUUAAUUUAAAAUACAAAUAUAAAAUAUAGAAUGGAGUGGGUGUAAGAAAACUUGUUAAAAGAAGAAUUCAUUUAAGUAUUUAACUAAAUUUAAAUUAAAAUAAGAAAUAAAUAAAUUUAUUUUUUAUUAGUUAAAUAAUUUUCAAUUGAAAAAGAGCUUUAUGAGUAAUAUUAUUGAAAUAUAAUUAAAAUUCUUAUGAAUUAAACAUUUUUGUAUAAAUACUAGUGAUAAUUAUAGAGAAAGUACGAUGAACCAAAGAAAACUUGAAUAUAAAUAUUCCAAUGUAAUUUUACACAUGCAAAUUAUGAACCAAUGAUCUUUAGAGCAUCAUAAAAUUAUUUUAACACAAUUAUUUAUUUUGAAAAAUUGCCAAUAAUGUUUAAAGUGGGAUUGAAAUGAUUAUGCUACUUAUAUAAGACAUGAUAUCAUUUAAGACGGUUUACAGAUUAUGAGAAAUAUUAUGAUCUUACAAAUAUUUAAUAUGUCAAUUAGACUGAGUCUAUGCAAUAAAAAUUUCAAAUUAAAAAAUAAACCCUUUAUUUUCUUUUAAUCAUAAGUGUGAUCUUAAUUAUUAAAGUCAUUCAAUGUCCGUUACUUAUUCAUUUUUUUAAUUACUUAAAUGACAUUGAAAACUCUACUCAAUAAUAAUUCAUUCAAAUGUUUUAUUUUAAAGUAAUCGGGAACUGCAAAUGAAACAAAUGCUUGAAAUCACAAACGGCCUAAAAUUAGAUUUUCAUUUUUCAAUGUUGCAGUGACUUUGAUCUUGAUAUUGAAAAUUUAUUUGUAACUUAUAUAAAGGUCUCAAUUUUAUCAUAAUUGAUUAGUAAGGCUAUGUAGGGAGCAUGGAUAAAUUUUGGGAUUGGAUUAUAUUUUUGGAACUAAAAAAUUAAUUUCAUCUAAUGUUAUGUUUGGCUGUCAAGACUAGCAACUUAGUCUAAAAUUAUUGAAAUUAUUAAUCUUUUAUAUUAUAAUCUUUUUGUUCCCACUUUAAACAUUAUUGGUAACUUAAAUCAUUUUUUAAAUUAAAUAUAAAAAUCAUUUAAAUUAAAUAUUAACAUUAAUUUCAUAAUUUUUUUACCUAGAAUUUUAUAUUAUAUUAAAUACUAAAAUUCUAUUCGAUAAUGUAUUAUCAUUUAUUUAAUAAAUGUUUAGGUUUUUAGUAUGUUAUAUUAUUCUUUAAAUUAAUUUUUUAUUUACAUAUAAACAUAAAUUAAUAUUUACUAAUUUAAAUUUAUUAUAAUUUAUUAAAUAAUAAAAUCUAAAUGAUUAUAUUUAAAAUAUAAAUUGUAUUUUAAUGUAUUAUAGCCUAAAUCUUACCCCUAUGAAUUUAUUUUUUCCACCUUUUAUUCUAUUAACCACAUUUAUAAGGCAGUGCGAUGCAACUAAAAAUUAUAACCAAAUAUGAGUUAGCAUGAAAAUAAUAUUUUAGUACAAUACAAUACAAUGUAAUAUAAACUGACAAAUAGAUAUUUAAUGGAAGCAAAAAUUGCAUAUGGCUUGUCGGUCUCUCAAAAGACAACAAAGAAACCAAUAUGAUGCACUGAUUCUGUCCUCUUUAACAGUGCCUUUACUAAAUGGGAACAUAAUGGAUUAGAAUCGGAAUAGAAUGGAAUCGAAAUAAGGAUUUAGAACAAGAACAAGAUAUAUAAUUAAGCUGUAUGAAUUAGAAUCAGAAUAAACUUUAUUCUAAUUGAUGUGUUUAUUUUCUCUUGAAAUUAGAAUGGACUAUUACAAGCUACUAAAAAAUCAUUUGGUAAAUGCUGUCUCUAAUAUUAUUUGUAUAUGUUAUAAUGUUAACAAUAAUAAGAAUAAAAAUAAUACUAAAAAUGAAAAUAAUAAUAAUAAUAAUAGAGACAAUAACAAUAAAAUUAAUAUAUUAUUAUUAUUAUUAUUAUUAUUAUUACUACUACUACUACUACUACUAUUACUACUACUACUAGUAGUAGUACUGAAGACCACCCGGUGAAGAUUGGAUAGUGAAGAUGAAGACGACGAAGAUCCUGGCAACCAACUGCUGCUCCAAAGAUGAUGUGCCCAAAUGGAGACAACUAAUGAUGACCAGCCAACUAGAUCCCAAUCUCAAUGUUGUGAUCUCGCAUGACCAUUAAUAAAGCGAUGUGUGAUGUCGGUGUUGUGAUUUCUUUUUUAUUUAUAUUUUUUAAUUUAUCGGAGGUUUUUUCAAAAUUUAAUAAUUUUAAUAUAGGUAAAUCGGAGUCUAGUGAACAGGAUUCCUAACCAUCCUAGGAAUUAGUUUCUCAUUCUCUAUUUUUAAUUUAAUGUGGGUUCUAUUAUUUCGAUUCCAAUCUUAUAUUUAUUUAUGAAGUAAAUGAUGUUAAUGAUUUCGAUUUCCAAUUUGAAAAGUAAACACAUCAUAAUAUUUUUUUAGGUGCUUCCAUGGCAUAAUCUCAUUGGUCCAUUUUUCUUCACGCCUUAUAUUCAACUUCUAAGAUUCAAGAUUCAAGAUUCAAUUUGAAGCAAACACUACUACAAAACAAAUAUAAUAAGCGUUAAUGAGCCUGUGGCCAAGCAAAUGUAACUCGUAGUGACAGAAUCAUAUCUUAUUAUCUUACGCCAGAAGUUAAACAAUGUUCCCAUUCCACGUGUCACUCUCUGACCAAUCCCCAAACUUUCUUCAUAUUUCCAAAGAAACCCUUACCAAGUCAUGAUAAUUACCUUCACUCUGCUCAUAUAACUACUGUCCUCGAUUCAACUGAUGACGACAAAUCCUUACAGUCUUUAUUUAAAAGGGAAAAUUAUAAAAAAAAUUCUCCUCGUUCCCUAAAAGUCUAGGGUUUCUCAAGAAUCGCUAAACCUAGAUCCCAAUCCUUCAAAAUCUCUAUUUAACCUCUCUAGGAUUUCGAUUUUCGAGGAUUCGCUUCAAAAUUUAGUAAUUUUUAGUGGAUUUUGCUUGUCUCGUAUCCUUCAAUUGUUGUUCGGUUCUGAAAAUAAUUUGGAAUUUUAGGCAUUUUCAGAUUAUUUGGUUUUGUUUGAGUGCAAUUUCCUCUAGUUACGGUUUCAGUUUGAAGGGUUAAGUGCAAUUUCGAAUUUUUUUAUAAAAUUUAAAUUAAAAUUCCUUAGACGAUUGGGCGUUUAAUAAUUAAUUGAUGGCUAGCGAUACUACAACGGCGGCCGCAGCUGCGGAAGAAGCAGAGGCGAUGGAGGAGUAUGAUAGCAAUCCAAAUGAAGUGAAACGCUCUCUUGUGAUGCGCAGAAGGGAUGCCAGCGAUGAGGAGGAGGCGGAGGAUUAGAGAGAUUCAGAGCUUCCAAUCGCUCAAAGUGUCUACAUUCCUGCGGGAGAAGCGGAGGCUGUGGAUGAGUAUGAGAGCGAUCCAGAUGAAGUGACACACUCUCUCGUUCUGCGCAGAAGGGAAACAAGCGAUGAUGAGGAGGUUUUUGUUUGGCAUAGUUAAGUGGUUAGUUUGAAGAUGGCUACUGAUUAUGCAGCUAGGUACGCAUUAGUGUUUGUGGAUUUCUAAAUGCUUUCUGUCAGAUGUGACUCGAUUAUUACUAGAAGUAUAUGGAUCUUACACUUAAUUAAUUAUAUAUCCAUUUAUAAUGUUCAAAAUGAUAAUGUACUAUUGCUUGAAAUUAUGCUUUCAAGACAUCAUUUUGAAAAUCCAUGGUUGUAAUGUGUCUCUAAAUUCAGUAAUACAAGUUCUGUCAAUUAGUGUUGGAUGCAGUGACCUGAAUAGUUUAAUAUUCAUUUGCAGAACAAAUUUCCGUGCGUUCUGCUGGAAAUUUAAUUAGCUUCAUUUGAGCAUUAAUUAGACUUCUCUUGCAUUGAAUGAAUGGAUGAGUGCUAAUCCAUGCAUGCACAAUGAAUGCUAAAUCUAAGGUAUGGUAAAAUGUCAGCAAGCUUGGCCCAAAUUAUCAAGCUGGUUUGGUGGCUACUAGAUUUGUUCAUCCGGAUUUUGGACCAUUUUCCUUGACAAUGAGAAAAGCUCCAAGAAAUUGAAGACUCACUGAAAGCUCCAAGUUUCAGGUAACUCUUGUGUUGUGUGCUCGGAGUAUUCUCUAUUGUAUUUUUUUGUUUGUUAUUUAUUCGACGUAUUGCUAGCAGAGAUCUUGGGUGGGAACCAAAAAUUCCCAACAAUUGUCAAUUGUUUUAAACUCUAUUCUGAACAGAGCAUGAAGGGAUUCACUUAUCUAAUUAUGUCUUUUAUGCUUUAACUUCACUUGAUUACAUCUUUUCCAUCACCUUUAUUAAAGUUGUAUAUGUUGGAGUAUUAGGUUCAUCAUAAGGAUCAUAUUAUGGCUAAGGAAGGAGCACAGUUUAUCAGCUGCACUGAAGUGUAGCAUAGAAUUUGGAUUCAAAACUGAUGCAAGGCUGUUGCUGUGUAAUUGCAUGCCAUGCUUGCUAGUGCGCUCUAACAGAUUGCUGAGCUGGCACCGGAUGUUUUUAACUAAUAUUAGUAAUUAGUCUAGAGUGUUCGAUUUAUUCUAUAAAUGGCUCAUUUGAGCUUACAACCUUUAAAGUUGUAUCACACGAUUCUGUUACUUCUAAUACGGAUUUUCUCUAUUCCUUUUUCUAUCACUUUCUCUUCCAUUUCAUGAUCCCCAAACACCAUCAAUCCAUGAUUUUCUAGAGUAUUAGCCGUCAUUCCAUGAUUUUCUUGUUAUUUUUUCUUUCACUUUCUCUUCCAUUUUCCCACUCCCCAAACACCACCAAUCCCUGAUUUUUGGAGUAUUAGCUGUCUAUUUCUACAAACAUAGAAGUGCUGUUUGUUUGUCCAAUUACUUUCGAGAAACAAAACUCUCUGUCCUGUGGUCUUUUCGUUUAUUGACUUGUGAGUAAAUAAGAUAUUGGGCCAAUGGACUUAACGUGACAAGUUCUUGAAUUGAAUGGCUCCUCUUUUCUCCAUAAAUCUUUGCUUAAUUUUUUUGUUCCCUCAACUUUUUGGGCCUUUUGAGUUAAAAUUCUUUUUUUGAUACAUUAUGCAAAAAUUAUGAUGAAAAUGAGUUACUUUAGAAGAUCAACAAAUUUUUAUUACAUGACAAGACAAUUAUACUUAGAUUACUCUUAUUUAGUUGAAUUAUAGGUAAUAAAAUUAGUUUAACAAAAUCUAACCCGUAAAUAUUUCUUAUCACAUGAUUAACGUACUUAAAAAUCUUAACUGAUUGGUCGCUUGUUUUACAAUUCUUUUAUAUAUCUAUGAAACUUUCAGCUUCCUAACACAUCAUAUUGUUCUCAAUUCGUCUAAAUUAUUAUUUUUUUUUCGAACACUGCGGCAACAAUCAGUAUAAAAUAGAAUGAACUCAUUUAAUGAAAAAAUUUCUAGAUGCUUUCAUGGCAGAAUCUCAUUGAUCUAUUUCUCUUCACACCUUAGGUUCCUCUAACAAACUUACCUCUUAACUCUCAUGUCCGAAUUUAAACUUGAAAGAUGUUCCCCAUCCCACGUGUUCCCAAAUCUUCGUAUUUCCAAACAAACCCCUGCCACAUAGAGAAGAGGAUGAUUCCUACAAAGCCACGUAAUCAAGUGAUAGGAUGGCUUUUAUUGCAAACUGUAUGAUUCCUCUAACAAACCCAUUAAUUAUACUCACCUUAUGCCAUGUUUCUGGUGUGUCUUCACAAAUUCACCGAUACAAAUUAAUUUCUACCAAUAUUACCAAAUGAUUGUAUUUUACGUUUCUAUUUACUUGUAAUAAAGAUCUUCUGUGUGUGUGUGUGUGUGUGUGAUAUAAGUGUUGAUUUUAAAGUAAGGUAAACAUAGGAGCUUUCUUUCUUUUACUCUGUAUUUCAUGGUCAUUCAAUUUUAUUGGUUACAAAAUUCUCUAGGAUUGCAUGUAGAUUAUACUUUUAUAUACUUUUUUUUUUCUUCUUUCGCAUUAUUUUUCUGGGUGAACAUAUUAUUUUCGUCAUCAUCUCUAUAACAAUGAAGUGAAAAUAGUCCUCGUUUAUAGUAUUGACAGCAAUGUUAUACUCAAUAAAACGCAUAAAGCACGCAUGAUUUAGCCGAAUCUAAGCGAUAAGUGUUUCCAUGUGAGCCAUAAUUUGGGAAAAAGGCCAAUUCAAGUUAAAGAUCAGAAAAGUCUGUCCCGCACGAAUACAAUAAUUCGAGCCACGCAUUCAUCAAACGCGCGCAUUGCAAAUACACUUCAAUAUGUUGUCUCAUAGGGAGAAAUCCUUCACUCUUUGACGUAAUGCUUGGGCAACGUAAAUUAGUCCCAUUUUUUUAUGCAUGAGAGACAAUUAGUCCCAUUUUUUGCCGUCAACUCUUCUCAUCUACGUCAGGUAAUGUGUCUUUUAUUUGGCAUGAAAAAGCCAAUACUUGCACGAGUGUAGCAUCACUGAUUUGUGUAAUUUUCAGGACUGGUAAAUUAUCUCAAUUUUUAAAAAAAUAUAAUUACAAUUAUAUAUCGAACACCACUAAUUCCAAUAAUUUAUCCAAAAAUAUCUUUGAGUUUCAAGGAAUUAAUGUAGCACGAAUGGCCAAGUUUUUCACCUUUUUAGAUAUUUGAUAUAUGUCAUGUUCUAACUUAGUACGAGAAGAAAAUUAUAGAAUAAUUUUUUUUUUUAAAUUAGUGGAAUUAUUUUUCGAUAAAAUUAUCACAAUCACAUUUAAAAAUAUUCUUUGGAUUUUCACUAUUUCUACUGUUAUUCUUUAAACUCUUUUCUGAACAGAGCAUGGAGGGUCACUUAUCUAAAUAUGUUUUGUGUGCUUUCACUUCACUUGAUUCAUCUUGUCCCUCUUUUAUAGCUUCUAUCUCGUGUGAGCUUAGAACCUGCAACUCGUAUUUUACGUUUCUAUUACUUUCUCUUUCAUUUUCCCGACUCCCAAACACCAUCAGUCCUUGAUGUUAUAGAGUAUUAGCUGUCUAUUUGUACAAACAUAGAGCUACUGUUCGUACUUUAGAUCUUCAGAUGGUUAGCUAACUAUUGUUUGAAUAUUAAAAUUAAUUUGUUAAAUAAAUAAAGAAAACAAGAGACAAUUACCAUACAUAUUCCAUUAUAAUUAGUCACCGUCCAAUUGUCUCCGCUUCCAUUGAAUCUGUUGAUUCAUGCUUUAAUGAAGUGAAACGCUUAACACUCUGUUCUGAUCCGCAGGAGAGGAGGAAAAACAUAAUUUUAUUAUUUCAUUCCUGACACGGGCAAAGAGCUUUCUUAGCCGGCUUGGCAGCUAAUUCCUUAAAAUUUGUUACAUUUCAUUUAAAUGAUGAAUGCGACAUGAAGCUCUAUAAAUAGUUUAAUUUGUAGAAUUGUUAAAAAUUUAAAUUUCAAGUAAGGUAGAUAAAAUGAUUGAUGUUUUUCAAUAUUUAGUAAUGAACAUGUGUCAUGUUACUAUGAGUGAAUGAAUGAAAUUUUCUAUAGAAAAUACAAUGCUAGUAUUAAAAAUUUUAAGUGCGAAUCCAUUUAGUGUACGUUUUCCCGACUCCCAAACUCCACCAAUCCUUGAUUCUUUUCCUAGAGUAUUAGCUGUCUAUUAUUACAAACAUACAGUUUGUCCAAUUACCAUCAAGAAACAACAUACCUUGUCCUGGGGUCUCUUUGAUUAUUGACUUGUGUGACUUGUAAACGGGGGGGCAUUCCCUUCUUGAAGAAAGAAUGCAAAGAGCCCAAGAAAGUACUAAUAUAUUAUCUCAAUAUUUUGAUGAAUGUGACAUUACUGGUUUGCAUAAUUUUUUGGACUAAUAUAUUAUCUCAAUUUUAAAAAAAAUGUAAUUGCAAUUAUCAAACACGACUAAUCCCAACAAUUUAUCCAAAAAAUUUUGUUUCAAGAAAUGUAGCAUUUAUGAUAGAAUGGCUAAUUUUUUCAAUCGACUUUCUGGAUAAAUGAUAUUUUUUUGAUAGAAAUGUUUCUUACUUAUUACAGGAAGAAAAUUAUAGAAUAUUUUUUUGAAUUAAUAGUAUUACUUUACGAUAACACUAUCACAAUCUAAUUUUAAAAAAAAAAAGUUAUUCUUUAAAUUUCGCAUUACUAUUCCUACUUUUCUUGUUAUACUACUUUUCUUGUUAUAGUUCAAUAUCUGCUGUCCCACUAAGCAUUGUUAAAUUCAUACGAUAAAAUGAGUACUUAUAUUAAAAAAACAAUCAAUCUCAUUGCGUGCUCUUUCAUUGACAUAGGCAAUUUGCUGUCAACUUGUGGCACUUUUAUGAAUUUUCAAGACAAGUGAAUUUUUCAAAUUUAAAAGAAAAAAAUACAGAAAUGUAAUUUCAAUUUAUCCAAAAAUUUGAGUUUCAAGGAAUACAGCAUUUAUUAUGUCAUGUUAAUAUAGAGAAGAAAAUUUUAAAAACUUAUUUUUGGAUGAAUAAAAGUAUUUUCUGAUAAAUAUUUCACAAUCAAAUUUAAAAAAUUUCACUCCUCCUGGUACAUAAUUUAAGAAUUUAACAUUAUAAAUUAAUCUUUUUAAUCAAAGUAAUAAUCUCUCCUCGGUCUGCAAAUGCUAAAAUUUAAUAUUAUAUCCAUUGACGAUAUUUGCUCCAAAUUCACGAAAAUAAAAUUUCUAACAGAAUUAUGAAAUUCGUUACUAGAAAUUUGUAUAAAAGUUGUGAGAAUAGAAGGAAUGGUCAUAGGAAAUUAAUAUAUCCCUAUCCGAUGCAAAAAUGAUUGUAAAGAAAAACAAAAGUCACGGGCUUAUUUAGAAAAAAGAAAAAAUUACAUUCCAUUUUCCAGUUAUUAAAGUAAUUCUAAAAUCGCUAGGAUCACAAAGGAUAGGCUUUGGUUGACUGAGGUCAGCCUUAACGCAUGCCGGUCUUUUUCUCCUCUACAUUCUUAGAAAUUUUGGUUUCACUAUAAAUACUCGGUAUAUAGCAAACUUAUAAGUGUUCUUGCAUUACCCAUCCAACUAAGCACACUGUCACGGGACAAGAGGUUUCGAGCCCGUGCGGCACUCUCGCAUCCCAUACUACGAGAGUAAGCCUAGUGGAAGUGGCACAAUUUCGACUGGUUUUGCCCUGCCUUAGGCUCGUCAGGAGAACGGCUUCAGUUCCCAACCAGUGUGCGUCAGGAUUUUCCUAGACCCCUCUUCAGCGUUAAGUCCUCGACUAGCGACAAGCUCCCCAAACUCAACCGGGUCGGCCUGCCUGAACUCCAAAGAGUCUAGGGCGUUGUAUUCCCCACACACACAUUCCUGAAGCACGUCUCCAACAAUCAGCACAACUGUCAUCGACACUAGCGUACAAGCGCAUAUCUUGGGUGUCACGAUUGCGGUCCGUGACAUUCUCCCACCGCCAUAACCAUGCACGUCCUCGUGCAUGCAGAGUACGCCUCGCAAGUGUGCACUUCCGCGCGAAAACGUGAAGAUCGGCUUGCCAAUCUCAACCCAUGAACUCCCUGCCUACUCGUCCUUGAUCCGUGGAGAGGACCCGCGUGCAGACACUAUCCACUUAGUGCGAAUGCUUGGGGGUAUGAGAACCCGCCUGUUCGUCCCGCUUGUCGACCCUUGCGCUCAAAAGGGUGGGGACCUGCGUGGUGCGGCAUUGGAGCGCUUGGCGAGCUCGCGACGAGGGCUUCGAGAGAUGACAAGCGCGGCUCUGAUACCAUUUGUCACGGGACGAGAGGUUUCGAGCCCGUGCGGCACUCUCGCAUCCCAUACUACGAGAGUAAGCCUAGUGGAAGUGGCACAAUGUCGACUGGUUUCGCCCUGCCUUGGGCUCGUCAGGAGAACGGCUUCAGUUCCCAACCAGUGUGCGUCAGGAUUUUCCUAGACCCCUCUUCAGCGUUAAGUCCUCGACUAGCGACAAGCUCCCCAAACUCAACCGGGUCGCCCUGCCUGAACUCCAAAGAGUCUAGGGCGUUGUAUUCCCCACACACACAUUCUUGAAGCACGUCUCCAACAAUCAGCACAACCGUCAUCGACACUAGCGUACAAGCGCAUAUCUUGGGUGCCACGAUUGCGGUCCGUGACAACACGCUUACAAUAUAAAUACUCUCAUCUCAUGGAAAGAGUUCAUUCUCUCAGGAUGAUGAGCAGAUUUCUCUUACUCUAUUGUUUGAUUCUUAUUUCCUUAUUUAUCGCGGUAGCAACAGCCAACACAAGUUCUACUAUCACAGACCAAUAUGCUCUGUUAGCCCUGAAAGCUCACAUAACUCAUGAUCCGACCAAUUUCUUGGCCAAGAACUGGAACACAAGUACUCCUGUCUGUAUUUGGACAUGCGUCACUUGUGAUGUCCAUAGCCAUAGAGUCACAAUCUUGAAUAUUUCUGGCUUAAAUCUCACGGGUACCAUCCCUCCUCAACUUGGGAAUCUUUCUUCUCUGCAAUCACUCAAUCUCAGUUGUAACCGACUUUCUGGUUCCAUUCCCUCCGCCAUCUUCACCAUAUAUACACUGAAAUAUGUUGGUUUCCGUAGAAAUCAGCUCUCGGGGCAAAUUCCUGAAAAUAUUUGUAGUAAUCUUCCUUUUCUUGAAAUUCUUUCUUUGUCCCGAAACAUGUUCCAUGGCGGAAUACCGUCCACUCUAUCAAAUUGCACAUAUUUGCAAACAUUAGGUUUGGUAUACAAUAAUUUCUCGGGGACCAUACCUAUAGAAAUCGGCAAUUUGACCAAACUUAAGGAAUUAUAUCUUGGCGGUAACAGGCUCCAAGGUGCGCAUGAUCACGAAGUUUCAUUAUGAAAUUUGUUGCAUAAGUUGUAAUAUGUAUAAUGUUCCAUGAUACAGUUUACACACGUUGAUUAAUUUGCAGGAGAAAUUCCGCGAGAGUUUGGCAAUCUUGCCGACUUGGAGCAGAUGUCGUUGGCGAUAAACAAUCUCCAAGGCAUGAUUUUAAACUUUUUGCAAUUUUAUUUUAGCUAUGCUUGCUUCUGUAUUCAUUCGCUUGUUCUUUGAUUAUGCGAUGAUUUAUUGUUUUUCUUUCAGAUAGAGAUAAAGCUCCAUGUCUCCCCUCACUCAUUUCAUUCCUUAAUUUAUGCAGAUAAAAAAAAAAAAAAAGAAUGUUCUGUAAUUUUCUUUUGUCAUAUUACCACUUCCAUUUUGAAGCUUCCAAUUAAGUCGAUGAAAAUGAAUGAUGUUUCAUUCUUAUUCUUGUCAGCCUAAUUCUUAUAUAAAUGAAGAGUAAAUUGUGAUUACGAUAUUCGUCAGCCAAUAAAUUCUUCUUUUUUUCCCCCCCCAAACAUGAGUGAUCAAAUUGUUUGCGCAUAUAUAAAUGUACUUAAUUUACAGGAGGUAUUCCACGGGAAUUGGGGAAUCUUACAAAAUUGGAGAUAUUACAGGUGUUCCAGAAUAACUUGACCGGUAACUUUCUUUACAAUAUAUAUACGAGACAUCUUCCGCUUUUUAUUAGAAAUUAUAAAUUCAAGUUAAAUCUUAAUUAAAAGUUUUCAAGUCUCUCAUUAUAUAUUCUCAUAUGAGGAUGUGUCGUUACCACUAUCUAACAUUAUUCCGUUUUUUAUUAGAAAUUAGUUUGUGUUAAUUCAAAAUUCUGUAGCAUUUAAAAAAAUUAAAAACACGUGGAAUAAAUUGUUAAUCUUUCUUCUUUACUGAAUUUGGAUUUCUCAAAAAUAAUCUUGACAAGUAUGCUUCACUAAUGAUAUGCAUGUGUGACAACUUCAUAAAAUAUUUUACAUGGAAUCACUAAUUAUCUCUAAAGAUGCCAUCAGUGAUAUAUAAUUUCUUAACAAGCACCAUACCAAAAGAAAUCAACAAUUUUAUUAAUCUUAAAGAGUUAAAUCUUCACUGCAAUUAUGACAUAAAUUUUUAGUCAUCAAUCGCAUAGUAUUUUAUCUUAACUGAUGAUGAUGUUCAGUCUUGGAAUUUAUAAUAUCUUGAAGGUUAGUAGCUUUGAAAAUAAGAAAUUGUUCAUUUGCUAAAAAGUUAACUUAGUAUUUAAGUUUUCCAAUUGAAAAUUUUGAAAAAAGCGUUGAGAACUGGCACUCCAUAGUAUUUCAGCGGAUAAAUAUGAAAAAUAGGCUAGAAGAAAUUAUUUUACUUUAAUAAGAGUUAAAAAGAUAGGACAAGUACAGUACUCAUGACUUAGGCUUGCUGUGUGUGCUUAUUCCAAUUGGGUUUUGGGCUUGAUUACACCUGUUAUAAUAAUGAGCUUUUGCUUUCACCGCACACUAAUAAUUUCCUAACCUUCCAUUUAGGUUAUAGAAAUUUAAAUAUAAAUAAUAAAGCAUACUAAAGCUAGCAUUGAUGUACGGAUGAGUGGCGUCAAAAGUGUAUCUGUUUUUAUGUAUUAUUUAUUCUCUAAAACAAAUCUGAAUACAAUUCUUUCAAAAUACCGAUGAAAUAGAACAUGAAAUCGGAAAUAUUUUAUUGCGAUGAGAAUUCGUAUAUUAAUUGUAGUAGAACAUAUAAAAUAGAGUAUAAAUUUAUUAUUCUUUGAAGCAAACCUGAUUAUAAUUCCUUCAAAAUUAAGUUUGUCAUUAAAUGAUUUCUCAGGAGCCAUACCAAAAGAAAUCCGGAAUUUGACCAAACUAAAGCAAUUAUCUCUCUACAGUAACAGGCUCCAAGGUGCGCAUGAUCACAGAGUUUAAUUAUGAAAAUUGUUGCAUAAAUUAUAUGGAUAUCCUUAAUAACCGCAGCAAGCAAACAAAAUCAAAUAAAAGCUAACUGAGACUCGAAUAUCCUAAACCCUGAAAAGGAAUGGUAAUGGUAUAAUAUGGAUUCUGUAGGCAUAUUUCACUGGACUCAACAUUUAUGGUUAAUUUACAACUCUUUGUUGGAAAGUCUGAGAAAUUGCUCUAUAUUAGGGGUGGGGAAAAUAAUGCUAGGCCACGAAUUUCAGGCAGAAUCCAGAUUGGGCCCAAUUAGACUUAUAGCUCAGCUCUGUGUCGAUAUCUGGGCCUUUACAAAUAAUUAAUGGGCCAAUUAAUAAUAAUAGAUAAAUUGAGAAGGGUGCGAGUGAAAUUAGAUAUGAAUGAAUCUGCCAGUGUAUGUACACAUUUUUCUAAUUAAUGCAUUAUGAGCCUGCCGCUGCCAGCAUGGAAAUUACAGAAACUAAGGAGAGAAUUGACCCAUUAAUUAAAUUAAAAAGAAUACUGAAUAUAUAAGCAGUCAAAAUAUAGGUGAAGUAGGCAUGAAUUGUCACAUAACUAAAUUUGAGAGUAAAACCGUGACUUGGGUUUGAAUGUUUGAUUAAGUUACUUCUAUUUCUAAGUUGCUUAUUUUGCGUGGGCUUCGGGCUUAGUUACACACGGUCGAACACUUACACAGUUCCCCUGACAUAGGCUUUCACUUUCACCACACAUUUGAUAAUUUCUUAGCCUUCCCAAUUAGUUUAUAGUAAUUUAUAUAUAAAUGACUAAAGCAUACAAAAGCUACCAUUGACGUACGGAUGAGUGGUGUCAAAAGUGUAUCUUCUUUUAUUUAUUAUUGUCCUAUGAUACAAAUCUGAAUAAUGGAAUAUAAUGCUUUGAAAAUACCGAUGAAAUAGCACAUGAAAUCGGAAAAUAUUUUACUGCAAUAAGAAUUCAUAUAUUCAUUGUAGUAGCACAUAUAGAAUAGACUAUAAAUUUAAUUUUAAAAUACAUUCUUAUCUUCAUAUAAAUUUUACAUUACUAAUUUAAAUUAACAUUAAAAUAUGUUGUUUCUUUCACUAUGUUAUUUUAUUUACACAAAGAUGUGACUAUUGGAAUUAAUAAUACUUAUGAUUAUUUUGUAAAAAUUAAAUUUAAUACUUUGUUAACAUUUUAUCUACAUAUAAUAAUUAAACUGAAACUUGUAUUUAAAAAAUUCUAGUUACGCAUAUUCAUUUCACGACAUAAAAGUGUAUAUUUAUGCUAAUUUACCAUUAUCAACAAAAUGCUUUAGACAAAUAAUCUAAUUUAUAUUUUUAUAUUUAAAAUACUUGCAUUUAUUAUAUUUUGAAAAAAAUGUAUUUGCAAUUAUUUUAAACCGUUGGAUUCAAAUUUUCGUAGUUAUUAAAGUCAAAGGGUAUAAAUGUAUAAUAGUCAAAAAUAGAUUUGUAUGAUUAUUUUCAAUGUAUAAAUUUUCUUAGUUAGUAGGAAAAUUAGAAAUUGUUGAUUUACUCAUAAAUAAAUUUAAUGUUUAGCAUUUCAAUUUUGGAAAACUUGAACUAAAUGUUGAUAACUUCGAAUCGGUCGAGCCGAGUUUCUCUUCCUUGACCCACGGACCCAUUGAAAGUUCUAUUCGAAUUGAAUUUCCCGGUGCUUAUAAAAAGCAUUUCUUUUCCUUGUCGCAUUAAUUUAUUCACAAAUGAGUUGAUUAGCAUCGAAGUUACCUGAGAGUGUGAGACCAUGCUAGUAGGAGAAAUUUGAAAAGAAAUUAUUUUACUGAAUUAAUUUAUUUUAUCUUGUUGUAACUGAAAUAUUAUUUUUUUUUUGGGCUAUCACUGGGGCUUGAUUUACUUUAAUAGUAGCAGCCACCGACUUAGGCGUUUUUUAAUUCUCACCACACAAUUUUAUCUUUUAAUUCGUUUUAACCACAUAAUCUGUCUAUCUAUCUCUCACCUAUUGGUUACUUAAAUCGCAUACAUAUUUUACCUACUAAUUUUUAUAAAUAUUAGUCAAAUAUAUUUUAUUACGUUUCUCUCGUAAUUGCUCCAAAUGUGUACUAUUAAUACUUAACCCUCCCUUUUAAUUUAACCCAAAAAAUAUAAAAAUAAAAGAAAAAGAACAUGCAUAGCAAUUUGCAUAUAACUAACAAAGAAUUGACAGUUUGUAGCCUUUCAAUACUUCACGAGUGGCUUUUCUUGUGUGUUAGUACUUGUAAUAAUUGUGUAGUGUAUAAAUGACAUUUUAUUAUUAAAGUGCGUACAUUUUUAGAUAUUACUUAUUAUUUAAAAAUAAUCUGAAUAUAAUUCUUUUAAAAUACAGGGGAGAUACCACUUGAAAUUGGUAAUCUCCAAAAUCUGGAGGAGUUGAGUCUUGGCCUAAACAAAUUAAUUGGUACUAUCCCAGUUGCAAUCUUUAAUGUGUCAACACUCAAAAUGCUUGAGCUUCAAGAUAAUUCUCUCUCGGGAAGUCUUUCGUCCAUCGCAGACGUCCGACUACCAAAUCUUGAAAAGCUUCAUUUGUGGGGUAAUAAUUUUAGUGGCACAAUUCCUCGUUUCAUCUUUAAUGCUUCUAAGCUCUCUAUACUAGCUUUGGGAGACAAUUCAUUCUCCGGUUUUAUUCCCAACACAUUUGGCAACUUAAGAAACCUUGAGUGGCUUAAUGUACAUGAUAAUUAUUUGACAACUUUAACUCCAGAAUUGAGCUUUCUAUCCUCGUUGUCAAAUUGCAAGUCUUUAACAUUUAUUGGCUAAUCAAAUAAUCCACUAGAUGGCAUUCUUCCAAGGACGUCUGUCGGUAAUCUUUCUCGUUCUUUGAAAGAAGUUUACAUGUCCAAUUGUAAUGUUAGUGGCGGCAUCCCUAAAGAGAUCACCAACUUGACCAACUUGACAACCAUUUAUUUAGGGGGCAAUAAAUUGAAUGGAUCAAUUCCGAUUACUCUCAGCAAAUUACAGAAGCUUCAAGGUUUGGGUCUUGAAUAUAAUAAAUUAGAAGGAUCAAUCCCAGACAGUAUUUAUCGUUUGACUGAACUGUAUGAGUUGGAGUUGGGUGGCAAUAAGCUUUCAGGAUCAAUCCCUGCAUGCUUCGGUAAUUUGAUUGCUCUGAGGAAACUGUCGUUGGGUUCCAAUGAGUUAACUUCUAUUCCCUUAACUUUUUGGAACCUUAAGGAUAUCUUGUACCUCAACUUUUCUUCAAAUUGUUUUACUGGCCCACUCCCAUUAGAGAUUGGAAAUUUGAAGGUUUUGGUUGGAAUGGAUUUUUCGAUGAAUAAUUUUUCAGGUGUUAUCCCAACAGAAAUUGGAGGCCUAAAAAAUCUAGAAUAUCUCUUCUUAGGAUAUAACAGAUUGUAAGGAUCAAUUCUUGAUUCAUUUGGUGACUUGAUAAGUUUGAAAUCCUUGAAUUUGUCUAAUAAUAAUCUCUUUGGGGCUAUUCCUGCAUCUCUAGAAAAACUCUCAUAUCUUGAAGAUCUAAACCUUUCUUUCAAACAAGCUGGAAGGAGAAAUUCCUAUGGGAGGAUCUUUUGGAAACUUCUCAGCUAAAUCAUUUGAGGGAAAUGAAUUAUUAUGUGGUUCACCCAAUUUACAAGUCCCGCAAUGCAAAACUAGCAUCCACUGCACAUCAUGGAAAAAAUUUCUUCUCCUCGGGAUUGUGCUGCCAUUGAGUACUAUAUUUAUGAUAGUAGUCAUUUUGUUGAUUCUAAGAUAUCGACAGAGAGGAAAACGACCAUCGAAUGAUGCUAGCAUGCCACUAGUAGCAAUGUGGAGAACGUUUUCAUACCUAGAACUCUAUCGAGCAACAGACGAAUUCAGUGAAAACAAUCUAAUCGGCAAAGGGGGUUUUGGCUCUGUUUAUAAGGCAAGACUUGGGGACAGGAUGGAGGUUGCAGUGAAAGUUUUCAAUUUGCAAUGUGGAAGAGCGUUUAAGAGUUUCGAUGUUGAAUGUGAAAUGAUGACAAGUAUUCGCCAUCGAAACCUUAUCAAAGUUAUUAGCAGUUGUUCAAAUGAAGAGUUUAAAGCGUUGGUAUUAGAAUACAUGCCUCAUGGAAGUUUGGAGAAGUAUAUGUAUUCAAGUAACUGCAUUUUGGAUAUUUUUCAAAGAUUGAACAUAAUGAUAGAUGUUGCAUCAGCUUUGGAAUAUCUGCACUUUGGUUAUUCAGCUCCAAUAAUUCAUUGUGACUUAAAGCCCAACAAUGUAUUAUUAGACGAUAAUAUGGUUGCUCAUUUGAGUGAUUUUAGCAUCGCAAAAUUGUUAGCUGGAGAAGAUCAAUCUAUGACUCAAACACAAACAUUUGCCACAAUAGGCUAUAUGGCACCAGGUUUGUCAAUACAAAAAUUUUCUAUUUCUUGUAAACUUCCUAGUAAGUUAUUUAUGUUUCAUGAUCUUCAUUAGAUGAGGAAAUUCUUAUUAAUGAUAUAUCUUACUAUUUAACUAUUGCAAUUCAUAGAGUAUGGAAGAGAAGGACGCGUAUCCGCAAAUGGAGAUGUUUAUAGCUUUGGGAUUAUGUUAAUGGAAACUUUUACUAGGAAGAAACCCACAGAUGAAAUUUUUAACGGAGAAAUGUCAUUAAAGCAUUGGGUUAAUGAUUGGCUACCUAUUUCCACUAUGGAAGUUGUUGAUGCUAAUUUACUAAGUCAGGAGGACAUACAUUUUGUCGCAAAAGAGCAAUGUGCGUCAUUUGUCUUCAAUUUGGCUAUGGCGUGCACUGUGGAAUCUCCUGAGCAGAGAAUCAACGCAAAAGAAAUUGUAAAAAAGCUCUUAAAAAUUAGAGACUCAUUACUUAGAAAUGUUGGAGGUAGAUGUAUAAGACAAUCAAAUUUAAAUUGAUUCUGCCCCUCCUUCCUUGCUAUCCUUUUCAGAGACUUGAACGGUUAUCCUUCAUACAAGUUUUGUUGAUAUGUUUUGUUAUUGCUCUUGCUCAUGUUUAUUUCUCUCUUUCUUUAAUUUGCAUGCAUGUAUUUUUCGUGCUCUUUUCUAUUUUUGUUGGUUUGUAUGUAGUUUGUUUUUAGGGGUAAGGUUGAUUAUGUCCUCCCCUAAUUAGACGUAUCAUGUUUAUUUUUAUUCAAUAAAGCUUCUCUAAUACUAUUGAGGUUCAUCAAAAGAAAAUUUUAAAUUAAUUUUCUUUUCUAUGUUAGAUAAUGAAAUUCUAAUCUUCAUAAUGAAUAACUUCAAUAAUAGAGUGUAAGAGUAUUAGUAGUUAUGGUUGUUUUCUGAACCUGGAGUCAAGAGCAAUUUAACAGCAACAAACAAGUCUCUUGUAUUAUAGGCAAAAUUCUUUUCAUUAAUCUUAUUUGUCUACAUGUUCUCCUAUUUCUCCAUUUAUCUUCGCUCAAGGUUUCAUGCUUCCUCUUUGAUAAAGGAAAAUGUUACUCGUGAAUAUUUCAAAUUUUCAAUUUGACAUGAGCGACUGUUUGCCAGCCAUUUGAUAAAAUGGAUAUGAGUUGAGUUUUCAAUCAUUACCUCCACCAAAAUCCUUAGUCCUUACAACGCCACUUUUUAAUUUUAUUUUUAAAUACAUUCAGUUUAAUUUAAAAAAUAAAUCCAUUUGCUAAAUUUAAUCUUUUUCUCAUAAAUUUCACCCUAAAAAAUAUAUUUCUUUUAAAUUUUUAUUAUAAAAUACUUACAAGUUCUAAACUAUUAAAUUAUUUUCUUCUUAUUAUAUAGUUUAUAUCUCCAUAACUCUAAACCCCUAUAAUUUUUUAAAAAAUAUUUUUUAAUUUAAAAUAUAAAUAUAAAAUAUAGAAUGGAGUGAGUAUAAAAAACUUGUUAAAAGAAUAAUUCAUUUAAGUAUUUAACUGAAUUUUAAAUUAAAAUAAGAAAUAAAUAAAUUUAUUUUUUAUUAGUUAAGUAAUUUUCAAUUAAAAAAGAGCUUUAUGAGUAAUAUUAUUGAAAUAUGAUUAAAAUUCUUAUGAAUUAAACAUUUUCGUAUAAAUACUAGUGAUAAUUAUAGAGAAAGUACGAUGAAGUGAAAAAAAAAAACUUAAAUAUAAAUACUCUAGUAUAAUUUUACACAUGCAACUUAUGAACCGGUGAUCUUUAGAGCAUUAUAAAAUUGUUUUAACACAAUUAAUUGGUUUGAAAAAUUACCAAUAAUGUCGACAGUGGGAUUUAAAAGAUUAAACUACAUAUAUAAGACAUAAUAUCAUUUAAAACGGCUUACAGAUUAUGAGAAAUAUUUUGAUCUUCUAAAUAUUUAAUAUAUCAAUUGGACUAAGUCUAUGCAAUAAAAAUUUUAAAUAAAAAAAAACCCUUUAUUUUCUUUUAAUCAUAAGUGUGAUCUUAAUUAUUAAAGUCAUUUAUUGUCCAUUACUUAUUCAUUUUUUUAAUUACCUAAAUGACAUUGAAAACUCUACUCAAUAUUAAUUCAUUCAAAUGUUUUGUUUUAAGGUAAUCAGAAACUGCAAAUGAAACAAAUGCUUGAAAUCACAAACGGCCUAAAAUUUUAUUUUCAUUUUUCAAUGUUGCGGUGACUUGGAUCUUGAUAUUGAAAAUUUAUUUGUAACUUAUAUAAAGGCCUCAAUUUUAUCAUAAUUGGUUAGUAAGGCUACGUAGGGAGCAUGGACAAAUUUUGGGAUUGGAUUAUAUUUUUGGAACUAAAAAAUUAAUUUCAUCCAAUGAUAUGUUUGGCUGUUAGGACUAGCAACUUAGUCUAAAAUUAUUGAAAUUAUUAAUCUUUUAUAUUAUAAGCUUUUCGUUCCCACUUUAAAUAUUAUUGGUAACUUAAAUCAUUUUUUAAAAUUAAAUAUAAAAAUUAAUUUAAUUCAAUAUAAAAAUCAUUUAAAUUAAAUACAAAAAUAUUUAAAUUAAAUAUUAACAUUAAUUUCAUAAUUUUUUACCUAGAAUUUUAUAUUAUAUUAAAUACUAAAAUUCUAUUCGAUAAUGUAUUAUCAUUUAUUUAAUAAAUGUUUAGUAUGUUAUAUUAUUAUUUAAAUUAAUUUUUUAUUUACAUAUAAACAUAAAGUAAUAUUUACUAAUUUAAAGUUAUUAUAAUUUGUUAAAUAAUAAAAGCUAAAUGAUUAUAUUGAAAAUAUAAAUAGUAUUCUAAUGUAUUAUAGUCUAAAUCUUACCCCUAUGAGUUUAUUUUAUACACCUUUUAUUGUAUUAACCACAUUUAUAAUGCAGUGCAAUGUAAUAAAAAAUUAUAACCAAAUAUGAGUUAGCAUGAAAAUAAUAUUUUAGUGCAAUAUAAUACAAUGUAAUGUAAGCUAACAAAUGGAUAUUUAAUGGAAGCAAAAAUUGCAUAUGGCUUGUGCGUCUCUUCAAAGACAACAAAAAAACCAAUAUGAUACACGAUUUUUGUCCUCUUUAAUGGUGUCUUUACUAAAUGGGAAUCAGAAUAAGUUAGAAUUAGAAUGAGCUUGAAUCGAAAUAAGGAAUUAGAAUCAAAAUAAGUUGUUUAUUUAAGUUGUAUGAAUCAGAAUCAAAAUAAAUUUUAUUCAAAUUGAUGUGUUUAUUUUCUCUUGAAAUUAGAAUGGACUAUUACAAGUUACUAAAAAAUCAUUUGGUAAUUGUUGUCUCUAGUAUUAUUUGUAUUUGUUAUAAUGGUAACAAUAAUAAGAAUAAAAAUAAUACUAAAAAUGAAAAUAAUAAUAAUAGUAGAGACAAUAAUAAUAAAAUUAAUAAAUUAUUAUUAUUAUUAUUAUUAUUACUACUACUACUAUUACUACUUCUGAAGACCACUCGGUGAAGAUUGAAUAGUGAAAAUGAAGAUGAUGAAGAUCUCGACGAACCAACUGCUGUUCCAAAGAUGAUGUGUCCAAAUGGAGACAACCAAUGAUGACUAGCCAACUAGAUCCCAAUCUCGAUGUUGUGAUCUCGUAUGACCACAGAUAAAGCUAUGUGUGAUGUUGGUGUUAUGAUUUAUUUUUUAUUUAUAUUUUUUAAUUUAUCAGUAUUUUCAAAUUUUUGUAAUUUUAAUAUGGGCAAAUUAGAUAGUCCAGUGAAUAGGAGACUGAUUCCUAACCAUCCUAAGAAUUAGUCUCUCAUUUUUUAUUUCUAAUUUGAUGUGGGUCCUGCUAUUUCGAUUCCAAUUCUUACAUUUAUUUGUGAGAUAAAAUUAUGGUGCAACUGUAGUACCAUUGGAUCCAGGCAUAGUUAUCACCAUGACUGAAUCUAAUUGUUGAAAGUAAUUGUGGUAUGAUACCACAGUUGCACCAUAGCUGGACCUUUAUUUGUGAAGUAAAAUGAUGUUAAUAAUUUCGAUUUCCAAUUCGAAAAGUAAAUACAUCAUAAUAUUUUUUUAGAUGCUUCCAUGGCAUAAUCUCAUUGGUCCAUUUUUCUCCACGCCUUAGAUUCAACUUCAAGAUUCAAGAUUCAAGAUUCAAUUUGAAGCAAACACAACUAAGUGCCUGUUUGGUAUGGCUUAUUUAAGAGUCAUAAGUGCUUAUUUAAUCGCAUAAGCACUUUUUAAAAAAUUUUAUGGUGUUUGGUUAUUUUUUUAGUAGAGUUUUUUUAGCUUAAAUAAGCUAAUUUACCUCUACUAGUAAAAGCCCAAAAUUUGAGCUUUUGGGAGUAGAGGUUAGAGAGCUUAUCUAAAAAAUAUAUAAUAAAAAAAAUAUCAUACAGUUUAAUGAUUCAAAAGUGUUUUUUUUAUUGACAACCAAACACCCAAUGACUUUUUGUCCAAAAACUCUAUUGGUAUAAACUCUACUGCUAUAAGCUCUAUUGUUAUAAGCUCUAUUUAAUAAGCUGUACCAAACGGAGCCUAAAAAACAAAUAUAAUAAGCGUUAAUAAGCCUGUGGCUGACUGGCUGUGGCCAAGCAAAUGUAACUCAUAGUGACCGAAUCAUAUCUUAUUAUCUUACGCCAGAAGCUAAACAAUGUUCCCAUUCCACGUGUCACUCUCUGACCAAUCCCUGAACUUUCUUCAUAUUUCCAAAGAAACCCUCACCAAGUCAAGAUAAUUACCUUCACUCUACUCAUAUAAAAACUGUCCUCGAUUCGACUGAUGUCUGAUGACGAUAUAUCCUUAGUCUUUAUUUAAAAGGGGAAAUUAUAAAAAAUUCUCCUCGUUCCCUAAAAAUCUAGGGUUUCUCAAGAAUCGCUAAACCUAGAUCCCAAUCCUUCAAAAUCUCAAUUUAACCUCUCUAGGGUUUCAAUUGUCAAGGAUUCGCUUCAAAAUUUAGUAUUUUUUUAGGGGAUUUUGCUUGUCUCGUAUCCUUCAAUUGUUGUUCGGUUCUGAAAAUAAUUUGGAAUUUUAGGGAUUUUCAGAUUAUUUGGUUUUGCUUGAGUGCAUUUUCCUCUAGUUACGGUUUCAGUUUGAAGGGUUAAGUGCGAUUUCGAAUAUUGUUAUAAAAUUUAAAUUAAAAUUCAUAAAACGAUUGGGCGUUUAAUAAUUAAUUGAUGGCUAGCGAUACUACAACGGCGGCCGCAGCUGCGGAAGAAGCAGAGGCGGUGGAGGAGUAUGAUAGCGAUCCAGAUGAAGUGAAACGCUCUCUUGCGAUGCGCAGAAGGGAAGCCAGCGAUGAGGAGGUUGAGGAGGAUAAAGAUUCAGAGCUUCCAAUAGUUCAAAGUGUCCACAUUCCUGCAGGAGAAGCCGAGGCUGUGGAUGAGUAUGAGAGCGAUCCAGAUGAAGUGAAACACUCUCUCGUGAUGCGGAGAAGGGAAACAAGCGAUGAUGAGGAGGAGGAUAAAGAAUUUGAGCAUCGAACAAAUCGUAGGGUCCACAUUCACUCUUACAUUGAAUCUGCUGGCCAAGGUGGUGCUCCAGCUGAGUAUGAUGAUGAUGAUGAUGAAGAAGAGGAACAUGACAGAGAAUUGGAGGAAGAAGAAGAAGAUGAAGAAGGGGAUGUUUAUGAGGCCGUAGAGGAAGAAGAAGUUUAUGAAGAAGAGGAGAGGAAUGAUGGGGCGGUUAAAGUCAAAGGAAUAGAGGGUAAUGAUGCAUGAGGAGUACGGAGGGUGCAGUGGAAGUGAGUAAAGGGAAUAAUGAUAAUGGCAAUGGUGCUAAAAGAAUGAUGCAGCAGAGGAGGGAAUGGAGGAAGAGAAGAAGGAGAGUAAUGAGCCUUUUGCACAGCAACUGGGGCUUUUUAUAUGGGACAAUGUUGCAGGUCGACACAGGUAUUAUUUGAUUUGAGUGACAAUUUAUAAAUAGCUAAUAGCUGUACUUUCAUUAGGGCUUGUCAAUUAAUCCAGUCUUGUUUUUUGGUGCUGUAUAAUGAUUGUUUGCUGGAAUCUGUGUAGAAGGCUUUUGGCCUAGUAGGUUGAAAGGAGGGAAAGUUCUCAAAUAAACAUCUGUGCUUUGCGGAAUAUAAUUAAUAGGUACAAAGCAUACUAAAUUACUUGACUGAUAGAUGCCGAGCUAAUCAUGAGCUAUGAUAGCAUUAUCCGUGCUUUGUGUAUUUUUAACAGGGCUUGUCUAUUUCAAAGUGUGUAGUGUAGAAUUUUUGGGUUUAGUUUGAGUGAUGAAGUGUUAGAUAGGUUUCUGUUUGGCAUAGUUAAGUGGUUAAUACGAGCUAUUGAAGCAAAUAUGGAGUAGGAUAUCUAGUUUUGGGUUUGGUCUUAGUUUGAAGAUGGCUACUGAUUAUGCAGCUAGGUACGUAUUAGUGUUUGUGGAUUGCUAAAUGCUUUCUGUCAAAUGUGACUAGAUUAUUACUUGAAGUGCAUGGAUCUUACACUUAAUUAAUUAUAUAUCCAUUUGUAAUGUUCAAAAUGAUCAUGUACUAUUGCUUAAAAUUAUGUUUUCAAGACAUCAUUUUGAAUCCAUGGUUGUAAUGUGUCUCUAAAUUCAGUAAUACAAGUUCUGUCAAUUGCUGUCGGAUGCAGUGACUUGAAUAGUUUAAUAUUCAUUUGCAGAAAAAAUUUGAGAAAGAAAACUAAAAAUUUCUGUGCGUUCUGCUGGAAAUUUAAUUAGCUUCAUUUGAGCAUUAAUUGCUGGCAUUAUCUCUUAGAUUUCUCUUGCAUUGAAUGAAUGGAUGAGUGCUAAUCCAUGCAAAGACUUCCAUGCAUACACAAUGAAUGCUUCAUCAAAGGUAUGGUAAAAUGUCAACACGCUUUGCCCAAAUUAUCAAGCUGGUGUGGUGGCUGCUAGAUUUGUUCAUCCGGAUUUUGGACCAUUUUCAUUGACAAUGAGAAAAGCUGCAAGAUCUGUAAAUCGGAAACUCAUUAAAGUGCCAAAAGAGAGAUGGAAUUGAAUAACUAGAGAGUUAGUGAAAAGAGGGUGCAGUGAUUGUGUGGGAAGCUUUGGGUAUACUUGGGGUUUGGAUGUGAGAUAAAAUAAUUUGAGAGAGAGGUUGUAUCAAUUUUUUGGUAAUAGAGUUUUUCAGGUAACUCUUGUGUUGUGUGAUUGGAGUAUUCUCUAUUGUAUUUUUUUAUUUGUUAUUUAUUUGACGUAUUGCUAGCGGAGAUCUUUGUCAAUUGUUUUAAACUCUAUUUCGAACAGAGCAUGAAGGGAUUCACUUAUCUGAUUAUGUCUUUUAUGCUUUAACUUCACUUGAUUUCAUCUUGUUUGUCACUUUUAAUAAAGUUGUAUAUGUUGGAGUAUUAGGUUCAUCACAGGGAUCAUAUUACGGCUAAGGAAGGGGCACAGUUUAUCAGCUGCACUCAAGUGUAGCAGAGUAUUUGGAUUCAAGACUGUUCGAAGGUUGUUACAAUGCAAGGCUGUUGCUGUGUAACUGUAUGCCAUUCUCGCAAGUGCACUCUUAACAGAUUGCUGAGCUGGCACCGGAUGUUUUUAGCUAAUAUUAGUUAUUGGUCUAGAGUGUUCUGAUUUAUUCUAUAAGUAGCUCAUUUGAGCUUAGAACCUUUAUAGUGUAUCAUACGUUUCCGUUACUUCUAAUAAUGAUUUUCUCUAUUCUUUUUUCUUUCACUUUCUCUUCCAUUUUCAUGAUCCCCAAACACCAUCAAUCCAUGAUUUUCUAGAGUAUUAGUUGUCUAUUUCUACAAACAAAGAAUUGUUGUUUUAAGAAACAAAGUACUCUGUCCUGUCACCCGCGGUCUCCUUGUUUAUCGACUUGUGAAUGGGGCUAAAUAAACGGCAAAUAAGAUAUUGGGUCAAUGGGUCUAACGUGACAAAAUAUUGAAUUAUUGCCCUUUUCUUUUCUCCACAAAUCUUUGGUUAAUUUUUAGGUUCCAUCAACUUUGUUCCCCUUUAGCACUAAAAUUCAUUUUUGAUACUUUAUGCAAAAAUUAUGAUGCAAAUGAGUCACUUUAGAACAUUAAUAAAUUUUUAUUUUUACAUCCAAGAUAACGACAGUUACACUUAUAUCACUCUCAUUUAGUUGAAUUAUAUAGGUAAUAAAGUUGGCUUAACAAAAUAUGAUUCUCAACUGUUGUCAUUAAGGGCUAGUAUUCUUUGGUUUUAGUUGUAGGGCUUAUAAUGCCGUGGCUCAGUUCUUGGUGGGUUUGAAUUAUUAGACGAUCAUUCUCAAUCCUUUACUAUUCGUAAUAAAAAAUUCCUAUAUCACAAUUAGAACUUACAAACAAGUCAAAGUGGGUUAAAUCAUAUGUAUAAAUUCGAGGUCUAUUACAAACUUUUAAAAAAGAUUUUCUCUGUUUUUUUUUUUCUCUUUCACCUUCUCUUCCAUUUUCUCAAUCCCCAAACACCACCAAUCCCUGAUUUUUUGAGUAUUAGCUGUCUGUUUCUACAAACAAGUUCUUGAAUUGAAUGGCUCCUCUUUUAUCCAUAGAUCUUUGCUUAAUAUUUUUGUUCCCUCAACCUUUUUCGGCCCUUGGCUCUAAAAUUCUUUUUUGAUACAUUACGCAAAAAUUAUGAUGAAAAUAAGUUACUUUAGAACAUCAAUAAAAUUUUAUUACAUCUAAGAUAAGACAAUUAUGCUUAGAUUACUCUUAUUUAGUUGAAUUAUAUGUAAGAAAAUUAGUUCAAUAAAAUCUAAUCCGUAAAUAUUCCUUAUCACAUGAUUAACGUACUUAAAAAUUCUUAACUGAUCGGUCGCUUGUUUUACAAUUCUUUUAUAUAUCUUUGAAACUUUCAGCUUCCCAACACAUCAUAUUGUUCUCAAUUCGUCUAAUUUUUUUUUUUCAAACACUGCAACAACAACCAGUAUAAAAUAGUAUAAACUCAUUUAAUGGAAAUUUUCCUAGAUGCUUUCAUGGCAGAAUCUCAUUGGUCUAUUUCUCUUCGCACCUUAAGGUUCCUCUAACAAAACUACCUCUUAACUCUCAUGUCCGAAUUUAAACUUAAAAGAUGUUCCCCGUCCCACGUGUCCCCAAAUCUUUGUAUUUCCAAACAAACCCCUGCCAACUAAGUCAACUGAUAGGAUGGCUUUUAUUACAAACUGUAUGAACGUUAUGGCCAUGGGACAUUGGAUAAAACUAAUGGAAUGUAAAGCAAAAUUACCGAUUAAACUAAAUUGAAAAUCCAACCAAUUGAAUCGGUUCAGUGUCACACAAAAUAUGUGUGUGUAUGUGUAAAACAACACAAUUAUCAUAUUAAUGAGGCAUUGUUAAAUUCAUUCAGUGAAUAUUUUUCUUUUUCAUUUUCAAUGAAUACUUAAUAUGACAAACAAUCUGUCCCAUUGAGCACUUUUUAAGUCAUUCAAUGAAAAUGAAUACUUCUAUAACAAAACAAUAAUUCCUUAUUUAUUUGACACGCAAAGAACUUUCUUGCUCAGCUCAGCGGCUAAUCCUUUAAAAUUUGUUAAAAUUCAGUUAAUUGAUGAACUAGACAUAACCCAAUAAAUCGUUUAAUUUGUAUAAUUGAUAAAAAUUUGAACUUCAAAUAAAAUGGAUAGAAUGAUUAAUUUUUUUCAUAUUUAGAUAAUUAAUAUAUGUCAUGUUACUAUGAGUAAAAGAAUGAAGUGUAUGAUAGAAAACAUAAUGUUUAUGUUUGUAUUAAAAAUUUUAAGUGCAAAUCUAUUUAGUGUAGGUUAGACAUAAAAAUAGUUACCAACUUGUCUUGUUUCUCAUUUUGUUUAAUUUUCCUAAUUUGAAUAACUAUUAAUUAUGAGUCAAGGGUUUAUUGCGAAAAUAUGGUCUUCCAUUUACUAUGCAAAGAUUAGUGUGAUUUAAUUAUUUUUCUUUUUGCUUGGUGUCUGUAAAAUUAUGAAUACUUUGGUAAAUAAGAUAAUUAUAAAUACCAUUUUGAAAAUUCAUGGCCAUGGUUGUGAUGUAUCUUUAUCAAUCAUGGAUACAAAAAUUAAUCAAAAUUAUCGAUUGUUUUAAAUUCUGUUUUUAACAUAGCAUGAAGAUGUCGCUUAUCUAGAUUUAAUUUUUAUGCUUUCACUUCACUUAAUACAGCUUCUUCCUCCUUUAAAUGUAUGCCAUGGCGGCAAGUGUAUUGUACAGAUUACUGAGCUGGCACCGAUGACUAAGCUAAUUAUUAGUAAUCAAUCUAGAGCGUACCUGUAAAUACAAUAGGUUGCUUAGGUGGCACCAAUAUACUAACUUUAUGCCAUGUUUCUGGUGUGUCUUCACAAAUUCACCGAUAAAAAUUAAUUUCUACCAAUAUUACCAAAUGAUUGUAUUUUACGUUUCUAUUUACUUGUAAUAAAGAUCUUCAAUUUUAUUGGUUACAAAAUUCUCUAGGAUUGCAUGUACAUUAUACUUUUAUAUACAUAUUUUCUUCUUUCUCAUUCGUUUUCUGGGUGAACAUAUUAUUUUCGUCAUCAUCUCUAUAACAAUGAAGUGAAAAUAGUCCUCAUUUAAAGUAUUGACAGCAAUAUUGUACUCAAUAUAACGUAUAAAGCACGCAUAAUUUAAUUAAUGGGGCAGCUGCUGGUACCUUCUUUAGAAGAGAAUUAUUGCAGCAAGGUUAAUUGGAAGCUCAAAGAGUUUCCGUAUUAGCCGAAUCUAAGCGAUAAGUGUUUCCAUGUGAGCCAUAAUUUGGGAAAAAGACCAAUUCGAGUUAAAGAUCAGAAAACAAACACUGUCAACAAGCAUUAAUGUCAUUUGAUGCAUGAAAGACAAUUAGUCCCAUUUUUUGUCCGUUUAUUUUGCAAGGCUGUUGCCAUGCUGGCAAGUGUGCUGCUAUAACAGAUUGUUGAGAUGGCACCAAAGAUUGUAAACUAAUUAGUACUGGAAAAUCAUGAGUUUGAUGAUGAAGAGGACGAAAAAUAUUAUUUUAUUAUUUAAAAUAAGACUAUCAAUUAUUUCCAUGGUCAUCUUUUUUUUUUAUUAAUUGGCCUAAAUAUUAUAUUUUUUGUCAGGAGUCUUGCAAUGUUGCGUAGCACCGUAAGUAAGAAGAACUAGUGAAACUUUAAAGCAUCAUAAAAUUGUUUCAACAUAAGUAAUUAAUUUGAAAAAUUGCCAAUAAUGUUUAAAGUGGUAACGAAAAGAUUAUACUAUACGAGACACGAUAUUAUUUAAGACAACUUAUAAAUUAUGGGAAAUAUAUCGAUCUUACAAAUAAUAUUUAAUAAGUACAAAUUUCAAAUUAAAUAAUAAAUCCUUAAUUUCCUUUUAAUCAUAAUUAUGAUCUUAAUAAUUAAAGUCAUUCAAUCUUAACCACUUUUUCAUUUUUUUAAACUAUCUAAAUGACAUUGAAAACUCUACUCAAUAGGGGAUUUUUAUUGAAUUGUUUAAUAAUAUACUACUAUCUAAUAAAUCAUUAAUUUCCUUUUAUUCGAAUUUUUUGUUUCAAAAUAAUUGAAAACUGUAAAUGAAACUGCAAUCACAAAUGGCCUAAAAUGGGAUUUUUAUUUUUUAAUAUUGCAAUGACUUUGAUCUUGAUAUUGGAAAUUUAUUUGUAACUUAUACUAAGUCUUCAAUUUUAUCAUAAUUAGUUUCCAAAGAUGCAUUUUCCAAACUGUGUAGUUGUAUUGUAUGAUGAUAUAUUACAUUAGGGUGCAUUGUAUUGACCUGUAAUGCAAUACUAUUUUAUAUUAAUGUUAAAACUAAAUCAACAUUAUUUAAAUUUAUUAAUAUUUUAGGGUUUUAUUAGUAAUAUCUGAAAUUAGGUAUUAAAUAAUUAUUUUUAUAAUAUACAAAUUAUUUAAUAAUAUUCUACUAUUAAAUAAUAAAAUAUUACAAUAUUAUGUUAUAUUAUUAACAAUUAUUCUGUUAUAAUAUAAUUUAUUUUUAUAUAUUAGUUAUUAUAAUUUAUUAUAAUCAUAUUAUAAUAAUAUUAUAUUGUAAAAAUAUAAUACUAUAUAAUUGUAUAAUAUAAUAUGAAUUAAUUUACAAUUUAACAUUAAAUUAUAAAUUUAUUUUAUUUAUUAAUGUCAAAUAUAAUUGUCUAAUUUAAAUUUAGUAUUUUUUUUAAAAUAAACUAUUAAAUAAUUAAAAUGAUUUUAUAUAAUAAAGUAAAAUAAUGUAUUAUUAUUUAUUAAUUAAAUAUUUGGGUUUAUUAAUAUACUAUAUUAAUAAAAAAUAAUGUAUUAUUAUUUAUUAAUUAAAUAUUUGGGUUUAUUAAUAUACUAUAUUAUUAAUUAAAUUAAUGAAUAUUAAUUAAUAAUUUAAAUUUAUUAAAUAAUAAAAGUUAAAUGAUUAUAUUUAAAAUAUAAAUAGUAUUUUAAUGCAAUAAAACCUAAAUCCCACAUGUAUACCACAUUUGUUAUACAGUGUAAUGCAACUAUAAAUUAUAAUUAUAUAAAAAUAAUAUUUUAAUACAAUAUAAUACAAGUAUAAUGCCACUUGAGAAAUUAAUAUUUUAAUGGAACCAAAUUUUGCAUUUGGUUUGUGGGUCUCUCAAAAAAUAAUCAUAAAAACCAAUAUAAUACAAUGAUUCUGUCCUCUUUAAUAUUUUUCUAAAUGCUUCCAUGGCAUAAUCUCAUUGGUCCAUUUUGUUUCACAGCUUAGAUUCAACUUAAGAUUUUCAAUUUAAAGCAAGCUGUGGUCGACUGGCCGUGGCCAAACAAACGUGCCUCAUGGAGUCAUGGUGACUGAAUCAUCUCUUAUGUCAGAAUUUGAACUUAACUACCUUCACUCUUAUUGUAUAAAUAGAGAAGAUGAUGAUUCCUACAAAGCCACGUAAGUCAAGUGAACGUUACGGUCAUGGGACAUUGGAAUUGGAUCAAACCACCGGAAUGUAAAGCAAAAUUAACCGAAUAAACUAAAUUAGAUCCGACCAAUUGAAUCGGUUUAGUGUCACUCAAAAAACAAAUAAAUAUAUAAAACAACACAAUUAUCAUAUUAAUGGGGCACUUUUUUUUUUCAUUUGUAAUGAAUGCUUAAUAUGAAAAACAAUCUGUCCCAUAGAACAUUGUUUAAGUCAUUCAAUGAAAAUGAAUACUUCUAUAAGAAACUAUCAUUCACUUGUUUAUUUGACACGCAAAGAACUUUUUUACUUAGCUCAGCGGCCAAUCCUUUAACAUUUGUUGAAAUUCAGUUAAUUGAUGAAUGUGAAAUAACUCAAUAAAUCGUUUAAUUUGACUGUAAACUAAUUAUUGGUGUACAAUAAUAGAUUGCUUAAGUUAGCUGGCACCAAUCUACUAAUCUUAUGCCAUGUUUCUGAUGUGUCUAUAAAUUCAGUAACACGAAUUAAUUUCUACCAACAUUACCGAAUAAUUUUAUCGAUUUUUAAGCACGUAAACAUACCAGCUUUCUUUCUUUUACUCUCUAUUUCAUGUUUAUUCAAUUUCAAUCUUCUGCAAGUUUUUGGCUGUUUUAUUAGUUACAAAAUUCUCUAGGAUUGCAUGUAGAUUAUGCUUUUACGUGCAUUUUUUUUUCUUUCUCUUUUUUUUUUUGUAAACAUAUUAUUUUAUCAUCUAUCACCAUAGAAUGAAAUGAAAAUAGUUCUCAUUUAAAGUAUUGACAACAAUGUUAUACUCAAUAUAAUGUAUAAAGCACACAUUUAAUAAGGUUCUGUUUGGGAUUGGGGUGCUAUAACUUUUAAGUUACAGCUGCUGUGGAAAAAAAUUGUAACUAUAGAACAAAAGUUAAUAAUAUAUAGUAAAUAUAAAUUUUAAAUAAUAAUUUUGACAAAAUUAUUAAAGAUAUAAUAGAUUUUCCAUCAUACAAGUGAAAAAUCAUAUUAAGAUAACUUGCAAGUUAUAGCAGCUAGUGUUUACCAAAUAUUCUAGUGCUGUACUUUUUCAGUUACAGCUAUCCAACCUCAAUCCCAAACGCAUCCUAAAUGGGGCUGCUAAUAUCUUCUUUGAAAGAGAGUUAUCGCAGCCACGUAAUUAGAAGCUCAAAGGGUUUCCAUAUUAGCCGAACCUAAGUGAUAAGUGUUUCCAUAUGAGCCACAAUUUGGGGAAAAAAACAACUCAAAGUUAAAGAUAAGAAAAGUGUGUCCCGGACGAAUACAAUAAUUCAAGCCACACAUUUAUCAAACGCAUGGCAGAGACGCUUCAACAUGUUGUCUCAUGGAAAGAGAUCCUUCUGUCUUUGGCGUAAUACUUGGGGCAACGUAAAUUGACUUUACAUUAAAACAAAACAAAACAAACACUGUCGACAAACAUUAAUGUAAUGUAGUUAAGAAAAACUUACGUUAAACCGUUCAAUUUAACUUUGAUAAGUGCAAGAGAGGGGUGGGACAGUUGGACUCAUUUGAUGCAUGAAAGACAAUUAGUCCCAUUUUCUGUCUUGUUUACCUGACUUGGGCGAUUUGCCGUCAACUUUUCUCAUCUACGUCAGGUAAUAUGGCUUUUAUUUGAUAUGAAAAAGCCAAUACUUCGAUGAGUGGGACAUCACUGAUUUGUAUAAUUUUCAGGACUAGAAAAUUAUCUCAAUUUCAAAAUAUGUACUUACAAUUAUCGAACAUCACUAAUUCCAACAAUUUAUCCAAAGAUAUUUUUGAGCUUCAAGGAAUGUAACGCUUAUGAUAGAAUGGUCAAGUCUUUCAACUUUUUAGAUAUUUGAUAUAUGCCAUGUUCUAACUUACAAUGAGAAUAAAAUUAUAGUAUAAUUUUUUUAAAUUAGUGGAAUUAUUAAACUCUUUUCUGAAUGGAGCAUUAAAGGACUACUUAUCUAGAUACGUUUUUUAUGCUUUCACUUCGCUUGAGCCUAGAACUUACAACUCGUAUUUUACGUUUCUCUUACUUUCUCUUCUAUUUUCCCGACUCCCAAACACCAACAAUCCUUGAUGUUGUAGAGUAUUGGCUGUCUAGUUCUACAAACAUAAUAAAGAAAACAAGAGACAGCUGCCAUAUAUAUUCCAUAUUAAUUAGUCACCGUCCGAUUGUUUCCACUCCCACUGACUCUGUCGAUUCAUGCUUUGAUGAAGUGAAACGCUUAACGCACUAUUGUGAUGCGGAGGAGAGGAGGAAAAACACAAUUUUAUUAUUGCAAUCCUGACACGCGCAAAGAGCUUUCUUACUCUGCUCGGCGGCUAAUUCUUUAUAAUUUGUUAAAACUCAUUUAAUUGAUGAAUGUGACAUGAAGCUCUAUAAAUAGUUUAAUUUGUAAAAUUGUUAAAAUUUUAAAUUUCAAGUUAAGUAGAUAAAAUGAUUAACUUUUUUCAAUAUUUAGAUAAUUGAUAUACGUCAUUUACUAUGAGUAAAUGGCUGAAAUUUUUCAUAGAAAACACAAUGCUUGAAUUAAAAAUUUUAAGUGCGAAUCCAUUUAUUGUAAGCAGAUGAGUGCGAUUUAAUUAUUUUUCCUUUUGCUUGAUGUCCUGAAAAUUAUGAAUGCUUUGUAGGAUGUAGAAGAUUAAAAUUUUUAAUGCAUAUUUAUAUUGAAAACUGAGUAAACAUAACACUAUUGCUUCUAUAAAUAGAUCAUUUCAACUUAAAACCUGUUACUUGUAUUUUACAUUUCUGUUUCUUAUCAUAAAGAUUUUCUCUGUUUUUUUUUUUUUUGGUUUCACUUUUUCUUCCAUUUUCCCGACCCACAAACACCACCAAUCCUUGAUUCUUUUCCUAGAGUAUUAGCGGUCUAUUGUUACAAACAUAGACAUACUGUUUGUCUAAUUACUAUUAAGAAACAACAUACUCUGUCCUGGGGUCUCUUCGUUUACUGACUUAUGUGACACGUUAAGAAUUAUUUUUCUUUUCAUUAAAAAUGAUAAUGAAAGAAUGCAAAGAGCCCAAGAAAGUACAAUCCAUUAGACACGUUAAGAAUUAUUUUGCUUUUCAUUAAAAAUGAUAAUAAUUUUAAUAAAUUGGAUUGAAUUAAUAAUAUUUGCCUGUGUGAUAUAAAUAAUCGCUUUAGUGUCGCCCCAUCAUUAAUGAGUGACUGUCCGAUUGUCUUCUCUUUCAUUGACUUUGAAACUGUGACUUCUGAGUUGGAUUAAGAAUUGACAAAAAUGUUGUUACCCAUGAAGCACGUAAAAUUAAUUAAUGGGCCACUAAUUCUUCAUCUUAAAAGAAAAUUUUUGCAGGGAGAUUGAAAAAAGACUAAUUCGUAUUAAAGAUCACAAAUGAGUAUCUAUCACAAAUACAAGUCAAGCUACACAAUUGUUCUUGUCAUACUAUUUUAGCAACAACACUUCAACAUCUGUUGUCACAUGGAGGGAAAUCCGCUUUCUCUUUGAUGUAAUAUUUGGCAAAAUACAAUGACUUCUCAUUAAAACAAGCAUUGUCAUAUUGUUGACAAAAACUCACGUUAAAGUGUUCAAUUUAAUUUUGAUAGGUGCGAGAGAAGGAUAGGACCGUCCAAUUAAAUUGCAAGUGGGCAUUCCCACCAUUCUUGUCUCAUGCUUGUUAUAUUUAAAUUUAGAAAUCACACCAUGUCAGUUUGGUGAUGAUGUGAAAUUGUUUCACCAAAAUUUUUAUCUUCAUAAUCUCUGUUAUAGAAAAAAUAUUGGGCGCUCCCAGUGGAUGCUUCUAUUGAGUGGCAGAAUCAGGAUUUUAUUUCGAUGGUGGCCAUAAUAAUUAAACUAUAAACUUAAGUUGGUUGUGAAAUAAAAUCAACGUUGUAAAUACUGCGUCCACAUUUUAUAAAAGUAUUUUUAUUUAAUAAACUAUUAUACCAUAGGAUAUCAAAGUGAAUCCGCAUGAAAUAUGCAUUUAGGUAAUAACUAUCAAAUAUUGAUACAUGUUUGAAAAAACUCUUGAAAAUUGGUUUCUACUUACGUUAUUACAGCUCUUGUAUAAACUAACAUGGCAACAUAUGAUUGGUUAAUAAAAGAAUAAAUAUAUAUCAAGUGGGUUCUACCAUGUUUUUAAUUCAACUAAUGCUACAUCAAUUUGUACAACAGUAUUUAUGACCAUAUCAUUACUCAUUAAUUAAUAGGAACACUAAUUUAUUUUCUUAAAAGAGAAUUCAUCAAUUUGUAUAGUAAUAUUUUAUAAAAAUAUUUGUAACCGUAUCAUUACUCAUUAACUAAUAGACCACUAAUUUAUUCUUCUUAAAAGAUAAAAACUGCAGCGAGGUUGGAGGCUCAGAUUUUCCCAUAUUAGCCAAACAUAAGAGAUAAGAGUUCAUAUGAGACAUAAUUUAGAAAAUCAAUUCCAUGCAAUAGGUCUUAGUGGGUUCGACUCUGUAUACGAUCAUAUUCAAUUUUUUAGCAUCUUGUAAUUAAAGAUUCCUAUAUCACAUUAUAAUUUUCAAACAAAUCGAAGUGAGUCAAAUCAAAUUUAGAAAUUUGAGGUCUACUAUAGACUUUUGACAUAUUAAAUUUAAGACGAUUAAGUAAAUGCUAGACAAAAUCUAACUUGCAAAUUUACCUUACCACAUGAUGAACGUACUUAAAAAUCUUAACUGAUUGCUCACCAAUUAAUUGUUGUUUUACAAUUUUUUUAUAUCCUUUCUUUUCCCUAAAACUUCUGGUUUCCUAACAUCUUGUUCUCAAUAGGUCUAAGUAUAAUAUAAUUUUUUUAAAUAUAAAUAAAUUGAAUUUAUUUAAUGGUCAAGUAUUUGUUUUCUUUAGUUACAGUUUGGUUUGAAUGGUUAAGUUCAAGUUCGAAUUUUCUUUUUGUAAUUUAACUUAAAAUUGAUAGAACAAAUGGGCUGAUCAGUCUGAUGAAGAAGAAGAAGUAAAAGCUAUUAAGCAUUAUCCUAUCACCAUAUCAAAUGGACCGAAUUCAAUCAAAUGAAAUCUAGAAAAUAGAGCAGCUCAUAGAUGUACGUCGCUAAGUGGAGGUUCAUUUGUAAGUACUUGGUCGAAUUGCGACUUGCGCCGGAGGCUUCGUUUUAGAAGAGUGCAGAGCAGCUGCCUUCUCCAUUAGGCAGGCCAACGACUUUCUAUUGACCAAUAAUUUUGAAAGCGAUAUUAUUAAUUUACCAUCUAAUUUUUUUUUAUAUUAUCAUUUUACCAUCAAAAUUUUUUAACAAUUAUUUUUUUCACUUAAUGUUUUAGUUUUUAUUAUUUUACUACCAAAAAUUGGCAAACGCACCCCUAGUGUAGGUUAUCCACAAAAAUGGCUACCGAAUUGUCUUGUUUCUCAUUUUGUUUAAUUUUCAUAAAUUCGACUCACGAUUCAAAUAUGAGUGAAGAGUUUUUUUUGGGAAAAAAUCUGGUCUUCCAUUUACUAGAAUUAGGUAUGUGUGAUUUUAUUAAUUUUCUUUUGCUUGAUAUAUAUCUGGAAAAUUAUGAAUGCUUUGUAGGAUUUAGAAGGAUUUGAAUGUUUGAACGCAUAUAGCUUUCUGUCCAUCAGCUAAUGCAUAUUCUGCAUUUUAUGAAUAUCAGAGCUGGUAGAUUGAAAAAUGGACCUUAUUACAUGUCAUAAGAUACUUUGCUCAAAGCUGCAAUUGGGCAACACCGUGCUGUUCUUAUCGGCCAAUGCAAGCCAUUUACUAUUCUUUCUAAUGGAGCAAAAUAAGAUGAUUCUUACCUGCUUAGAGAAUUAGAAAAGAAAAGGAGGAUUACUGAUCUACAGAGCUGUCAUUUACUAGAAGCACAUAAAUCUUACACUUAAUUCAUUACCCAUCUGUAAUGUUCUAAUGAUACUUAAGUAUUAACUAAAUUAGCCUUUCAAAAUUUCACUUCGAAAAAAUCCAAGGUUGUGAUGUGUCUGUAUAAAUUCGCUAAUAUAAGUUCUCUCUAUUCCCAAUUGUUUUAAACUCUGUUCUGAACAGAGCAUGAAAGGCUAUAUUCGUUUAUCUAGUUAUAUUUUUUAUGCUCUCACUUCACUUGAUUCACCUUCUCCAUCUUUUAAAACAGUUGUAUAUGUCGGAGUAUCAAGUUCAUCACAAGGAUCAUAUUAUGGCCUAAGGAAGGAGCACAGUUCAUUGUCUGCACUCAAGCUUAGCAGAGUAUUUUGGGAUUCAAGAGUGUUAGUAGGCCGUUACAGAUGCCAUGCUGGCAAGCGUGCUAUGACGUAAAAUUGCUAUUUGCAAGUAAAAUUGCCCAAAACAAAUAGAAUGAGAAUACUUGUACAAAAGUACAAGAUUAAUAAAGUGAAUUAAUUUUAUCUUUUAUCUAAUUUCUUCUAAUAAGUAGCUCAUUUGAGCUUAAGACUUGUAUUUUACGUUUUUAUUACUUUCUCUGUUCUUUUUUACUUUCACUUUCUUUUCUAGAGUAUAGCGAUGCAGUUCUACAAACACGAAACUGCUGUUGGUCCAAUUACUUUCAAGAAACAACGUACUCUGUGGUUUAUUGACUUGUGACAUGGGCAAAUUAGUCACGGUCCGAUUGUCUCCUCUUCCACUGACUCUGUCAAUUCACGACUUUGGCACACAGUAGACGCCAGCUGCCUGCCCCAUUUGACGUGCAAAAAUCGAUUGAUUAUUUUGUUUGGUGAUGAUGAGUUAGUUGUCAAUUCAUGAGUUUGAUGCAGUGAAACGCUUAACGCUCUCUUGUGAUGCGCAGGAGAAAAGCCAGCGAUGAUGAAGAGGACGAAAAACAUUAUUUUGUUAUUUACAAUAAGGCUAUCAAUUAUAUAUUCCAAAAUAAUUGGGUUUCGAUGGUCAUUUUGUUUUCUAAAAUAUCCAAAUGGAAUCUUACAGAAUUAGAGUGCUCGACUUCUUUAUACAGAAUUUAUAAAGGGGAAAAAUCAAGAAAUUAAAUACUCUUCAUAUAGUGAGAGGAGAUUCGGUUGCCAUUAUGAGAAAUAAAAGAAAAAUAAAUUAAAAGUACAAUACUUCAAUAAUCUCAUUCCCAAACAUACCGGAAAUAAAAUUUUCUGUAAACAUCUUUAUUUUCUUUGCAUACGAGCCUUCUUUCUUUUGCUUUGGCCUUUGCUCUUGACUAUAUUUCAUGGUCAUAUUCAAUCUAAAUCUUCUGUAGGUUUGCGGCUGUUUUAAGAGUUACGAUAAAUAUGUUAUCUCAAUUUAAAAAAAAAAAUGCAAUCGCAAUUAUCAAACACGACUAAUCCUAACAAUUUAUUCAAAAAUUUGAGUGUCAAGAAAUGUAGUAUUUAUGAUAGCAUGGCUAGUUUCAGAUAAAUGAUAAAUCAAUAUAUGACAUGUUACUAACUUACUUUAGGAAGAAAAUUAUAGAAUAAGUUUUUGAAUUAAUAGAAUUAUUUUACGACAAAACUAUCACAAUCUAAUUUAAAAAUAAAGUUAUUCUUUAAAUUUCUCAUUACUAUUCCUACUUGUCUUGUUAUACUACUUAAUGGCACUAGUGAAGCCUUGAAUUAUCAAACAAAAAGCAAAAACACAUCAACAUCUGUUGUCCCAGUGAGCACUGUUAAAUUCAUACGAUAAAACGAGUCUUUAAUUGACAUAGGCAAUGUGCGGUCAACUUGUGGCACCCUUACUGACACGUAAAGAACUUUCUUACACCACAGCCAAUACUUUUAUGAAUUUUUAGGACUGGUGAAUUUUUCAAAUUUAAAAGAAAAAAAUACAGAAAAGUAAUUUCAAUUUAUCCAAAAAUUUGAGUUUCAAGGAAUGUAGCAUUUAUUAUAUGUCAUGUUAAUAUAAAGAAGAGAAUUUUAAAAAUUUCUUUUUCGAAUGAAUAAAAGUAUUUUUUGAUAAAAAUUUGACAAUCAUAUUUACAAAAAAAAAUUUAAAAAAAAAUUCUCUCCUCUUCCUACAUAAUUUAAGAGUUUAACAUUUUAAAUUAAUCUUUUUAAUCAAAGUAAUAAUCUCUCCUUCCGUCUGCAAAUGCUAAAAUUUAAUAUUAUAUCCGUUGACGAUUUUUGCUCCAAAUUCACCAGAAUAAAAUUUCUAAUAGAAUUGUGAAAUUCGUUACUCGAAAUUUGUAUAAAAGUCGUGAGAAUAGAAGGUUUGAUCAUAGGAAAUUAAAAUAUCACUAUCCAAUGCAAAAAUGGUUAUAAAGAAAAACAAAAGUCACGGGCUUAUUAUAGAAAAAAAAAAUUACUCUCCAUUUUCCAAUAAUUAAAGUAAUUCUAAAAUCAUAGACUUUUGGAAAGUAUCACAAAUGAUAGACUUUUGGUGACCGAGGUCAAGCCUAACGCAUGCCGGUCUUUUUCUCCUUUACUUCCAUAGAAAUUUUGGUUUCACUAUAAAUACUCGGCAUUACCAAUCCAACUAAGCACAGACUUACAAUCUAAAACACUCUCAUCUCAUGGAAAGAGUUCAUUCUCUCAGUAUGAUGAGCAGAUUUCUCUUACUUCAUUGUUUGAUUCUUAUUUCCUUAUUUAUCGCGGCAGCAACAGCCAACACAAGUUCUACUAUCACAGACCGAGAUGCUCUGUUAGCCCUGAAAGCUCACAUAACUCAUGAUCCGACCAAUUUCUUGGCUAAGAAUUGGAACACAAGUACUCCUGUCUGUAAUUGGACAGGCGUCGCUUGUGAUGUCCAUAGCCAUAGAGUCAGUCUUGAAUAUUUCAAGCUUAAAUCUCAUAGGCACCAUCCCUUCUCAACUUGGGAAUCUAUCUUCCCUGCAAUCACUCAAUCUCAGUUGUAACCGACUUUCUGGUUCCAUUCCCUCCGCCAUCUUCACCACGUAUACACUGAAACAUGUUAGUCUCGGUGAAAAUCAACUCUCUGGGCAAAUUCCUACAAAUAUUUGUAGUAAUCUUCCUUUCCUUGAAAUUCUUUUCUUGUCCGAAAACAUGUUUCACGGAGAAAUACCGUCCGCUCUAUCAAAUUGCACAUAUUUAAUAAUCUUAAGUUUGGCAUACAAUGAUUUCUCGGGAGCCGUACCUAGAGAAAUCGGUAAUUUGACCAAACUUAGGGAAUUAUAUCUUGGCUGUAACAGACUCCAAGGUGCGAAUAAUCACGGAGUUUCAUUAUGAAAUUUUUUCCAUAAGUUGUAGUAUGAAUAAUGUUCCAUAAUACAGUUUACACACGUUGAUUAAUUUGCAGGAGAAAUUCCUCGAGAGUUUAGCAAUCUUGCCGACUUGGAGCGGAUGUCGUUGGGAGACAACAAUCUCCAAGGCAUGAUUUUAAACUUUUUGCAAUUUUAUUUUAGCUAUGCUUGCUUCUGUAUUCAUUCGCUUGUUCUUUGAUUAUGCGAUGAUUUAUUGUUUUUCUUUCAGAUAGAGAUAAAGCUCCAUGUCUCCCCUCACUCAUUUCAUUCUUUAAUUUAUGCAGAUAAAAAAAAAAAAAUGUUUUGUAAUUUUCUUUUGUCAUAUUGCCACUUCCGUUUUGAAGCUCCCAAUUAAGUCGAUGAAAAUGAAUGAUGUUUCAUUCUUAUUCUUGUCAGCCUAAUUCUUAUAUAAUUGAAGAGUAAAUUGUUAUUAUGAUAAUUCUUUUUUUUUUUUUUUACCCCAAACAUGAGUGAUCAAAUUGUUUGCGCAUACGUACUUAAUUCGCAGGAGGUAUUCCACAGGAAUUGGGGAAUCUUGCAAAAUUGGAGGGGUUACAGCUGUUACAGAAUAACUUGACCGGUAACUUUCUUUACUAUACAUAUAUGAGACAUCUUCCGUUUCUUAAUUAAUAGAUUUCAAGUCUCUCACUAUAAAUUCCGCUUCUUAAUUAAUAGACAUCUUCCUCUAUCUGCUUUUAUGUAUUAUUAUUCUUACAUACCCCGACAUAGGCUUUUAGGGAUGAGUGGCGUCAAAUGUGAUUAUAAUUCUUUCAAAAUACAGAUGAAAUAGCACGUGAAAUCGGAAAAUAUUUUACUGCCAUAAGAAUUCAUAUAUUCAUUGUAGUAGCACAUAGAAAAGAGACUAUAAAUUUAGUUUCAAAAAUACAUUCUUAUCUUCAUAAAGGUUUUACAUUACUAAUUUAAAUUAAUAUUAAAAUAUGUUGUUUCUUUCACUAUGUUAUUUUAUUUACACAAUGAUGUGACUACUGGAAUUAGUAAUACUUAUAAUUAUUUUGUAAAAAUAUAAAUUUAAUACUUUGUUAACAUUUUAUCUACAUAUAAUAAUUAAACUGAAACUUGUAUUUAAAAAAUUCUAGUUACGCAUAUUCAUUUCAUGACAUAAAAGUGCAUAUUUAUGCUAAUUUACCAUUAUCAAAAAAAUGCUUUGAGACAAAUAAUCUAAUUUAUAUUUGUAUAUUUAAAAUACUUGCAAUUAUUAUAUUUUGAAAAAACUUUAUUUGCAAUUAUUUUAAACCGUUGGAUUCAAAUUUUCGUAGUUAUUAAAGUCAAAGGGUAUAAAUGUAUAAUAGUCAAAAACAGAUUUGUGUGAUCAUUUUUCAAUGUAUAAAUUUUCUUAGUUAGUAGGAAAAUUAGAAAUUGUUGAUUUACUCAUAAAUAAAUUUAAUGUUUAGCAUUUCAAUUUUGGAAAACUUGAACUAAAUGUUGAUAACUUUGAAUCGGUCGAGCCGAGUUUCGCUUCCUUGACCCACUGGCCCAUUUAAAGUUCUAUUCGAAUUCAGUUUCCUGGUGCUUAUAAAAAGUAUUUCUUUUCCUUGUCGCAGUAAUUUAUUCACAAAUGAGUUGAUUAGCAUCGAAGUUACCUGAGAGUCUGAGACCAUGCUAGUAGGAGAAAUUUGAAAAGAAAUUAUUUUACUGAAUAUAUUUAUUUUAUCUUGUUGUAACUGAAAUACUACUUUUUUUUUUUACCUAUCACUGGGGCUUGAUUUACUUUAAUAGUAGCAGCCACCGACUUAGAUGUUUUUUACUUCUCACCACACAAUUUGAUCUUUUAAUUCGUUUUAACCACAUAAUCUAUCUAUUUCUCACCUAUUGCUUACUUAAAUCACAUACAUAUUUUACCUACUAAUUUUUAUAAAUAUUAGUCAAAUAUAUUUUAAUACGUUUCUCUCGUAACUGCUCCAAAUGUGUACUAUUAAUACUUAACCCUCCCUUUUAAUUUACCGUGCAAUCUAUCUAUCGUUUAAGUCACAUAUAUAUUUUACCUAUAUUUUACCCCAAAAAAUAUAAAAAUAAAAGAAAAAGAAUAUGUGUAGCAAUUUGCAUAUAACUAACAACACAUUGAUGGUGUGUAGCCUUUCAAUACUUCACGAGUGGCUUUUCUUGUGUGUUAGUACUUGUAAUAAUUGUGUAGCAUAUAAAUGACAUUUUAUUAUUAAAGUGCGUCCAUUUUUAGAUAUUACUUAUUAUUUGAAAAAUAAUCUGAAUAUAAUUCUUUUAAAAUACAGGGGAGAUACCACUUGAAAUUGGUAAUCUCCAAAAUCUGGAGGAGUUGCAGCUUGGUCAAAACAAAUUAAUUGGUACUGUCCCAGCUGCAAUCUUUAAUGUGUCAACACUCAAAUUUCUUGGGCUUCAAAAUAAUUCUCUCUCUGGAAGUCUUUCGUCCAUCGCAAACGUCCGACUACCAAAUCUUGAAAAGCUUUAUUUGUGGGGUAAUAAUUUUAGUGGCACAAUUCCUCGUUUCAUCUUUAAUGCUUCUAAGCUCUCUAAGCUAUCAUUGGGAAUGAACUCAUUCUCCGGUUUUAUUCCCAGCACAUUUGGCAACUUAAGAAACCUUGAGCAACUUGGUUUAGAUGAAAAUUAUUUGACAUCUUCAACUCCAGAAUUGAGCUUUCUAUCCUCGUUGUCAAAUUGCAAGUCUUUAACACUUAUUGACUUAUCAAAUAAUCCACUAGAUGGCAUUCUUCCUAAGACGUCUAUCAGUAAUCUUUCUCGUUCUUUGGAAGAAUUUUACAUGUACAAUUGUAACAUUAGUGGCGGCAUCCCUGAAGAGAUCAGCAACUUGACCAACUUGGUAGAGAUUGAUUUAGGAGGCAAUAAAUUGAAUGGAUCAAUUCCGAUUACUCUCGGCAAAUUACGAAAGCUUCAACGGUUGAAUCUUGAAGAUAACAUAUUAGAAGGAUCAAUCCCAGACGAUAUUUGUCGUUUGGCUGAACUGUAUAGAUUGGAGCUGGGCAGCAAUAAGCUUUAUGGAUCAAUCCCUGCAUGCUUCGGUAAUCUGGCUUCUCUGAGGAUACUGUCGUUGGGAUCCAAUAAGUUAACUUCUAUUCCCUUAACUUUUUGGAACCUUAAGGAUAUCUUGCAACUCAACUUUUCAUCAAAUUUUUUGACUGGCCCACUCCUAUUAGAGAUUGGAAAUUUGAAGGUUUUGAUUGGAAUUGAUUUUUCGAUGAAUAAUUUUUCAGGCGUUAUCCCAAGAGAAAUUGGAGGCCUAAAAAAUCUAGAAUAUCUCUUUUUAUGAUAUAAUAGAUUGCGAGGAUCGAUUCCUGAUUCAUUUGGUGAUUUGAUAAGUUUGAAAUUCUUGAAUUUGUCCAAUAAUAAUCUCUCUGGGGCUAUUCCUACAUCUUUAGAGAAACUCUCAUAUCUUGAAGAUCUAAAUCUUUCUUUCAACAAGCUAAAAGGGGAAAUUCCUAGGGGAGGAUCUUUUGGAAACUUCUCAGCUGAAUCAUUUGAGGGAAAUGAAUUAUUAUGUGGUUCACCUAAUUUACAAGUCCCGCCAUGCAAAACCAGCAUCCACCAUACAUCAUGGAAAAAUUCUCUUCUCCUAGGGAUUGUCUUGCCAUUGAGUACUACAUUAUUGAUAGUAGUCAUUUGGUUGAUUCUAAGAUAUCGACAGAGAGGAAAAAAACCAUCGAAUGAUGCUAAUAUGCCACUAGUAGCAACGUGGAGAACAUUUUCAUACCUAGAACUUUGUCGAGCAACAGACGAAUUCAGUGAAAACAAUCUAAUCGGCAGAGGAGGUUUUGCUCUGUUUAUAAGGCAAGACUUGGGGACAAGAUGGAGGUUGCAGUGAAAGUUUUUAAUUUGCAAUGUGGAAGAGCGUUCAAGAGUUUCGAUGUUGAAUGCGAAAUGAUGAAAAGUAUUCGCCAUCGAAACCUUAUCAAAGUUAUUAGUAGUUGUUCAAAUGAAGAGUUCAAAGCGUUGGUAUUAGAAUACAUGCCUCAUGGAAGUUUGGAGAAGUAUCUAUAUUCAAGUAAUUGCAUUUUGGAUAUUUUUCAAAGAUUGAACAUAAUGAUAGAUGUUGCAUCAGCUUUGGAAUACCUGCACUUUGGUUAUUCAGCUCUAGUAAUUCAUUGUGACUUAAAGCCCAGCAAUGUAUUGUUAGACGAUAAUAUGGUUGCUCAUUUGAGUGAUUUUAGCAUCGCAAAAUUGUUAACUGGAGAAGAUCAAUCUAUGACUCAAACACAAACACUUGGCACAAUCGGCUAUAUGGCACCAGGUUUGUUCAAUAUAAAUAUUUUCUAUUUCUUGUAAACUUCCUAAUAAGUUAUUUAUGUUUCAUGAUCUUCAUUAGAUAAGGAAAUUAUUAUUAAUGAUAUAUCUUACUAUGUAACUGUUACAAUUCAUAGAGUAUGGAAGAGAAGGACGAGUAUCCACAAAUGGAGAUGUUUAUAGCUUUGGGAUUAUGUUAAUGGAAACUUUUGCCGGGAAGAAACCCACAAAUGAAAUUUUUAACGAAGAAAUGACAUUAAAGCAAUGGGUUAAUGGUUGGCUACCCAUUUCCACUGUGGAAGUUGUUGAUCCUAAUUUGCUUAGUCAGGAGGACGUACAUUUUGUUGCAAAGGAGCAAUGUGUGUCAUUUGUCUUCAAUUUGGCUAUGGCGUGCACUGUGGAAUCACCUGAGAAGAGAAUCAAUGCAAAAGAAAUUGUAACAAAGCUCUUAAAAAUUAGAGGCUCAUUACUUAGAAAUGUUGGAGGCAGAUGUAUAAGACAAUCAAAUUUAAAUUGAUUCUGCCACUCCAUUGCUCUCUAUCCUUUUCAGAGACUUGAACGGUUAUCCUUCAUACCAGUUUUGUUGAUAUGUUUUGUUAUUGUUCUUGCUCAUGUUUGUUUCUCUAUUUCUUUAAUUUGCAUGCAUGUAUUUUUCGUUCUUUUUUAUGUUUUUGUUGGUUUAUAUGUAGUUUGUUUUUAGGGGUAAGGUUGAUUAUAUCCUCUCCUAAUUAGACGUAUCCUUUUUAUGUUUAUUUAAUAAAGCUUCUCUAAUACUAUGGAGGUUCAUCAAAAGAAAAUUUUUAAUUAAUUUUCUUUUCUUUGACAGGUAAUGAAAUUCUAAUCUUCAUAGUGAAUAACUUCAAUAAUAGAGUGUAAGAGUAUUAGUAGUUAUGGUUGUUUUUUGAACCAAGAGUCAAGAACAAUUUAACAGCAACAAACAAGUCUGUUGUAUUGUAGGCAAAAUUAUUUUCAUUAAUCUUAUUUGUCUACAUGUUCUCCUAUUUUCUCCAAUAAUCUUCGCUCAAGGUUUCAUGCUUCCUCUUUGAUAAAGGAAAAUAUUACUUGCGAAUAUUUCAAUUUGACAUAAGAGACUGUUUUGCCAACCAUUUGAUAAAAUGGAUAUGAGUGGAGCUUUCAAUCAUUACCUCCACCAAAAUCCUUACAACGCCACUUUUAAAUUUUAUUUUUAAAAUACAUUCAAUUUAAUUUAUAAAAAAUAAAUCCAUUUGUUAAAAUUAAUCUUUUUCUCAUAAAUUUCAACCUAAAAAAUAUAUUUCUUUUAAAUUUUUAAUUAUAAAAUACAUACAAGUUCUAAACUAUUAUAUUAUUUUCUUCUUAUUAUAUAGUUUAUAUCUCCAUAACUCUAAACUCCUAUAAUUGUUUUAAAAAUAUUUUUAAUUUAAAAUAUAAAUAUAAAGUAUAGAAUGGAGUGGGUAUAAAAAACUUAAAAGAAUAAUUCAUUUAAGUAUUUAACUGAAUUUAAAUUAAAAUAAGAAAUAAAUUAAUUUAUUUUUUAUUAGUUAAGUAAUUUUCAAUCGAAAAAAGAGCUGUAUAAGUUAUAUUAUUGAAAUAUGAUUAAAAUUCUUAUGAAUAAAACAUUUUCAUAUAAAUACUAGUGAUAAUUAUAGAGAAAGUACGAUGAACCAAAGAAAACUUGAAUAGAAAUACUCCAAUGUAAUUUUACACAUGCAAAUUAUGAACCAAUCCAUUGAUCUUUAGAGGAUCAUAAAAUUAUUUUAACACAAUUAUUUAUUUUGAAAAACUGCCAACAAUGUUUAAAGUGGGAUCGAAAAGAUUAUGCUUCUUAUAUAAGACAUGAUAUCAUUUAAGAUGGCUUACAGAUUAUGAGAAAUAUAUUGAUCUUACAAAUAUUUAAUAUGUCAAUUAGACGGGCCCAGCUACCUUCCACCCGCUGGAAGGUACAACUUAUUUGGUCCUCUAGUGUUUUGGUCGUUGGAUAUUUGAGAAGUUGAUCUAACGGUUCUUUUUAGGCAGCGUGAAAUUGAAUUUCAAUUGGCAACUGUUUCAUGAACUUUGCAAGAGACAAUAAUCUACAUAAACAUUAAAAAAAUAAAAAAAUAAAACAAUUUUUCCCUUUCAUCAGUCGCCGCCGCCACCCACAUCCCCUUAAUAUCAUCAUCACCAUCCCAAUCCUUAGCCGCCAUCCACAAGCUCUAACAACCACCAUGACCGCCAUCACAACCACCAUUCCUCAAAACCCCUAGCCACCACUACAAACAUUCACAAACUCUAACCAUCAUUGUCAGUUCACCAGCUUUAUCCUCCAUUGCCGCUGCCUACUGAUAACUAUAUGAAAUGAGAGUUAUCAUAACACUUUUAGAUUUAAAUCAAUAUUACUUAGAGAGUAAAUGAUUGAUGUGUUUUUAUUGCAUUUUUGUUACAUUUUGCAUAAAUAUUCAUUUUAGUUUAGUGUUAAUAAGUUUUGCUUAAUUUAAAGUAAUUCGUGCUCAAAUUGUGUGCAUAAUUGCAGGUUUUCAAAAGCUUAUAAUUCAUGAAAGGAAUGCUGAUGCAAUAGGCUUGCAAAAAUGACAAAGAACUUGGCUACAAAAGAAUUGAAACAAAUCUGGAACAGUGCAGUUGCUGUAGAUAUUGCUGUAGCAAUCAUUGUUGUAGCAACCAUUGCUGUAUCAAUCCUGGAACAACGACAGAGAAAAUUCCGCGCGGGAUACUUGCAGAAUUGCGACCUGUAGUUUCCUAAUCUGACUUAUGUGCGCCCUAGGCUUUCAUUUACCCUAAUUUUGAACUAUAAAAGAAGCACACAUCAUGAGGAAAAGGGGAGAGCCGUCACCCAAGGAGAAAAACAAGAUUCAAGAGAGAGAUUAAGGGCUGCACAAGAGGAAAAAUUACAGAAAUCAAUUGGGAGCUCAAUCCUUCUUAUUCUUCUCUUGUUUUCGUGUUUUCUAUUUAUUCAUGGGGAUGUGUUUCAUGGCUGGAACUUUGUUCUUUAUUUUUCUUUUGCAAACCAUGAACUAAAUUUAUUUGUGGUUGAGUGAUAAACAAUCUUCAUGGUUUAUUGACUAGAAAUAUAUGUUGCUGUAUGUUUGCUGUAGCAGUUUGUUUUGAUAGUAUUUAUUUUAUUCAUUAUUUCGGUUGAUCACCCAUUUAAUGAUACUAGCUAAUGAAGAGCCGCAAAAGGGUCUAUCUUAGUGGAACAUAUCAGAACAAUACUUGAUCUUAAAUUGAGUUUCCCGGAUUGAAUUUUAACUUGAGUCCCAAAAGGGCUAUGCUUGAUUUAAGAUUAGUGAUGAACUAGACAUAUGGAUUCACCUUGUAGGGUAAAUAGAACAUAAGCGUGUAAUGCUAUAUCUUAUGGUGGCAUAACAAUUGAUCACUGUUAGGUUGCAUAUAGAUAUAAGAUAUCCAACAUGCGACGGCUGAGGAUACAUAAGGAUUCUGCCCAGUGCUGUAGCAAAUACUGCAGCAACCGAGCCAACCAUUAGAAAAUAGUCAAGACCAUUAGGAGAGUUUAUUCACUCAACUACUAUAUAUUCUCAUUAGUUUUAUCCUUGAGAUUGACGUGAUAAUUUACUUUAUUGCGUUUUAUUAAUUACAUUUUUAUUUUAAUUAGUAUAUUAGUUUCAUUAAUUGUUUAUUUUAUUUUAGCAGAAAAUCUGCACUGUUAAGAUUGCUGUAGCAAAUCUGAUAACAUCAAUCCCUGUGGAGAUGAUCUUGAAUACUCAUCACUUUAUUACUUGUUGUGUACACUUGUACAUUGACACCAAUAGCAUUAGUAUUUAUACACCAACAAGUUUUUGGCGCCGUUACCGGGGACUGCUUGUUCAUUGUGAUUUGUGAAAUUAGUUUUAAUGGUUCUAAUUUUUUAUUUUAUUUUAAUUUGUUUAUUUUGUUGACAUAGGUGAUCUAGCAACCCUUGCAUGCACAAAUAUAAAUCUGUUGACUUACCGUUUGAUCCAAAAAUUGAAAGAACUGCAAGGAGAUUGAGAAGAGAGCAUCGGGAAUUACAAGCUGCUAUAGCAAUUGAUGAUUUGUAAAAUUUGAGAAACUUGAACCGUAGAGAGGGGAUACAACCAGUCAAUGUACAUGAAGGUCUGAAUGGACAAUGUGUUCAAAGGCAACCAGGGAACAACAACAUUAUUCACAUGGCGAACGAUAGAGAUAGAGCCAUUCGAGACUACGCAGUGUUAACUCCUCAAGCCAUACAUCCGGGAAUAGUUAGACCCGACGUUCAAGCUGAUAAUUUUGAACUCAAACCCGUGAUGUUUCAUAUGCUUCAAACAGUGGGGCAAUUUAAUGGUUUGCCAUCCGAAGAUCCUCAUCUACACCUUAAGUUAUUUUUGGAAGUGAGUGAUGCUUUCAAGAUUGCUGGAGCAUCGCAGGAAGCAUUGAGACUCAGACUUUUCCUGUUUUCUUUAAGAGAUCGAGCAAGAGCAUGGUUGAAUUCUCUACUACUAGAUUCUAUCACUACAUGGAGUGACUUGGCUGACAAAUUUUUGUUGAAAUAUUUCCCGCCAACCAAGAAUGCAAAGUUGAGGAAUGAGAUCACAUAUUUCCAUUAACUUGAAGAUGAGAGCUUGUGUGACGCAUAUGAGAGAUUUAAGGAGUUCCUUAGAAAAUGUCCUCAUCAUUGUAUUCCUUGCUGCAUACAGUUGGAAACAUUCUAUAAUGGUCUCAACCCAAGCACUAGAUUGAUGGUGGACGCUUCAGCAAAUGGGGCAUUAUUAUAUAAGUCUUACAAUGAGGCUUAUGAAAUUUUGGAGAGGAUAGCCAACAAUAACUAUCAGUGGCCAUCAACCAGACAAGCUGCAGCAAGAGGAACAACAGGAGUUUAUAACGUAGAUGAUGCAAUAGGCUUGCAAAAAUGAGAAAGAACUUGGCUACAAAAGAAUUGAAACAAAUCUGGAACAGUGCAGUUACUGUAGAUAUUGUUGUAGCAAUCAUUGUUGUAGCAACCAUUGCUGUAGCAAUUCUAGAACAACAACAGAGAAAAUUCUGCGCGGGAUACUUGCAGAUCAUAAGGAAAAGGGGAGAGCCGUCACCCAAGGAGAAAAACAAGAUUCAAGAGAGAGAUUAAGGGCUGCACAAGAGGAAAAAUUACAGAAAUCAAUUGGGAGCUCAAUCCUUCUUAUUCUUCUCUUGUUUUCGUGUUUUCUAUUUAUUCAUGGGGAUGUGUUUCAUGGCUGGAACUUUGUUCUUUAUUUUUCUUUUGCAAACCAUGAACUAAAUUUAUUUGUGGCUGAGUGAUAAAUAAUCUUCAUGGUUUAUUGACUGGAAAUAUAUGUUGCUGUAUGUUUGCUGUAGCAGUUUGUUUUGAAAGUAUUUAUUUUAUUCAUUAUUUCGGUUGAUCACCCAUUUAAUGAUACUAGCUAAUGAAGAGCCGCAAAAGGGCAUAUCUUAGUGGAACAUAUCAGAACAAUACUUGAUCUUAAAUUGAGUUUCCCGGAUUGAGUUUUAACUUGAGUCCCAAAAGGGCCAUGCUUGAUUUAAGACUAGUGAUGAACUAGACAUAUGGAUUCACCUUGUAGGGUAAAUAGAACAUAAGCGUGUAAUGUUAUAUCUUAUGUUGGCAUAACAAUUGAUCACUGUUAGGUUGCAUAUAUAUAUAAGAUAUCCAACAUGUGAUGGCUGAUGAUACAUAAGGAUUCUGCCCAGUGCUGUAGCAAAUACUGCAGCAACCGAGCCAACCAUUAGAAAAUAGUCAAGACCAUUAGGAGAGUUUAUUCACUCAACUACUAUAUAUUCCCAUUAGUUUUAUCCUUAAACUUGACGUGAUAAUUUACUUUAUUGCAUUUUAUUAAUUACGUUUUAUUUUAAUUAGUAUAUUAGUUUCAUUAAUUGUUUAUUUUAUUUUAGCACAAAAUCUGCACUGUUAAGAUUGCUGUAGCAAAUCUGAUAACAUCAAUCCCUGUGGAGACGAUCUUGAAUACUCAUCACUUUAUUACUUGUUGUGUACACUUGCACAUUGACACCAAUAGCAUUAGUAUUUAUACAUCAACACCUACCAAUUAUCCACAACACUUAACCACUGUCACCAACAAACCUUAGCCGCCGCCUCCUACAAGCAAGCCUCACCACCCACCAUACUAUUGCGACAGAGGCCACAAUGUAGGCAAGAUCCAAUAGAGGAGGGAUGUCUUCAUUCUCCGGCUAACUAUUAUUUUUUGUCUUUUUUAUUUUUUAAUUAUUAUAUUACUUUUAGUUAUUUUUAGUUUUUCUUUUAUUUUGUCUAUAUUUUGGUUGUUAGAUUGUUUUUGUUGUUGCCGGCGGUAAUGGAGUUGCAGCUCGUGAUGAUGAUGGUGAUGUUGGUGUCAUUUUAAUCGAGAUUUUGUUUUUUUUUACGGGUACGGCAGUCAUCUUCAUUCAUUACGUGUCCAUUUCUAACAUGUUAGAUUUAACUAUUUUUUAAUCCAAGGGUUAGACCACAAUGAGACAAAGGAUGGGGUACCUUCCAACGGGUGGAAGGUAGUUUCGGCCCAAUUAGACUGAGUCUAUACAAUAAAAAUUUUAUAUUAAAAAAUAAACCUUUUAGUUUCUUUUAAUCAUAAGUGUGAUCUUAAUUGUUGAAGUCAUUCAAUGUCCAUUACUUAUUCAUUUUUUUAAUAACCUAAAUGACAUUGAAAACUCUACUCAAUAAUAAUUCGUUCAAAUGUUUUAUUUUAAAGUAAUUGGAAACUGCAAAUGAAACAAAUACUUGAAAUCACAGACGGUCUAAAAUUAGAUUUUCAUUUUUCAAUGUUGCAGUGACUUUGAUCUUGAUAUUCAAAAUUUAUUUGUAACUUAUAUAAAGGCCUCAAUGUUAUUAGUGUUUUAUAUUAUAAUCUUUUCAUUGUCACUUUAAACAUUUUUUGUAACUUAAAUCAUUUUUUUAAAAUUAAAUAUAAAACUUAAUUUAAUUACAUAUAAAAAUCAUUUAAAUUAAAUAUUAACAUUAAUUUAUAAUUUUUUUUACCUAGAAUUUUGUAUUAUAUUAAAUACUAAAAUUCUAUUCGAUAAUGUAUUAUCAUUUAUUUAAUAAAUGUUUAGGUUUUUAGUAUGUUAUAUUAUUAUUUAAAUUACUUUUUUAUUUACAUAUAAACAUAAAUUAAUAUUUACUACUUUAAAUUUAUUAUAAUUUGUUAAAUAAUAAAAGCUAAAUGAUUAUAUUGAAAAUAUAAAUAGUAUUAUAAUGUAUUAUAGUCUAAAUCUUACCCCUAUGAGUUUAUUUUAUACACCUUUUAUUAUAUUAACCACAUUUAUAAUGAAGUGCAAUGCAACAAAAAAUUAUAACCAAAUAUGAGUUAGCAUGAAAAUAAUAUUUUAGUACAAUGUAAUGUAAGCUGACAAAUGGAUAUUUAAUGGAAGCAAAAUUUGCAUAUGGUUUGUGGGUCUCUCAAAAGACAACAAAGAAACCAAUACGAUACACUAAUUCUAUCCUCUUUAAUGGUGUCUUUACUAAAUGGGAAUCAUAAUGAAUUGGAAUUGAAAUGGGCUUGAAUCGAAAUAAGGAAUUAGAAUCAGAAUAAGUUGUUUGUUUAAGUUGUAUGAAUUAGAAUCGAAAUAGUUUUUAUUCAAAUUGAUGUGUUUAUUUUCUCUUGAAAUUAGAAUGGACUAUUACAAGUUACUACAAAAUCAUUUCGUAAUUGUUGUCUCUAAUAUUAUUUGUACCUGUUAUAAUGUUAACAAUAAUAAGAAUAAAAAUAAUACUAAAAAUGAAAAUAAUAAUAAUAAAGACAAUUAUAAUAAAAUUAAUAAAUUAUUAUUACUACUACUACUACUAGUACUGAAGACCGCCUAGUGAAGAUUGGAUAGUGAAGAUGAAGAUGACGAUCCUGGCAACCAACUGCUGCUUCAAAGAUGAUGUGCCCAAAUGGAGACAACCAGGGAUGACCAGCCAACUAGAUCCCAAUCUCGAUGUUGUGAUCUCGCAUGACCAUUGAUAAAGCGAUGUGUGAUGCCAGUGUUGUGAUUUCUUUUUAUUUAUAUUUUUUAAUUUAUUGGGGGUAUUUUUAAAAUUUAGUAAUUUUAAUAUGGAAAAAUUAGAUUGUCGAGGGAAUAGGAGACUGAUUCCCAACCAUCCUAAGAAUUAGUCUAUCAUUCUCUAUUUCUAAUUUGAUGUGCGUCCAACUAUUUCACUUCCACUUCUUACAUUUAUUUGUAAAGUAAAUGAAGUUAAUGAUUUCGAUUUCCAAUUGGAGAUGUAAACACAUCAUAAUAUUUUUUUAGAUACUUCCAUGGCAUAAUCUCAUUGGUCCAUUUUUCUUCAUGCCUUAGAUUCAACUUCAAGAUUAAGCCUGCGGCUGACUGGCAGUGGCCAAGCAAAUGUAACUCAUAGUGACCGAACCAUAUCUUAUUAUCUUACGCCAGAAGUUAAACAAUGUUCCCAUUCCACGUGUCACUCUCUGACCGAUCCCCAAACUUGCUACAUAUUUCCAAAGAAACCCUUACCAAGUCAAGAUAAUUACCUUCACUCUACUUCUAUAAAUACUGUCGUCGAUUCAACUGAUGAUGACAUAUCCUUACAGUCUUUAUUUAAAAGGAAAAAUUAUAAAAAAUUAUCCUCGUUCCAUAAAAAUCUAGGGUUUCUCAAGAAUCGCUUGAAAAUUUAGUAUUUUUUAGUGGAUUUUGCUUGUCUCGUAUGCUUCAAUUGUUGUUCGGUUCUUAAAAUAAUUUGGAAUUUUAGGGAUUUUCAGAUUAUUUAGUUUUGUUUGAGUGCAAUUUCCUCUAGUUACGGUUUCAGUUUGAAGGGUUAAGUGCAAUUUCGAAUUUUUUGUUAUAAAAUUAAAAUUAAAAUUCCUAAAACGAUUGGGCGUUUAAUAAUUAAUUGAUGGCUAGCGAUACUACAACGGCGGCCGCAGCUGCGGAAGAAGCAGAGGCGAUGGAGGAGUAUGAUAGCAAUCCAAAUGAAGUGAAACGCUCUCUUGUGAUGCGCAGAAGGGAUGCCAGUGAUGAGGAGGAGGCGGAGGAUGAGAGAGAUUCAGAGCUUCCAAUCGCUCAAAGGCAAGAGCAGAAGGGAAACAAGCGAUGAUGAGGAGGAGUAGACAGAAUUUGAACGUCGAAUAAAUGGAAGGGUCCAGAUUCACUCUUACAUUGAAUCUGAUGGCCAAAGUGGUGCUCCAGCUGAGUAUGAUGAUGAUGAAGAAGACGAAGAGGAACAUGACACAGAAUUAGAAGAAGAAGAUGAAGAAGGGGAUGUUUAUGAGUAUGAAGAGGAAGAAGAUUUUUAUGAAGAGGAGGAGAGGAAUGACGAGGCGGUUAAAGUCAAAGAAAUAGAGGGUAAUGAUGCAAGAGGAGUACGGAGGGCGCAGUGGAAGUGAGUAAAGGGAAUUAUGAUAAUGGCAAUGGGCAGCGAAGGAGGGAAUGGAGGAAGGGGAGAAGGAGAGUAAUGAGCCUUUUGCACAGCAGCCGGGGCUUUUUAUAUGGGACAAUGUUGCAGGUCGACACAGGUAUUAUUUGAUUUGAGUGACAAUCUAUAAAUAACUGAUAGCUGUACUUUCAUUAGGCUUGUCGAUUAGUCUAGUCUCGUUUUUUGGUGCUGUCUAAUGAUUGUUGGCUGGAAUCUGUCUAGAAGGCUUUUGGCCUAGUAGGUUGAAAGGAGAGAAAGUUCUCAAGUAAACAUCCGUGCUUUGUGGAAUAUAAUUAAUAGGGACAAAGUAUACUAAAUUACUUGAUAGAUAGUGCCGAGCUAAUCAUGAGCUAUGAUAGCAUUAUCCGUGCUUUGUGUAUAUUUAUUAGGGCUUGUCUAUUUCAAAGUGUGCAGUAUAGAAUUUUUGGGUUAAGUUUGAGUGAUGAAGUGUUAGAUAGGUUUCUGUUUUGCAUAGUUAAGCCGUCAAUAUGAGCUAUCGAAGCAAAUAUGGAGUAGGAUAUCUAGUUUUGGCCCAAAUUAUCAAGCUGGUUUGGUGGCUGCUAGAUUUGUUCAUCCGGAUUUUGGACCAUUUUCCUUGACAAUGAGAAAAGCUCCAAGAUCUGUAAAUCGAAAAUUCAUUGAAGUGCCAAAAGAGAGAUGGAAGUGAAUAACUAGAGUGUUAGUGAAAAGAGGGUGCAGUGAUUGUGUGGGAAGCUUUGGGUAUAACUGGGGUUUGGAUGUGAGAUAAAAUAUUUUGAGAGUGAAGUUGUAACAAUUUUGCACGUAGAGAAAUUUUUUGUCUCGUUGUCCUUGGCAACUGUGGUUUUUUAUUUGGGUAAUAGAGUUUUUCAGGUAACUCUUUUGUUGUGUGAUCCGAGUAUUCUCUAUUGUAUUUCUUUUAUUUGUUAUUUAUUUGACGUAUUGCUAGCAGAGAUCUUGGGUGGGAACCAAAAAUUCCCAACAAUUGUCAGUUGUUUUAAACUCUAUUCCGAACAGAGCAUGAAGGGAUUCACUUAUCUAAUUAUGUCAUUUAUGCUUUAACUUCACUUCAUUUCAUCUUGUCCGUCACCUUUACUAAAGUUGUGUAUGUUGGAGUAUUAGGUUCAUCACAAGGAUCAUAUUAUGGCUAAGGAAGGAGCACAGUUUAUUAGCUACACUCAAGUGUAGCAGAGUAUUUGGAUUCAAGACUGUUAUAAGGUUGUUACAGAUGCAAUGCUGUUGCUGUGCAACUGUAUGCCAUGCUCGCAAGUGCGCUGUAACAGAUUGCUCAGCAGGCACCGGAUAUUUUAAGCUAAUUUUGGUAAUUAGUCUAGAGUGUUCUGAUUUAUUCUAUAAAUAGCUCAUUUGAGCGUAGAUAUCUACAUUUCUGUUACUUCUAAUAAAGAAUUUCUUUAUUCCUUUUUCUUUCACUUUCUCUUUCAUUUUCAUGAUCCCCAAACACCAUCAAACAUAGAAUUGCUGUUUUAAGAAACAAAGUACUCUAUCCUGUCACCCAGCGGUCUCCUCGUUUAUCGACUUGUGAACAGGGGGCAAAACGUGACAAGUUCUUGAAUUGAAUGGGUCCUCUUUUCUCCAUAAAUCUUUGCUUAAUUUUUUUUGUUCCCUCAACCUUUUUUGGCCUUUUGCGCUAAAAUUCUUUUAUUUGAUACAUUAUGCAAAAAUUGAUGAAAAUAAGUUACUUUAGAACAUCAAUAAAUUUUUAUUACAUGAUAAGACAAUUAUACUUAAAUUACUCUUAUUUAAUUGAAUUAAAUGUAAUAAAAUUAGUUCAACAAAAUCUAAGCCGUAAAUAUUCCUUAUCACAUGAUUAACGUACUUAAAAAAUCAUAACUGAUCGGCCGCUUGUUUUACUAUAAAAGAUUGGUGUGAUUUAAUUAUUUUUCUUUUUGCUUCGUGUCUGUAAAAUUAUGAAUACUUUGGCAAAUAAGAAAAUUAUAAACACCAUUUUGAAAAUCCAUGGCCAUGGCUGUGAUGUGUCUUUAUCAAUCACGGAUACAAAAAUUAAUCAAAAUUAUCGAUUGUUUUAAAUUUUGUUUUUAACAGAGCAUGAAGAUGUCGCUUAUCUAGAUUUACUUUUUAUGCUUUGACUUCACUUAAUACGGCUUCUUCCUCCUUUAACUGUAUUUUUGGUUUGUCUUCACAAAUUCACCGAUACAAAUUAAUUUCUACCAAUAUUACCAAAUGAUUACUGAGCUGCUAGAACCUUCUUUAGAAGAGAAUUAUUGCGGCAAGGUAAUUGGAAGCUCAAAGAGUUUCCGUAUUAGCUGAAUCUAAGCGAUAAGUGUUUCCAUGUGAGCCAUAAUUGGGGAAAAAGACCAAUUCAAGUUAAACAAUUAUUAAUUAUUUUAAACUAUGUUCUGAACAGAGCAUGAAGGGUUUCACUUACCUAGUUACGUUUUUCAUUCUUUCACUUCACUUGAUUUCAUCUUGUCCCUAUCGUUUAUAAAAGUUGCAUAUAUUGGAGUAUCAAGUCCAUCACAAGGAUCAUAUUCUGGCUAACGAAGGAGCACAGUUCAUUGGCUGCACUCAUGUGUAGCAGAGUAUUUGGAUUCAAGACUUACAAUUGCGGAGGUAAUUAGUGUAGAGUGUUCUGUGAUUUAUUCUAUAAGUAGCUCAUUUGUGCUUAAAACCUACAUGUCUUGUACGUUUCUAUCGGUAAUUUAAUUACCUUUCCGUACUUUAUCAAUCAUCGAAUGAUUUUACUGGUUUGAUCGCUUGAUUGUUUGAUCGUCUGUCUGCAAGUAAUUUACAAUUCACUCUCCAAUUUUCAUUAAUUUAGUCUACCAAAGCUUUAACUAGAUAGGUAGAUAACGUGGUCAUGAAAACUUGAUUAAGAGUUUAAUGCAAUCAAAUCUACUUUAAUGAUUAUUUAAUGCACGGAGAUUUAACAUCAAUUAUCAUCACGUUAUUCUAACAGCGAGAUUGCACAAACUCAGAAGCACAAACUUUCAACAAUGAUAAUAGGUAAAAAUUGAUAAUCUUAUAAUAAAAAGCAAGAAAAAAAAAGUUGAUUUAGGAGGUAAGAAUAAAAAAAGAAAAAUAGAGAGAGAAAUUAGUUUAGGCUCUAACCAUUGUUAUAGUAGAGAAAAAAAAAAUUGAUCAAGAGUAAUUUUAUGACUUUUUAGAAAAGAGUGAAUUAAAAUAAUAAGUUAUAAUUUGAUUAUUAUCUUAAUUAAAAAAAUGGGGUUGAAAUAAAAUUAGUGAAUUUAAAUAGUCUGCCCAAAAUCCAAACUUGCAUAUCAAUUAUUUUCUAAUUUACAUGAAGUUUUUCUAUAUGUUUGAUAACAUUUGAUUCUCAAUUGGUCUAAUGGAGAAACAACCAGCAAAAAAAUAAAAUGAAUGCAAUUAAAUGGAAAUUUGAAAAGAGCAGUAGAUGACAUUUGUGUGCAAGCAAAAUGCAAAAUUGCAUUCUGUUUGUGGGAUCCUGGAAAAAAUAAAAGAAAGAAAACAGAGUAAGACGCUGAUACUGUGGGCUUUAAUAUUUUUCUAGAUGCUUCCAUGGCAGAUUCUCGUUGGUUCAUUUUUCUUUACGCCUUAGAUUCUAUGAUUCAAUUUCAAUCAAAUACGACAAACAAAAGAAGCUUUUAAGCCUGCAGCUCAAAAAGAUGGCACUUUAAUUUUCGGCUGAACAUACAUAUGGCAAGAUUAUUAUUAUUGAGCUUCAUAAGUGGGGAUAGCAAAAUCCGAAUUGGGAUGUAGGUGCAUUCGGAUUUGGAUUCGGGAAAAAAUAUGUGGAUGUGGAUUUGGAUGCGGAUAAUAUAUGUACGGAUUGUGGGUGAAUAUUCCGGAUAUUCAGAUCCGCAUAAUAAAAAAUUAUAAAAUAUUGCGGCUUCAAAGCCCAUAUGAUCAUGGGCCACCGCUUGCCCAUGCUUUGAAUCAAAAUUUUCUAAUGAAGUGAGGUUGGAAGCUGAAAGGGGCAAAUGAUAUAUUGAGCCCAACGGGACAAGAUCAUCAUUUAAUUCCCUCCUCUUGUCGAUAGAUGUUUGCCGAAUUUUUUCAUUUAAAAAAUAUUAUAUUGGUUAAUAGAAUUUGAAGUUUUACAAAAUAUAAGUUUAAUUUAAAAAAAUUAUAUUUGUUAAUUUAAAUUUUUCAUUUGGUGGUUGUGUUUGAGAAAAAUUUUAGGUAUACUCGGAUAUACUCUCUUAUUAUUCAUUGAAUUUGGGCAUUUAAAACAUACUAGUAUGCAAUAUUUUUAAGUAAUUACCAGAGAAGUAUACAUGAGAAAAAUAUAACACGUGAAACAAUACACAAUGAAAUUAUCUACAAUUUUCCAUUGACUUAGUCAACUCUUCAUUAAUUUCAUUGACUUGAUCAACUCAUGAUCUAACUUGACAACUUGAAAAUUAAAUUAUGCUAGUAAUUCUGUAAAAUAUGCUAGUAAUUCCGUAAAAUUAAAAUUUAUCUCCCAAAAUUGAUAAAUACUGUGUCACUUUGUCAAAUUACUUAGGGUAAAAGCUCUGUGGCUAAAAACUUUUAACAUUAGUUGUAUGCUAAUUGAGAAGGACAAGACACGAAAGAAUUCAAUGAAUGCCACAUCAUGUAACACUAAUACUAACACUACUUACUCUUAACAAAUUCUUACAAACGUGAUUCAUGAAAUUAACUUGACUUUUUGUCUAAAAAAGGCCUAAAGAAACAUGCCAAGCAACAAAUAAAGUAGUCCAAACGUGAUUCAUGAAACUUGAUAGGCACUAUCUAAAUAGUAUUAAUAUGGCAACCAAAAACAUGCGCGCAAAGUAGACUUUCUUGGACGAUCCAUGCCAAUCAGCAUAUAAAGUAGUCCAAACGUGAUUCGUGAAACUUGACUUCUUGUCUAAAAAGGCCUAAAGAAACAAGACCAAAAUUUCCAUGCAAUAGCAAUAUGGUGGCCACAAUGCACUUUUUAAGCCAUUUUUCAAAACUAAGUUUCUUCGUAUCACAUGCACUAUUCAAGCAAUUUUUCAACAUUUUCUCCUUCCCCUAAAAGCUACAUGCAUGAAUCAUGUCCCAAUCAAUUUCUUGGCAAAAAUUGGAACGCAAGAACCGAUUGGAGCAUAAGGACAAUGUCGCGAUUCAAGAUUCUCAGCAAGACCACGUCACAAUGCAUCACUUUUGGAAAGUAAUUUAGCAAUUUCCAAUGCCUUAGCUGAUUAAUGGCUUGACCAUGUGACGAUUGGUCCACCUUAUGCACAUGGCAAGAUCAAAGAAAAUAUCACAGCUAGCUCGACGACUACUAGCCAAAAUAACAAGACAAUGACGGCCAGUUACAAACUCUUUACGAAGGAAAUACCGAAAUAUGAAUAUCCCUCCUAAUCACUUUCUUAUAUUAUCAUUAUUUUGUACAUGUAACAGAACACGUUCUCUCUUGUAAUGAAGUCAAGAAAACGGUUUUAGUUUUUAUAUCAAUAAUGGAAUCCAAAAUCUUUCACAGCUUGCUUCUCCUUUGGACGCUUGAAAGACUUUCUUACCUGGCUAAAACUGUGAAAAUUGUUCAAACUAAUUUGAUUGAUAACUUUCUGACACUAUAUUGUAUAUGAAGGCUGCAUUUAAAUGUGAAAUAAAAAUGAGUGCUUAUAUUAAAAAACAAUCAGUCUCAUUGCGUCCUCUUUCAUUGACAUAGGCAAUUUUGCGGUCAACUCGAGGAGUUGUUUGAUUUUAUGUUUCAAAUUAAGUACCAUAGCAUUACUACUUCUAUAAAUAACUCAUUUGAGCUUCGAGCUUGUUAUUUGUAUUUUACGUUUCUGUUUCUCUUCAUAAAGAUUUUUUUUUUUCAUUCUCUUUUUCUUCCACUUUCCCGACUCCCAAACACCACCAGUCUUUGAUUUUCCUAGAGUAUUAACUGUCUGUUUACACGAACAUAGACCGACUGUUUGUCUAAUUACUGACAAGAAACAGCAUACUCUAUCUCGGGGUCUCAUCGUUUAUUGACAUGUCACUUGUGAACGGGCUAAUUAAAGGGCGUUCCUUCCUUCAAGAAAGAAUGCCAAGAAAGUACCAUCCAUUAGACACGUUAAGAAUUAUUUAACAUUAAAAAUGAUAAUAAUCAUAAUAAUCGGUUUAGUGUUACCCCGUUAUUAGGUAAUGACUGUCCGAUUGUCUUCGCUUUCAUUGACUUCGCAACUGUGAAUUCUAAGCCGGGUUAAGGAUUGACAAAAUGUUAUAACCCAUAAACACUACAACAAACAGUUAUAUCACCGACGAAAUAUUUCCGAGGGCGUAAAAUACCUUUGAUAAUAAGUACUUUUUUCUAAGGUGUAAGAUGGCCGUCGGAUAAGGAUGAAAAUAUGAUCAAUAUUUCCGAGGGCAAUUUGCCCUUGGUGAUAAUGAAUACUUCGUCGAAAAUGCCUGCUAGACUUAACUAGAAGCACCCCAAAAUUUACACACUUCGGGCCCGGCCUUUGGAGUAGAGUACUAAAACCACAAGCCCGCAGCCAUAACUUCCACUAAUUGUUUUUUUAAGAGUAGCGUACUUGGAAAUUUUUUUUCUUGUAAAUUUAAUUACUCUUGGUAAAAUUAAAAACCUAAAAGAAUGAAAUACAAAUAAAAAGCUAAGAAAAUACAGAAGAAACGAAAAAAUAAACAAAAGGAAAAAAAUUAAAACAGAAGGGAAAGUUCAAAAGAAAACAAAAAGAACAAAGUUAAAGAGAACGAAUAAGAAAGAAAAAGAAGGGGAAAGUUCUUCAAUCAUUGCAGCGCAAGCACUCACAUCUCUCACUUUUCAAUUUCUCAUUGUCCAUUGCUCGCCCAAUCACUUUGGUAAUUAUUUCACUGUUGCUUUCUCUAUUUGCGCUAGAUUUCAUCUUUUUUUUUCCUUCAAUUAACUUAGGGUUAGGUUAUAGUUUCCAUCAUUGAUGAUGAGUCUGAAGGCUAAUUAUUUCUCUUAAGUUUGUAAUUGUUACCAUCUCUUGCAUAAUCGCUCACUCUAUGCUUCUAAUUUUGUUUUUAAUUUGUUUUUGCUGCUUCCGAUUUUGUUUUAGGCCAAAUGGUAGCUUCCUAUAAGUUCGGUGAAGCUAUUGCAUUUUUUUUUUAAUUUUUUAAUUUUUUAAUUUUUAUUUUGGAGCUCUUACUUGUGAUGCUAAUUAUUUAGAAUUCAUUGUUUGUUAUCUGAUUUGGAUUAAUUUUAAUGAUCUUUUUGCUGGAUUUCAUUAAUUUUUUUUUUCCAUUUUUAAUGUUAUGUGAUGCUAAGUAUGGACUCUAAAGGAUGUUGAUAUUUUUUAAUUUUGAGGAGUUGUAGGGAGAUGAAGUGAAAUAAACAUUUAGGGGGUCAUGUGUAUAUAGAAUUGUUUGAUAGAGCUAACAUGACUAAAAAAUGUAAGUUAAUGCUAUACUAAAGCGAUGGUUAACUUUGUACUUUGAAUUUUGCAGCAUGAAUUUAGUAUAUUGGUAUUUUCAUUUUAUGUGUACUAAAAACUAAAAAGGAAGAUAAAAAUAGAUGAGUUACCAGGGAGAUAAAAUUCAAUCUGCGGUGAACUAGUUGUAUUUCUUUUUCUCCUUUUUUUUUUUUUUUUGCCCCACUUUCUAUGCAUCCUCAUUUUAAAUAGUUAGUAUUGCUGGUAUUGGUUUUAUCAUAAUCAUAACUUGUGAGAUGAAUUUUGUGCUUAAUUUUUUUUUUUUGUUUUGUUGAAAGGGUGUAUAAAAUUUAAUAGUAAUAUCAAGAACAAGUUUCUUAAGCUUUGAACUGAAUAUAUAUUAAGCUUUUAAACUUUUCCUGGCUUGCUGCAAUGAUUUCUUUUCUAAGCUUUUCCUUCCUUGUUAAAGCACUUAUUCACAUGUUUCAGGUUUUGAUUGUUGUACUACUAUACGAAGUAGCUCUAUGCUUUGUAGGGGAUGCCUUCUUGAUGAUAUUCUGCAGGUUAGAAUCUGAUUCUCUAAAAAUUCUUAUACAUGUAGAGAACAGGAGCUUAAAGAUGUCGUAGAACUUCAUGUAAAAAUUCGUUUUUCAGAUUGGAUGUCAGAGCUGAGGAGGGGAAUUUUUAAGAAGUAUCCAACUGUUGGAGAGCAUUAUGCACAUGCUCCUGAGAAUGUGCCUCCAAGAAUAUUGAGACAAAUGGUUGACAAAUGGAUGGAUGAGGGGUGGAAGGUACCAAUAAUGACUAUUAGCAUUAUAUUUUUCUGUCCUUUUCUUUCCUAAGCUUUGCUGUUAUUUUAAUUCAUCAGUGAAUUAUAGUUGCUAGAAUCAUUAUAGAAAUAGGAACUGAUAAAUCUUAUCCAUGUGCUUUGUACAUGAGUUGUUCUUGGCGGGUUUAGAAUAACCAAGUUGAUUUUAUGUUUUUUUUUAACUUAUUUAUAGAAAACAAGCACAACAAACAAGAGGAACCGAACCAAGUCCAAACUUAUUCACACUAUAUAUUCCCAUAUUUUUUUUUUUUGGGCAUGAUUUCAUUACUAUAUGCACUCAGACAAAUGUAUGUAUUUAUUAUAGGAAACAAUGGAAUCAAUAUGAUCAACUGUUAUAGAUCAAGGCUUGUCAGUUGAUGAAUGGAAAAUAUUUCGAGAAGUAACAGGAGAACCAGCACAUGGUCGUGUUGUUGGUUGGAGAGCCGGCAUCAAAGGCAAGGAUGUGUAUGGUUCUCCAGGUCAAGGAGGUAACAAGCAUCAAUGUACUAAUUUGGAAGUGAAAGUAAAAGACUUAGAGAAGAAGUCAAGAAGUUGAAAAGACUGAUAAAGCUCGUUCUUGGAAAAUCCGCACAAGAAUCAUCUCAAAAGGUAUAGGUUGUUUAUUUCAUUUUAUUAAUAGAUUAAGUGAAUGAGUAUGUUCUAUGUUUUGAGUUCUCAUGGAAAAUGAUUGGUGACUUGUCAUUGCUCUGUUAGUUAAUGAACUGAAGUGAUUAUGGACAAGCUUAUAAUAUAGGUGGAUGAUUGAAUAAUUAUUAGAUUUUUUUUUUUUGAAACAGAGACUGCAUUUAUAUAGAGUUUUUUUUUAUUGCACAAUUUUUCUCAUUAGUCUCAGCCUCUUUAUUAUAUUUUUUACCAGUUUUUGUUUUGGUAAUAAUAGUGAUUAAAAUUUUUUCUUUUACCUAGGAUAUUGUUUUGACGGAAGAAGAUGACAGGUAUGAGGAUGAUGAAGUUGAGCCAAACGAUUUAGAAAUUGAAGAAGUUGGUUUAGAGGAUGAUUGAACACAUUCAAGAUAUGAUGAUAUCAUUUUGUAUAUACAUUUGGUAUUUUUUUGCAUAAAAGAUACUAUAAAAUUGAAUUUUUUGUUGUAUUCUUGAAUGAUGAAUGUGAUUUUAUGAAUUUUUAAAAUUAAUGAAGUUACCUUUAGUAAUUUCGAAUAUUAUUAUUACUUUUGUUACAUCACUUCUCUAAUAUAGAUAUUUCAACAAUAAAAAUAAAAAAAUGAAUGAAAUAUUAUUACUAAAUAAAAUAAAGGGGGCCAUUAAACAACAAAAUAAGUUUAUUUUCGACGGUAUAUCUUUUAUUUCCGAGGGCAAGUUGCAGAUGAAAAUAAAAAUAACCAGGUUUAUUUAUCUUUUUUCCGAGGGCAUUUAAUUCCAUUUCCGACGGCAAUGCGCUCGGAAAUAAUUUUUUUCUCCGACGACUCGUCGGAAAUUCGACAUUUCCGAUAAGACUUAAUACGGCGACGGUCGACGGCAUACCACGCUCGAAAAUGAGUUUUUCUAAGGGUCUUUGUGUAUUUCCGACUCCGAGGGUAUUUGCCCUUGGAAAUGACCCAUUUUCUUGUAGUGAAAGCACAGAUAAUUAAUCAAUGGGCCACUGAUUUCUUCUUUCAUAAAAGAGAACUUUUCCAGGGAGAUUGGAAUAAAAGGCUAAUUCUUGGUAAAGAUCAGAAAGUUCUCAAAUAAAAUUCGGCUCUGUGGAAAUUAAAUUAAAAGCAAUUAAGCAUUAUAAAUUACUUAACAGCUUAAUCGAGUUUGGUUUUGAAAAAUAUAUCUUUAAAUCCCUUGUAAUUAAAGAUAAUUAUCAUAUUACCGUCUCAAAUGGACCGAUUUCAAUCAAAUGAAAUCUAGAAAAUUGAGCAGCUCAUUGAUGUAUUUGGUCGAAUUGUGACUUGUGUCAGAGUCUUCGUUUUAGAAGAGUGCACAGCAGCUGCCAGGUCCACUUGGCAGUUGGCACGCCAAAAUUUUUCUGUUGACCAAUAAUUUUGAAAGGGAUAUUAUUAAUUUACUAUCAAAUAUUUUCGAACACAUCACUUUACUAUCAAAAUUUUUUGACAAUAAUUUUUUGUCACUUAAUAUUUCAAUUUUUAUCAUUUUAUCAUUAAAAAAAUAGUAAAUACAUGCUUAGUGUAAGUUAUCCAUAAAAAUGGUUGUUGAAUUGUCUUGUUUCUCAUUUGGUUUAAUUUUCAUAAAUUCGACUCACACAAUUCAAUUAUGAGUGAAGAGUUUUUUUGGGAAAAAUCUGGUCUUCCAUGUACUAGAAUCAGGUCUGUUUGAUUUUAUUAUUUUUCUUUUGUUUGAAAUAUACGUGAAAAAUGUUGAACACUUUGUAGGAUUUAGAAGAAUUUGAAAGUUUGAAUGCAUAUAGUUUACUAUCGAUCAGCUAGUGCAUAUUCUGUAUUUUAUGAAAUCAAAGCUGGUUGAUUGAGAAAUGGACCUUAUUACAUGUCAUAAGAUUUUACAGUGCUUUCUAAUGGAGCAAAAUAAAAUGAUUCUUACCUGCACAGAAAAUUAGAAACGAAAAGGAGGGUUACUGAUCCACAGAGUUGUUAUUUACGAGAAGCACAUAGAUAUUACACUUAAUUUAUUAUCCAUCUGUAUUGUUUGGAUGACACUGAAGUAUUACCUAAAUUAGCCUUUCAGAACUUCGUUUUCAAAAAUCUAUGGUUGUGAUGCGUCUCUAUAAACUCACUCGUAAAAAUUCUAUCUAAUGCCAAUUGUUUUAAACCCUGUUCUGAACAGAGCAUGAAAGGAUAUGUUCACUUAUCUAGUUGUGUUUUUUAUGCUUUCACUUCACUUGAUUCACCUUGUCCCUCUUUUAAAACAGCUGUAUAUGCUGGAGUGCCAAAUCCAUCACAAGGAUCAUAUUAUAUCCUACGGAAGGAGCACAGUUCAUUGGCUGCACUCAGUUUACAGAGUAUUUCGGGAUUCAAGACUGUAGGUUGUUGCGGAUGCAACUUGCAAGGCUGUUGCUGUGUGACUGUAUGCCACGCUGGCAAGUGUGCUCUGACAGAUUGUGGAGAUGGCACCAAAGAUUGUAAACUAAUUAGUACUGAAAAAUCAUAUUUGCACAUAAAUUGCACAAAAUAAAUAGAUUGAGAAAAGUUGUACAAAGAAAUAAGAUUAAUAAAGUAAAUAAAUUUAUCUUUUAACAAAAUAUUUCUAGUCUUUUGGCGUUUUUGUGUAUUUUUGUGUAAGUGCAAAUAGCAUUCUAAUAAGUAGCUCGUUUGAGCCUAGGACCUGUAAUUAUGUUUUACCUUUCUGUUACUUUCUCUUAAAUAUUAUCUCAGUUCUUUUCUUCUUUUCUUUCACUUUCUCUUCCAUUUUCCUGACUCCCAAACACCACCAAUCCUUGAUUUUCUAGAGUAUCAGCUAUCUAUUUCUACAAACACAAAACUGCUAUUUACUUUCAAGAAAUAACAUAUUCUGUGGUUUAUUGGCUUAUGCCUCGUGAACGGGGCUAAUGUUGGUCUAACUACUCCCGUGAAACAACGUACUCUGUGGCUUAUUGUCUCCUCUUCCAUUGACUCUGCCAAUUCACGACUUUGACACGCACACUAGAUGCUAACUGCCUUCUCCAUUCGACGUGCAAAAACUUUCUUGAGUCGGGUUAAAAUUAAUUGAUCAUUUUAUUUGGUGAUAAUGACUUAGUUGUCAAGUCAUGAGUUUGAUGAUGAAGAGGACGAAAAAUAUUAUUUUAUUAUUUAAAAUAAGACUAUCAAUUAUUUCGAUGGUCAUCUUAUUUUCUAAAAUAACUUAAUGGAAUCUUACAGAAUAGAGUGCUUGACUUCUUCAUACAGUGCUUGACUUCUUUUUACAGAAUUAUAAAGUGAAAAAGGAAAUUAAGAAAUUAAAUACUUUUCAUGCGAGUGGAGAACAUUGGGUAGCGAUUACAUUAAAUAAAAGAAAAUUAAUUUAAAAGUACAACAUUUUAAUAAUCUCAUUCCCAAUCAUAUCGGUACAAAAAUUCUGCAGAUUUAUUGAAUAACUAUUGAUUUUACUUUGGUAAUUUCUUUCUAAAAGUGAGGUAAACAUUUUUAUUUUCUUUGCAUUCGAGCUUUCUUUCUUUUGCGCUGGCCUUCACUUUUGACCGUAUUUCAUGGGGCACAUUCAAUCUCAAUCUUCUGCAAGUUUGUGGCAGUUUUGUUAAUUACGAACAUUUGUAGGAUUUUAUGUAGAUGAUACAUUUUUCUUUUCUUUUUUUCUUCGGUGAACAAAUUAAAAAUUUAGUUUUUGUCAUCAUGACUAGUGAAAUGAAAAUAGUCCUCAUUGCAAGGAUUGACAAAAACGUUGUACUCAUACCGAUUAAUGGGGAACUAAUUUCGUCCUCUUCAAAAAGAAUUAUUUGCAGCGUGGUAAUUCGGACCUAAGUGAUAAGAAUUUCCAAAUGAGAUAUAAUUUGGAGGGAAACAAAAAACUAAUUCAAGUUAAAGACCAGGAAUUUGUGUUCCUCACAAAAACAAUAAUUCAAGCCUCGCAAUAAUUUUUUUGAUUUAUUUAAAAAAAAAAUUGUUUUCCUCACAAAACAUUUCAACGUCUAUUCUCUCGUACAGGGGAAUAUCCUUCACUCUUUGGCGUAUCCCUGGGGCAAUGUAAGUUGACUUUACAUUAAAACAAAAUAUAAUUACAAUCACAUAAUUACAAUUAUCAUCACUGAUUUGUAUAAUUUUCAGGACUAGUAAAUUAUCCCAAUUUUUAAAAAACAUAAUUACAAUUAUCGAUCGAACACCACUAAUUCCAACAAUUCAUCCAAGUUUUUCAACUUUUUAGAUAUUUGAUAUAUGUCAUGUUUUAACUUGGUACGAGAAAAAAAUUAUAGAAUAUUUUUUUUUCAAAUUAGUGGAAUUAUUUUACGAUAAAACUAUCACAAUCACAUUUAAAAACAUUCUUUAAAUUUUCACUAUUUCUACUGUUAUUCUUUAAACUUUUUUCUGAACAGAGCAUGGAGGGUCGCUUAUCUAAAUAUGUUUUCUGUGCUUUCACUUCACUUGAUUCAUCUUGUCCCUCUUUUAUAGCUUCUAUCUCGUGUGAGCUUAGAACCUGCAACUCGUAUUUUACGUUUCUGUUACUUUCUCUUUCAUUUUCCCGACUCCCAAACACCAUCAGUCCUUGAUGUUAUAGAGUAUUAGCUGUCUAUUUGUACAGACAUAGAGCUACUGUUCCCACUGUAGAUCUUCAGAUGGUUAGCUCACUAUUGUUUGAAUAUUAAAAUUAAUUUGUUAAAUAAAUAAAGAAAACAAGAGACAAUUGCCAUAUAUAUUCCAUAUUAAUUAGUCACCGUCCGAUUGUCUCUACUUCCAUUGACUCUGUUGAUUCAUGCUUUCAUGAAGUGAAACGCUUAACACUCUGUUCUGAUCCGCAGGAGAGGAGGAAAAACAUAAUUUUAUUAUUUCAUUCCUGACACACGCAAAGAGCUUUCUUAAUUGAUGAAUGUGACAUGAAGCUCUAUAAAUAGUUUAAUUUGUAAAAUUGUUAAAAUUUGUUAAAUUUCAUUUAAUUGAUGAAUGUGACAUGAAGCUCUAUAAAUAGUUUAAUUUGUAAAAUUGUUAAAAAUUUAAAUUUCAAGGUAGAUAAAAUGAUUAACUUUUUUCAAUAUUUAGAUAAUUAACAUGUGCCAUGUAACUAUGAAUGAAUGAAUGAAAUUUUUGAAGUGCGAAUCCAUUUACAAGUUACGACUUGUCUUAUUUCUCAUUUUACUUAAUUUUCAUAAAUUUGACUCACGAUCAAUUAUGAGUGAAGAGUUUGUUGGAAAAAUAUGGUAUUCCAUUUAUUGUAAUCAGAUGAGUGUGAUUUAAUUAUUUUUUCCUUUUGCUUGAUGUCCCGAAAAUUAUGAAUACUUUGUAGGAUGCAGAAGAUUAAAAAUUUUAACGCAUAUCUAUAGUCAAAACUGAGGAAACAGAACAUUAUUGCUUCUAUAAAUAGGUCAUUUCAACUUAAAACUUGUUACUUGUAUUUUACAUUUUUGUUUUUUAACUUUUUCUUCCAUUUUCCCAAACACCACCAAUCCUUGAUUCUUUUCUUAGAGUAUUAGCUGUCGAUUGUUAUAAACGUAGACAUACUGUUUGUCUAAUUACUAUCAAGAAACAACAUACUCUAUCCUGGGGUCUCUUCGUUUAUUUAAUAUUUAGGUUUAUUAAUAUACUAUAUUAUUAAUUAAAUUAAUUAAUAUUAAUUAAUAAUUUAAAUUAAUUAAAUAAUAAAAGUUAAAUGAUUAUAUUGAAAAUCCAAGUAGUAUUUUAAUGUAAUGAAACCUAAAUCCCACCUCUAUACCACAUUUGUUACACAAUGUAAUUAUAUAAAAAUAAUAUUUUAAUACAAUAUAAUACAAGUAUAAGGCUGUGUAAGGCUGUAAUAUUAAUUAGCCUGUGUAAUAGUAUCCCAUGCUGGCAAGUGUGCUAUAACAGAUUGUCGAGCUGGCACCAAUUAUUUUAAACUAAUAUUAGUAAUUAGUUUAGAGUGUUUCGAUUUAUUCUAUAAAUAGAUCAUUUAAGCUUUGAACCUGUGAACUUGUAACGUGUACUGUACUUUUCUAUUACUUCUAAUAAAGAUUUUCUCUAUUCCUUUUUCUUUCACUUUCUCCUCUGUUUUCCCGACCCUCAAACACCGUCAAUCCUUGAUUUGAACUACUGUUUGUUUGUCUAAUUACUUUCAAGAACAAUACCCUCCAUCCCGCGGUCUCCUCGUUUAUUGACUUGUUACUUAUGAACAGGGCUAAAUAAAGGGCAAAUAAGAUGUUGGGCCAAUGGACCCAACGUCACAGAUCUUGAAUUGAUUGCCUCUUCUUUUCUCUACAAAUCUUUGCUUAAUUUUUAUGUUUCCUCAACUUUUUCCCCCCUUUUGUGCUAAAAUUAUUUUUCUGAUACUUUAUGCAAAAAAUAUGAUAAAAAUGAAUUAGUUUAGAAUAUCAAUAAAUUUUUAUUACAUUCAAGAUAAGGACAACUACUCUUAGAUCACUUUUAUUUAGUUGAAUUAUAGGUAAUAAAAUUGGUUUUAACAAAAUAUGAUUCUUAACCCUUGUAAUUAAAGACUGGUGUUAUUUAGUUUAGUUGUAACACCAUGCAACAGGUCAUCUUGGUGGGUUCAAAUUAAUAUACGAUCAUUCUCAAUAUUUAAUAGUUCGUAAUUAAAAAUUCCAAUAUCACAAUUAGAAUUUACAAACAUGUCAAAGUCAGUUAAAUCAAACCUAUAAAUUUAAGGUUUACUACAAGCUUCUAACAAAUUAAAAUUUAAAACGAUUAAUUAAAUGCUAGACAAUAUUUAGCUUAUAAAUGUUCCCGACCACAUGAUGAAUGUACUUAAAACAUCCUAAUUGGUCGCUAAUUGAUUGGUUGUUAUUUUUUCAAUUUCUUUUUAUAUAUCUUUGAAGCUUCUAGUUUCAUAACAUGUUAUUUGCAAUUCGUGUAAAUUAUUAUUUUUUAAAUAUUAGAGCAACAACCAGUAUAAAAAUAAAAUGCACUCAUUUAAUGGAAAUUUUUCUAGAUGCUUCAAUGGCAGAAUCUCAUUGGUCUAUAACUCUCAAUAAAUUUUUCUAGAUGAUUCAAGAUUCAAUUUCAAACCAAUGCCGAACAAACAGUAUAAACCUUAAUAAGAUAGUUGAAUAACCAUCUCUUACGUCGGGUGACCGAAUAACCAUCGCUUACGUCGGAAUUUAAACUUAAACAAAGCUACAUCCCACGUGUUCCCCACUUUCUUCAUAUUUCCAAAAAACCCCUACCAGAUCCAGAUAAUCACCUUAACUUUUCUCGUAUAAAUAGAGAAGACGACGACGAUUCCUGCAAAGCCAGGUGAGUCACGUGAACGUUACGGCCAUGGGACAUUGGAAUUGGAUCAAACCACUGGAAUGCACAGCAAAAUUAACCCGAAUAAACUAGGUUGAGUUAAGAAUUACUUUUCUUUUCAUAAUAAAUUAGAUUGAGUCAAUAAUAUUUGCCUGUGUGAAAUGAAUAAUCAGUUUAGUGUCACCCCAUUAUUAAUUUGUGACUCUCCGAUUGUCUCCUUUUUCAUUGACUUUGCAACUGUGACUUCUGAACCGGGUUAAGAGUUGACAAAAAUGUUAAUGUUAAUAUGUUAUAAUUCAUAAAACACGCAUAAUUAAUUAAUGGCCCACCAAUUUCUUCUUCUCAAAAGAGAAUUUUUGCAGGAGAUUGAAAAAAGGCUAAUUCAUGUUAAAUAUCUUAGAUGAGUGUCUAUCACGGAUACAAGUCAAGCCACACGAUUUUUCUUGUUAUACUAUUUGUUGGCACUUGUGAAUCCUUGAAUUAUCAAAUGAAUAGCAACAACACUUCAAUAUCUAUUGUUACACGGAGAGAAAUCCGUUCUCUCUUUGAUGUACUACUUGGCAAUAUACAUUGAUCUUUCAUUAAAACAAGCAUUCUCAUAUUGUUGAGAAAAACUCACGUUAAACUAUUCAAUUUAAUCAUUUAUUAAACGGAUAUUUGGUUUGAUUCAUUUUAUUCAUUUAGUAGAAUUAAUAAACGAAUCGAAUCGAAUCCAGAUUCAUUUAUUCUAUUACAAAUCUACAACGAAUUGAAUCGAAUCGAAUCAGAAUUCAUUUACAGUUCGUUUAGAAAAAUAUAAUUGAUAAACAAAAUUAAGCAAAAUAAAAUAUAAAAAAAGCCGCAAAUUUAAUACCACUUCCUACACCAUAUUCCUAAUUAGCUAGGGAUAGUCUACCAUGCAAUGGCUGCUGUCUUAAUUAAAUAAGAUAUGUGCUUUUAUACGCCCUCUCAAAGAAUAUCGAUCUCCUCAAGACUUUACAUAUUUGUUUUUGAAUAUAAACACUUGUUCACUUCUACAUAUUUUUUUUUAGCUACAUCCAUAGAAUUGCUCUAGCCUCUACGUUGGACAUAGCUGCUGUCUUAAUUAAAUAAAAUAUGUACUUUCAUACGCCCUCUCAAAGAAUAUCUAUCUCGUGGAGGCUUUACAAGCUUCGGUGGGAUCUUUAGAAAACGUCUCGACGACUCAAAAGACUACACUCCCACUUUCAAAAGUGGCACGAUUUGAACUUAUCCUGCCAACCUUCUAGAAGAGUAGUGAUAAACUUCAAGAUCAUUCUUUUAAUUUUCUCCCUUUUAACAUUUUGGUUUCAGGUAAGGACCAAUCACUUGGACACUUCAAUUUUACUUUUGGACCUUUCUUAUAAUGACAACACCCUCCAUCCCUCGGUCUCUUCGUUUAUUGACUUAUUACUUGUGAACAGGACUAAAUAAAGGGCAAAUAAGAUGUUGGGCCAAUGGACCCAACGUCACAUAUCUUGAAUUGAUUGCCUCUUUUUUUCUCCAUAAAUCUUUACUUAAUUUUUAUGUUUCCUCAACUUCCCCCCCCCCCCCCCCCCCCUUUUGAUGAAUUAUUUUUCUGAUACUUUAUACAAAAAAUAUGAUGAAAAUGAAUUAGUUUAGAAUAUCAAUAAAUUUUUAUUACAUUCAAGAUAAGGAGAAAUUUGUAUAAAAGUCGUGAGAAUAGAACUUUUGGUAAAACAAAAGUCGCGGGCUUAUUUAGAAAAAAGAAAAAAUUACAUUCUAUUUUCCAAUUACUAUGGUCAGCCUUAACACAUGCCGGUCUUUUUCUCCUCUACUUUCUAGAAAUUUUGGUUUCACUAUAAAAACUCGGUAUAUAACAAACUUAUGAGUGUUCUUGCAUUACCAAUCCAACUAAGCACACGCUUACAAUCUAAAAUACUCUCAUCUCAUGGAAAGAGUUCAUUCUCUCAGGAUGAUGAGCAUAUUUCUCCUACUCCAUUGUUUGAUUAUUAUUUCCUUAUUUAUCGCAGCAACAACAGCCAACACAAGUUCUAAUAUCACAGACCGAGAUGCUCUGUUAGCCCUGAAAGCUCACAUAACUCAUGAUCCGACCAAUUUCUUGGCCAAGAAUUGGAACACAAGUACUCCUGUCUGUAAUUGGACAGGCGUCGCUUGUGACAUCCAUAGCCAUAGAGUCACAGUCUUGAAUAUUUCAAGCUUAAAUCUCAGAGGCACCAUCCCAUCUCAACUUGGGAAUCUUUCUUCUCUGCAAUCACUCAAUCUCAGUUGUAACCGACUUUCUGGUUCCAUUCCCUCCGCCAUCUUCACCAUAUACACACUGAAAAAUGUUAGUCUCGGUAAAAAUCAGCUCUCUGGGCAAAUUCCUACAAAUAUUUGUAGUAAUCUUCCUUUUCUUGAAUUUCUUUCUUUGUCCCUAAACAUGUUCCAUGGCGGAAUACCGUCCACUCUAUCAAAUUGCACAUAUUUAAGAAUCUUAAGUUUGGCAUACAAUGAUUUCUCGGGAGCCGUACCUAGAGAAAUCGGUAACUUGACCAAACUUAAGGUAUUAUAUAUUGGCGCGAAUAGACUCCAAGGUGCGUAUGGUCAUGGAGUUUAAUUAUAAACAUUGUUCCAUGAGUUGUAAUAUGAAUAAUGUUCCAUAAUACACUUCUGAGCCCGAAAUCCUUUCCUUUCCUCCUUGACUCUCCUAUCGUCGAGCUAAGUGACUCUGUCAUGCCGCUUCAAGUAAUACAAACGUUGAUUAAUUUGCAGGAGAAAUUCCUCGAGAGUUUGGCAAUCUUACCGAAUUGGAGCAGUUUUCGUUACCAACAAACAAUCUCCAAGGUAUGAUUUUAAACUUUUUGCAAUUUUAUUCUAGCUCUGCUUGCUUCUGUAUUCAUUCGUUUGUUCAUUAAUUAUGCUAUGAUUUAUUGUUUUUCUUUCAAAUAGAGAUAAAGCUCCAUGUCUCCCCUCACUCAUUUCGUUCUUUGAUUUAUGCAGAUAAAAAUAAAAAAAAAUGUUUUGUAAUUUUCUUUUGUCAUAUUGCCACUUCCCUUUUAAAGCUCCCAAUUAAGUCGAUGAAAAUGAAUGAUGCUUCAUUCGUAUUCUUGUCAGCCUAAUUCUUAUAUAAUUGAAGAGUAAAUUGUUAUUAUGAUAUUCGUCAGCCAAUAAAUUCUUUUUUUUUUCUCAAAAUAUGAGUGAUCAAAUUGUUUGCGCAUAUAUAAUUUUACUUAAUUUGCAGGAGGUAUUCCACAGGAAUUGGGGAAUCUUGCAAAAUUGGAGAUUUUACAGCUGUUCCAGAAUAACUUGACCGGUAACCAUCUUUACUAUAUAUAUAUGAGACAUCUUCCGCUUCUUAAUUAAAAGAUUUCAAGUCUCUCAUUAUAAAUUCUCAUAUGAGGAUAUGUCAUUACUACAAUCUAACAUUAUUCCCUUUUUUAUUAGAAAUUAGUUUGUGUUAAUUCAAAAUUUUGUAACAUUUAAAAAAAAUUAAAAACACGUGGAAUAAAUCAUCAAUCUUUCUUCUUUAUUGAAUUUGGAUUUCUCAAAAAUUUUCUUGACAAGUAUACUUCACUAAUGAUAUGCAUGUGUGACAACUUCAUAAAAUAUUUUACAUGGAGUCACCAAUUAUCUUUAAAUAAUUGGAGAUGCCAUCAGUGAUACAUAAUUUCUUAACAAGCACCAUAUCAAAAGAAAUCAACAAUUUUAUUAAUCUUCAAGAGUUGCAUCUUCACUGCAAUUAUGACAUAAAUUUUUAGUCAUCAAUCGCAUAAUAUUUUAUCUUAACGGAUGAUGUUCAGUCUUGGAAUUUAUAAUACCUUGAAGGUUAGUAGCUUUGAAAAUAAGAACUGUUCAUUUGCUAAAAAGUUAACUUAGUAUUUAAGUUUUUCAAUUGAAAAUUUUGAAAAAAGUCUUGAGAACUGCCCUCCUUAGUAUUUCAGCUGAUAAAUAUGAAAAAUAGGCUAGAAGAAAUAUUGUUGUGUGUGCUUAUUCUACUUGGGCUUUGGGCUUGAUUACAAGGUCGAGCCUUGAUUACAAGGUCGAGCACUUACACCUGUCAUAAUAAUAGGCUUUUACUGUCACCACACGUUUAAUAAUUUCUUAACCUUCCGAAUUAAGUUAUAGCAAUUUAUAUAUAAAUAACUAUAGCAUACUAAUGCUAGCACAAAGUACUCAUGACUUAGGCUUGUUGUGUUACCUAUUACACACGGUCGAACACUUACAUCUAUUAGAAUAACAAUAGCAUCCGCGGAUCGACUAUCAGUGAUCAAAUUGUUUGCACAUAUGUAAUUUGCAGGACCAAUUCCACGGGAGUUGGGAAAUAUUACAGGAUUGGGGAUCUUAGCGCUGUCUGAUAAUUUUUUAACCGGUAUCAUUCCUUCAUCUAUCUACGAAUUGCUUUUCUCUAUUAAAUUUGGAACUGUCAUUUAAUAACUUAACAGGUAACUUCCCUUACAAAAUGUCUGUGUGACAUGUUUUGCUUCUAAAUUAAAAUAUUUCGCGUCUCUCAUUAUAAAUUCUCAUAGGCGGAUGUAUUGUUACUACUAUUUAACAUUAUCUCAUUUUUUUAUUAGAAAUUAAUCUGUGUUUAUGCAAAAAAAUUUAGCAUCUAAAAAAAGUAUAAAAACACGUGGAAUAAAUCGAAAAUCUUUCUUCAUUACUGAAUUCGGAUUUCUCAAAAAUUAUCAUGAGAACUUCAUAAAAUAUUUUACAUGGAAUCAGUAAUUAUCUUUAAAUAGUUGGAGAUGCCAUCACUAAUAAAUAGUUUCUUAAAAAGCAUCAUACUAAAAGAAUUCAAUAAUUUUAAUAAUCUUAAAGGGUUACAUCUUCACUGCAAUUAUGACAUAAUUUUUUAUCUAAAUAUAUUUUUAGUCAUCAAUCGCAUAAUAUUUUAUCUUGACGGAUGAUGUUCAAUCUUGGAAUUUAAAAUAUCUUGAAGGUUAGUAGCUAUGAAAAUUAGAAAAUUUUUAUUUGCUAAAAAAUUAACUUAGUAUUUAAGCUUUUCAAUUGGAAAAUUUGAAAUAAAUGUUGAGAACUGGCCCUCCUUAGUAUUUCAGCGGAUAAAUAUGGAAAAUAGGAUAGAAAAAAUUAUUUUACUGAAAUAAUAGUUAAAAAUAGAGGAGAAGUACAGUACUCAUGACUUAGGCUUGCUGUGUACUUUUUUUUACUUGGGGUUCGGGCUUGAUUACACACGGUCGAAUACUUACACAACUCCCCCACAUAGGGUUUUACUUUCAUCCCACAUUUGAUAAUUUCUUAACCUUCCCAAUUAGAUUAUAGCAAUUUAUAAAUAAAUAAAUAACUAAAGCAUACUAAAGCUAGCAUUGAUGGAUGGAUGAGUGGUGUCAAAAGUGUAUCUGUUUUUAUGUAUUAUUGUUCCCUGAUACAAAUCUAAAUAAUGGAAAAUAUAAAUUUAAUACUUUAUUUAAUACUCUGUUAACAUUUUAUCUAUAUAUAAUAAUUAAACUGAAACUCGUACUUAAAAAAAUUUUGGUUACGCAUAUUCAUUUCAUGAUAAAAAAAUGUCUAUUUACACUAAUUUACCAUUAUCAAUAAAAUGCUUUGAGACAAAUAAUCUAAUUUAUAUUAGUAUAUUUAAAAUACUUGCAUUUAUUAUAUUUUUGAAAAAAAAUUAUUUGCAAUUAUUUUAAACCUUUGAAUUCAAAUUUUCUUAGUUAUUAAAGUCAAAGGGUAUAAAUGUAUAAUAGUCAAAAAACAGAUUUGUAUGAUCAUUUUUCAAUGUAUAAAUUUUCUUAGUUAGUAGGAAAUUAAAAAUUGUUGAUUUACUCAUAAAUAAAUUUAGUGUUUAGCAUUUCAAUUUUGGAAAACUUGAACUAAAUGUUGAUAACUUCGAAUCCAUCGAGCCAAGUUUCGCUUCCUUGACACACAGACCCAUUCGAAUUGAGUUUCCAAGUGCUUAGAAAAAGCAUUUUCUUUUCCAUGUCACUAUAAUUUAUUCACAAAAGAGUUGAUUAGCAUCGAUGUUGCUGCAGAGUCUGAGACCAUGUUAGUAGGAGAAAUUUGAAAAGAAAUUAUUUUACUAAAUUAACUUAUUUUAUCUUGCUGUAACUGAAAUACUACCUUUUUUUUUUUUUUUUGUUAUCACUGGGGCUUGAUUUACUUUAAUAAUAGCAGCCACAAGCUUAGGCUUUUUUUACUUUUCACCACACAAUUUGAUCUUUUAAUUCAUUUUAACCACAUAAUCUAUCUAUCUCACACCUAUUGCUUACUUAAAUCGCAUACAUAUUUUACCUUACUAAUUUUUACAAACAUUAGUGAAAUAUAUUUUAUUACAUUUCGCUUGUAACUGCUCUAGUUGUGCACUAUUAAUACUUAACCCUCCCUUUUAAUUUACCGUGCAAUCUAUCAACCACUUAAAUUACAUAUAUAUUUUAUCUAUAUAUUUUUCCCGAAAAAAAAUAUAAAAAUAACAGAAAAAGAAUAUGUGUAGCAAUUUGUAUGGAACUAACAAAGCAUUGACGGUGUGUAGCCUUUCAAUACUUCAUGAGUGGCUUUUCUUGUGUGUUAGUACUAGUAAUAAUUGUGUAGUGUAUAAAUGACCUUUUAUUAUUAAAGCGCGUCCGUUGUUAGAUAUUAUUUAUUAUUUGAAAAAUAAUCUGAAUAUAAUUCUUUUCAAAAUACAGGGGAGAUACCAACUGAAAUCAGUAAUCUCCGUAAUCUGGAGGAGUUGGACCUUGCUCGAAACAAAUUAGUUGGUAUUGUCCCAGCUGCAAUCUUCAAUGUGUCAACACUCCAGCAUCUUGGUCUUCAAGAUAAUUCUCUCUUGGGAUGUCUUUCGUCCAUCGGAGACGUCCGACUUCCAAAUCUUGAAGGGCUUUAUUUGUCGGGUAAUAAUUUCAGUGGCACAAUUCCUAGAUUCAUCUUUAAUGCUUCUAAGCUCUUUAAGCUAUCGUUGCAAAGGAACUCACUCUUUGGUUUUAUUCCCAACACAUUUGGCAACUUAAGAAACCUUAAGUGGCUGUCUUUAUAUGAUAAUUAUUUGACAUCUUCAACUCCAGAAUUGAGCUUUCUAUCCUCGUUGUCAAAUUCCAAGUCUUUAACAUUUAUUGACUUAUCAAAUAAUCCACUAGAUAGCGUUCUUCCAAAGACAUUUGUCGGUAAUGUUUCUCAUUCUUUGGAAUUCUUUGUCAUGUCGUAUUGUAACAUUAGUGGCGUCAUCCCUGAAGAGAUCACCAACUUGACCAAAUUGACAACCAUUAUUUUAGGAGGCAAUAAAUUGAAUGGAUCAAUUCCAAUUACUCUCAGCAAGUUACAAAAGCUUCAAUAUUUGGGUCUUGACGAUAACAAAUUAGAAGGAUCAAUCCCAGACAGUAUUUGUCGUUUAGCUGAACUGUAUGAUUUGGAGUUGGGUGGUAAUAAGCUAUCUGGAUCAAUCCCUGCAUGCUUCAGUAAUCUGGCUUCUCUGAGGACACUGUCGUUGGAUUCCAAUGAGUUAACUUAUAUUCCCUUAACUUUUUGGAACCUUAAGGAUAUCUUGUACCUCAACUUUUCAUCAAAUUUUUUGAUUGGUCCACUCCCAUUAGAGGUUGGAAAUUUGAAGGUUUUAGUUGGAAUUGAUUUUUCGAUGAAUAAUUUUUCAGGCGUUAUCCCAACAGAAAUUGGAGGCCUACAAAAUCUAGAAUAUCUCUUCUUAGGAUAUAACAGAUUGCAAGGAUCGAUUCCUGAUUCAUUCGGUGAUUUGAUAAGCUUGAAAUCAUUGAAUUUGUCUAAUAAUAAUCUCUCUGGGGCUAUUCCUGCAUCUUUUAGAGAAACUCUUAUAUCUUGAAGAUCUAAAUCUUUCUUUCAACAAACUAGAAGGAGAAAUUCCUAGGGGAGGGUCUUUUGGAAACUUCUCAGCUGAAUCAUUUGAGGGAAAUGAAUUAUUAUGUGGUUCACCCAAUUUACAAGUCCCGCCAUGUAAAACUAGCAUCCACCCCACAUCAUCAAAAAAAUUCUCUUCUCCUGGGGAUCGUCUUGCCAUUGAGUACUACAUUUAUGAUAGUAGUCAUUUUGUUGAUCCUAAGAUAUCGACAGAGAGGAAAACGACCAUCGAAUGAUGCUAAUAUACCACUAGUAGCAACAUGGAGAAUGUUUUCAUACCUAGAACUCUGUCGAGCAACAGACGAAUUCAGUGAAAAUAAUCUAAUUGGCAAAGGUGGUUUUGGCUCUGUUUACAAAGCAAGACUUGGGGACGGGAUGGAGGUUGCAGUGAAGGUUUUCAAUUUGCAAUGUGGAAGAGCAUUUAAGAGUUUCGAUAUUGAAUGUGAAAUGAUGAAAAGUAUUCGCCAUCGAAACCUUAUCAAAGUUAUUAGCAGUUGUUCAAAUGAAGAGUUUAAAGCGUUGGUAUUAGAAUACAUGCCUCAUGGAAGUUUGGAGAAGUAUUUGUAUUCAAGUAACUGCAUUUUGGAUAUUUUUCAAAGAUUGAACAUAAUGAUAGAUGUUGCAUCAGCUUUGGAAUAUCUGCACUUUGGUCAUUCAGCUCCAAUAAUUCACUGUGACUUAAAGCCCAGCAAUGUAUUGUUAGACGAUAAUAUGGUUGCUCAUUUGAGUGAUUUUAGCAUCGCAAAAUUGCUAACAGGAGAAGAUCAAUCUAUGACUCAUACACAAACACUUGCAACAAUAGGCUAUAUGGCACCAGGUUUGUUUAAUAUAAGUUAUUUAUAUUUCAUGAUCUUGAUUAGAUGAGGAAUUAUUAUUAAUGAUAUAUCUUACUAUGUAAUUGUUGCAAUUCAUAGAGUAUGGAAGAGAAGGACGAGUAUCCGCAAAUGGAGAUGUUUAUAGCUUUGGGAUUAUGUUAAUGGAAACAUUUACUGGGAAGAAACCCACAGAUGAAAUGUUUAAUGGAGAAAUGACAUUAAAGCAUUGGGUUAAUGAUUGGCUACCCAUUUCCACUAUGGAAGUUGUUGAUGCUAAUUUGCUAAGUCAGGAGGAUACAUUUUGUUGCAAAAGAGCAAUGUGUGUCAUUUGUCUUCAAUUUAGCUAUGAAGUGCACUGUGGAAUCCCCUGAGCAAAGAAUCAAUGCAAAAGAAAUUGUAGCAAAACUCUUAAAAUUAGAGACUCAUUACUUAGAAAUGUUGGAGGCAGAUGUAUAAGACAAUCAAAUUUAAAUUGAUUCUGCCCCUCCUUCAUUGCUUGCUAUCCUUUUCAGAGACUUGAACAGUUAUCCUCCAUAGAAGUUUUGCUGAUAUGUUUUGUUAUUGCUCUUGCUCAUGUUUAUUUCUCUCUUUCUUUAAUUUGCAUGCGUGCAUUUUAGUUCUCUUCCAUGUUUGUGUUGGUUUAUAUGUAGUUUGUUUUUGGGAUAUGGUUUAUUAUGUCCUCACCCUAAUUAGAUGUAUCCUUUUGAUUUUUAUCAAUAAAGCUUCGCUAGUACUAUCGAGGUUAAUCGAAAGAAAAUUUUCAAUUGAUUUUCUUUUCUUUGACUAUAAUGGAAAUUCUAAUCUUUAUAGUGAAUAACUUCAAUAAUAGAGUGUAAGAGUAUUAGUAGUUGUGGUUGUUUUCUGAACUUGGAGUUAGAGUAGUUUAACAGCAACAAAUAGGUCUCUUGUAUUAUAGGCAAAAUUCUUUUCAUUAAUCUUAUUUGUCUACAUUUUCUCCUAUUUUCUUCUUUAAUCUUCGCUCAAGGUUUCAUGCUUCCAUUUUGACAUGUGAGAUUGUUUGUCAUCCAUUUGCUAAAAUGGAUAUGAGAGGAGCUUUCAAUCAUUACCUCCACCAAAAUCCUUACAAUGCAACUUUUAAAUUUAUUUUUUAAAAUACGUUCAGUUAAUUUAUAAAAAAUAAAUCCAUUUGUUAAAAUUAAUCUUUUUCUCAUAAAUUGCAACCUAAAAAAUAUAUUUCUUUUAAGUUUUAUUUUAAAAUACAUACAAGUUCUAAACUAUUAAUUAUUUUUUCUUAUUAUAUAGUUUAUAUUUCCAUAACUCUAAACUCCUAUAAUUUUAAAAAAUAUAUUUUUAAUUUAAAAUAUGAAUAAAAUAUAGAAUGGAGUGGGUAUACAAGUUUUGUAAAAGAAUAAUUCAUUUAAGUAUUUAGCUGAAUUUUAAUUUAAAUAAGAAAUAAUUAAUUUAUUUUUUAUUAGUUAAGUAAUUUUUAAUUGAAAANNNNNNNNNNNNNNNNNNNNNNNNNNNNNNNNNNNNNNNNNNNNNNNNNNNNNNNNNNNNNNNNNNNNNNNNNNNNNNNNNNNNNNNNNNNNNNNNNNNNNNNNNNNNNNNNNNNNNNNNNNNNNNNNNNNNNNNNNNNNNNNNNNNNNNNNNNNNNNNNNNNNNNNNNNNNNNNNNNNNNNNNNNNNNNNNNNNNNNNNNNNNNNNNNNNNNNNNNNNNNNNNNNNNNNNNNNNNNNNNNNNNNNNNNNNNNNNNNNNNNNNNNNNNNNNNNNNNNNNNNNNNNNNNNNNNNNNNNNNNGAAAACUUGAAUAGAAAUACUCCAAUGUAAUUUUACACAUGCAAAUUAUGAACCAGUGAUCUUUAGAGCAUCAUAAAAUUAUUUUAACACAAUUAGUUAGUUUGAAAAAUUGCCAAUAAUGUUUAAAGUGGGAUUGAAAAGAUUAUACUAAAAAUAUAAGACAUGAUAUCAUUUAAGAGCUUACAGAUUAUGAGAAAUAUAUUGAUCUUACAAAUAAUAUAAAAUAUGUCAAUUAGACUGAGUCUAUGCAAUAAAAGUUUCAAAUUAAAAAAUAAACCUUUAUUUUCUUUUAAUCAUUAAUGUGAUCUUAAUUAUUAAAGUCAUUCAAUGUCCAUUACUUAUUUAUUUUUUUAAUUAUUUAAAUGACAUUGAAAACUCUACUCAAUAUUAAUUCAUUCUAGUGUUUUGUUUUAAAGUAAUCGGAAACUACAAAUGAAACAAAUGCUUGAAAUCACAAAUGGCCUAAAAUUAGAUUUUUAUUUCUUAAUGUUGUAGUGACUUUGAUCUUGAUAUUGAAAAUUUAUUUGUAACUUAUAUAAAGGCCUCGAUUUUAUCAUAAUUGAUUAGUAAGGCUAUGUACGGGAGCAUGGAUAAAUUUUGAGAUUGGAUUAUAUUUUUGGAACUAAAAAAUUAAUUUCAUCCAAUGUUAUGUAUAGCUGUUGGGACUAGCAAAUUAGUCUAAAAUUAUUGAAAUUAUUAGUCUUUUAAAUUAUAAUUUUUUCGUUCCCACUUUAAAAACAAAAAAUAUUUUGGUGGAAAACUGUACAAUGAUUAAAAACAAAAAAUUAUCAUUUUCCAAUGUUUACAAAGAAAACAAGAGACAUUUUAUUUCACUUUUACGCUCGGGCCUCACUAUCUUAACUUUUGUAACAUAGUGUAAUAAAUUACGUGGGCCCAUUUAAUAAAGAAAUAAUCUAAUAAAUAAACUAAUAUAACAAAUAUUUAAAAAUAAUAGCAAUAGUUUAUUCCAUACCUUGCAGCUUAACUACUUAAUAGAUUACCCAAAUUGUUUUAAAUAAAAAGUAAUAUCAUAUAAUUAUUAUACUAAAUUAUUACAUUGUUCGACCAAUAUGCAGUUAUUUAAAAAUUAUUACAAAUUUUCAUAUAUUAAUGAAAAUAUUUCAAUAAUAAAGUUACUUCUUGACAGCUAAUAUAAAUAAAUAUAUGAUAAUUAUGAAAUAAUUUAAAAUUUUCUCAAUUAAUAUUAUCUUAUAACUACAAUUUAUUUACAUAAUUAAAAGUUUUUAAGAAAUCAUAAAAUAUCAUCGUACCUAUAUGCAUUUAUAAUAAUAUAUAAUACAUCAUAAUAUAAUAGCUAAAUAGAUAAAUUAUUAAUGAUAUAAAAUAUAUAUUUAUAUUCACUGUAUUAUAUUAUUCUUUCAUAAUUGUUUCAUUAAAUAAUUCCCUAUUCUCUCUCUUUUUGUCUUCAUUUUUUCAGAUAAGCAACCAAAAAUUUUUUUUUUAUUUUAUUUUCAAGUACUGUUUUUAAAAUAAGGUACCAAACAUGUUUUUAUUUUUAAUAAAAACUAAUCAUUCUUAUUUCAUAAAAUAAAUUCAAAAACACCAUUUAAAAAAUAAUACCAAAUGCACCCUUAGAAACUAUGAGAAAUAUACUGAUUUUGCAAAUAUAUUUAAUACGUCGAUUAGACUGAAUCUUUGGAAUAAAAAUUUCAAAUUAAAUAAUAAACCCUUAGUUUCCUUUUAAUCGUAAUUAUAAUCUUAAUUAUUAAAGACAUUUUAUUUUGUGCUUGUCUUUUUUUAUUCACUCUUUUUUUAAUGAAAAAUAUUGCUCUGCAUGCAAGUCUUUGGUCGCGGGCCUAGGCGUCCCAAACAUCCAGCUGACAGCGACGUUUCCACUUUGAUUAUCCGCACUUCCCAGAAGUCGCAAGGAAAGACUUAUUCGAGUAGUUUGAUUGGUUUGAAGAUUCAUGAGACUGCUUUUCACUAGAAUUCCACGGCCUCAUUCAUUUUUUUUUUUAAUAAUCUAAAUGACAUCGAACACUCUACUCAAUAUAAAUUUUAUUCGAAUGUUCUGUUUCAACCUAAUCGGAAAUUACAAAUGAAACAAAUGCUUGCCAUCACAAACGGCCUAAAUGGGAUUUUUGUUUUUUAAAUGUUGCAAUGACUUUGAUCCUGAUGUUGAAAAUUUAUAAUGGCUUCAAUUUUAUCAUAAUUGGUUUAUAAUGCUCUGUUAGGAAGCAUGGAUAAACUGUUGGAUUAGAUUAGAUUUUAGGACUAAAAAUUAAUUUCAUCCAAUGUCAUAUUUAGCUGUCGUGACUAAUAAAUUAGUCCAAAAUUAAGAUAAGAUUUAUAAUAUUAAAUGAAAUAUUUUUGUUCUCUUUAUCACUCUUUUCUUUUUCAUUUAAAUUAAAUAUAAACAAUAAUUUCAUAAUUUUUUGUAGAAUUUUAUAUUAUACUAAAUAUCGAAAUUCUAUUCAAUAAUUUAUUUUAAGUUGUAUUUACUUAAGAUUAGUUAUCUAAGUUUAAUACAAUAAUUUAUUUGAAUAGUAUUGAAUAUUAAACAUUAAAAAUUAUUCAAUUAUUUGUUUAAAAUAAAAUUGAAUAUUAAAUAUUGAAAUAAUUAUUUAAUAGCAUAUUAUAUUAUUAAUAUAAUUAUUUAAUAGUCCAAUCUAAUGUUGUACAAAACAUGCACAAUACUAUAUAUAAUCCAAACUAAUCCAAUUCAAUCUUAAUUAAUAUUCAAUCCAAUCUUGUGAGUCAAAAUUGGCCUAAGGUUACCAAUUGUGCAAUAAUCUUUAUAGCCCGUUUCCCAGCCACACACCCUCCCUUUUCUAUUUGUAACUCGUAAUCUAACAAAUGACAUUAUACGGCUGUUACUUGCUAGUUUUUAUAAGGUGGCCAAGGCCUUUUAUCAAAACACUAUAGGAUCAACUAGUACAAAAUGAAUUCAUUUGGGAUGCAUUUAACGUACUGUGUUAGCUAUAUCGUAUUAUAAUGUAUUGCAUUAACAUGCAUUAUAUUAAGUUAUAAUGUUAUACUUUGAUAUAGUAUAAAUUGUAUUAUAUAAGGUAAUGUUUUAUAUUAAUGUUAAAACUAAAUUAAUAUUAUUUAAAUUUAUUAAUAUUUUAGGAUUUUUAUUAAUUUUUUAAAUUAAGUAUUAAAAAUUAUUUUAUAUAUAUAAAUGAGUUAAUAAUAUACUAUUAUUAAAUGAUAAAAUAUUAAAGUACUAUGUUAUAUUAUUAAAAAUUAUUAUAUUAUAAUAUAAUUUAUUUCUAGAUAUUAAUUAUUAUAAUAUAGUAUAAUCAUAUAAUAAUAUAAUAUAAGUUAAUAUUAUAUUGUAAAAAUAUAUAUUGUACAAUUAUUUAAUGUAAUAUAAAUUAAUUUAUACUAUAAUAUUAAAUUAUAAAUUUAUUUUUAUUAAUUAAAUAAAAUUAAAAUACUUUUAUGUAUUUAAACUAAAAUAAUUAAAAUAAUUUAUGUAAUAGAAGUAUGAUAAUGUAUUAUCAUUUUCUCAUUAAAUAUUUUUAGGUUUAUUAAUUUGUUAAAUUAUUAUUUAAAUUAAAAUUAAUUGUUUAAAUGUAAUAUAAAUAUAAUGAAUGUUUAAUAAAUCUACUCCUAUGGAUCUAUUUUAUAACUUUUUAUUCUAUAAAUCACGCUUAUAAUGUAGUUGUAUAAUAGAAACUGGAUAUUUAAUGGAAGCAAAAUCGCGCACGGUUUGUGGGUUAAAAGGGUCAGGAUUCUCUCCUGAUCUGAUCUUCAUUUGAGCAAAUUCUGUUAAUAUGAUUAGUGGUUAAUAAGUUAAAAAGAAAAAGUAGUUAAAUCAUAAUCAUCCAAUUUGAUACACUGAUUUUGUCCUCUUUAAUAUUUUUCUAGAUGCUUCCAUGUCAUAAUCUCAUUGGUCCAGUUUUCUUCACUGCUUAGAUUCAACUUCAAAAAUCAAUUUGAAGCAAACACAACAAUUCAACAAAUAUAAUAAGCGUCGAUAAGCUUGUGGCUGACUGGCUGUGGCCAAGCAAAACGUACCUCAUGGUUACCGAAUCAUAUCUUACGUCAGAAUUUUUAACUUAAACUAUGUUACCGUUCCACGUGUCACUCUCCAAAAAAUCCCCAAACUUUUAUCGUAUUUCCAAAGAAACCCCUAACAAAUCAAGGUAAUUACCGUCACUCUGCUCAUAUAAAUAGUCUCCUUGAUUCAACUGAUGUAGGGAUGGCAAUGGGGUGGGGUGGGGUGGGGGUGCGGAAUGGGGUACAUUAAAAUUUUUUGUCUCCAUUCCCCACCUAUUCCCUAAUAAAUUUAGUGGGUUGGGGAUGGGGAAUCCCACAUGGGGAAUGGUUUCCCCAUCCUCACCCAUUCCCCAUUUACCUAUUUUAUAGUAAAUAUAAAUAUAUUAUUUCAGUAAAUUAAAAAUUAGAAACUUAAAAUAAAUCAUCACCAUAUUAUGAAGUAUUUAUUUUUUUAAAAAAAAAUCUCUAAAAGUUUGAAACAAUAUCUUAAAAUGAUAUUAAAAGUGAAAAAUAUUUAAAGACAGCAACACCUUAAAAGAGAAAAGAAAACAUAAUAAUGUUUUAGAAUUGAAAAAUAUUGUAGGAUUUUCUUUUAUUCAUAUCUUGUUUAUAUUACAUAAAAAUUUAAAAAAAUUAUUAAUUGACAUUAUAGUUGAUAAAAUAAAAAUUACUAAAUAAGAAUUAAAAAUAUAUUUAUAUAUAAUGGGGAUUGGGGUAGGGGUGGGGUGGGGAGUGCAAUACCAAACCCCACUCCGUUAAUAAUUUGAGAAUUAUUUUUCCCCACUCCCACCCCAUUCCCCAAAAAUUAUUAAAAAAAAUUUCUAUUUGGGGUGGGGCUUCAUGGGGUCUCAAACCCGUGGAGGAUUUUGCCAUCCCUAAACUGAUGACAUAUCCUCAUAUAAAUAAAGACUAUGACGACAUUUAUUUAGAAGGGAAAAUUAUAAAAAAAAAUCUCCUCUUUCUCUGAAAAUAUAGGGUUUCUCAAGAAUAGCUAAACCUACAUCCCUAUCCUGCAAACUCUCAAUUUAACCUCUCUAGGGUUUCGAUUGAAGAGCAUUCGCUUCAAAAUUUAUUAUUCUUUUAGUGGAUUUUGGUUGUCGCGUAUCCUUCAGUUGUUAGUUCGGUUCGGAUAAUAAUUUGGAAUUCAGUUUCAAGGGUUAAGUGCAAUUUCUAAUUUUUUUAUACAAUUUAAAUUGAAAUUGAUAGAACAAUUGGGCGGUUAAUAAUUAAUUGAUGGCUAGUGAUACUACAACGGCGCCCGCGCCCGCAGCUCCGGAAAAAGUGGAGGCGGUGGAGGAGUAUGAUAGCAAUCCAGAUGAAGUGAAACGCUGUCUUGGGACACGCAGAAGGGAAGCCAGCGAUGACGAGGACGUGCAAUACCAAACCCCACUCCGUUAAUAAUUUGAGAAUUAUUUUUCCCCCACUCCCCACCCCAUUCCCCAAAAAUUAUUAAAAAAAUUUUCUAUUUGGGGUGGGGCUUCAUGGGGUCUCAAACCCGUGGAGGAUUUUGCCAUCCCUAAACUGAUGACAUAUCCUCAUAUAAAUAAAGACUAUGACGACAUUUAUUUAGAAGGGAAAAUUAUAAAAAAAAUCUCCUCUUUCUCUAAAAAUAUAGGGUUUCUCAAGAAUAGCUAAACCUACAUCCCUAUCCUGCAAAAUCUCAAUUUAACCUCUCUAGGGUUUCGAUUGAAGAGCAUUCGCUUCAAAAUUUAUUAUUCUUUUAGUGGAUUUUGGUUGUCGCGUAUCCUUCAGUUGUUAGUUCGGUUCGGAUAAUAAUUUGGAAUUCAGUUUCAAGGGUUAAGUGCAAUUUCUAAUUUUUUAUACAAUUUAAAUUGAAAUUGAUAGAACAAUUGGGCGGUUAAUAAUUAAUUGAUGGCUAGUGAUACUACAACGGCGCCCGCGCCCGCAGCUCCGGAAAAAGCGGAGGCGGUGGAGGAGUAUGAUAGCAAUCCAGAUGAAGUGAAACGCUGUCUUGGGACACGCAGAAGGGAAGCCAGCGAUGACGAGGACGUGGAGGAGGAGAGAGAUUGGGACACGCAGAAGGGAACCCAGCGAUGACGAGGACGUGCAAUACCAAACCCCACUCCGUUAAUAAUUUGAGAAUUAUUUUUCCCCCACUCCCCACCCCAUUCCCCAAAAAUUAUUAAAAAAAUUUUCUAUUUGGGGUGGGGCUUCAUGGGGUCUCAAACCCGUGGAGGAUUUUGCCAUCCUAAACUGAUGACAUAUCCUCAUAUAAAUAAAGACUAUGACGACAUUUAUUUAGAAGGGAAAAUUAUAAAAAAAUCUCCUCUUUCUCUGAAAAUAUAGGGUUUCUCAAGAAUAGCUAAACCUACAUCCCUAUCCUGCAAAAUCUCAAUUUAACCUCUCUAGGGUUUCGAUUGAAGAGCAUUCGCUUCAAAAUUUAUUAUUCUUUUAGUGGAUUUUGGUUGUCGCGUAUCCUUCAGUUGUUAGUUCGGUUCGAUAAUAAUUUGGAAUUCAGUUUCAAGGGUUAAGUGGCAAUUUCUAAUUUUUUAUACAAUUUAAAUUGAAAUUGAUAGAAACAAUUGGGCGGUUAAUAAUUAAUUGAUGGCUAGUGAUACUACAACGGCGCCCGCGCCGCAGCUCCGGAAAAAGUGGAGGCGGUGGAGGAGUAUGAUAGCAAUCCAGAUGAAGUGAAACGCUGUCUUGGGACACGCAGAGGGAAGCCAGCGAUGACGAGGACGUGCAAUACCAAACCCCACUCCGUUAAUAAUUUGAGAAUUAUUUUUCCCCACUCCCCACCCCAUCCCCAAAAAUUAUUAAAAAAAUUUUCUAUUUGGGUGGGGCUUCAUGGGGUCUCAAACCGUGGAGGAUUUUUUUGCCAUCCCUAAACUGAUGACAUAUCCUCUAUAUAAAUAAAGACUAUGACGACAUUUAUUUAGAAGGGAAAAUUAUAAAAAAAAUCUCCUCUUUCUCUAAAAAUAUAGGGUUUCUCAAGAAUAGCUAAACCUACAUCCCUAUCCUGCAAAAUCUCAAUUUAACCUCUCUAGGGUUUCGAUUGAAGAGCAUUCGCUUCAAAAUUUAUUAUUCUUUUAGUGGAUUUUGGUUGUCGCGUAUCCUUUCAGUUGUUAGGUUCGGUUUCGGAUAAUAAUUUGGAAUUCAGUUUCAAGGGUUAAGUGCAAUUUCUAAUUUUUUUAUACAAUUUAAAUUGAAAUUGAUAGAACAAUUGGGCGGUUAAUAAUUAAUUGAUGGCUAGUUGAUACUACAACGGCGCCCGCGCCCGCAGCUCCGGAAAAAGCGGAGCGGUGGAGGAGUAUGAUAGCAAUCCAGAUGAAGUGAAACGCUGUCUUGGGACACGCAGAAGGGAAGCCAGCGAUGACGAGGACGUGCAAUACCAAACCCCACUCCGUUAAUAAAUUGAGAAUUAUUUUUCCCCCACUCCCCACCCCAUUCCCCAAAAAUUAUUAAAAAAAUUUUCUAUUUGGGGUGGGGCUUCAUGGGGUCUCAAACCCGUGGAGGAUUUUGCCAUCCCUAAACUGAUGACAUAUCCUCAUAUAAAUAAAGACUAUGACGACAUUUAUUUAGAAGGGAAAAUUAUAAAAAAAAUCUCCUCUUUCUCUAAAAAUAUAGGGUUUCUCAAGAAUAGCUAAACCUACAUCCCUAUCCUGCAAAAUCUCAAUUUAACCUCUCUAGGGUUUCGAUUGAAGAGCAUUCGCUUCAAAAUUUAUUAUUCUUUUAGUGGAUUUUGGUUGUCGCGUAUCCUUCAGUUGUUAGUUCGGUUCGGAUAAUAAUUUGGAAUUCAGUUUCAAGGGUUAAGUGCAAUUUCUAAUUUUUUAUACAAUUUAAAUUGAAAUUGAUAGAACAAUUGGGCGGUUAAUAAUUAAUUGAUGGCUAGUGAUACUACAACGGCGCCGCGCCCGCAGCUCCGGAAAAGCGGAGGCGGUGGAGGAGUAUGAUAGCAAUCCAGAUGAAGUGAAACGCUGUCUUGGGACACGCAGAAGGGAAGCCAGCGAUGACGAGGACGUGGAGGAGAGAGAGAUUGGGACACGCAGAAGGGAACCCAGCGAUGACGAGGACGUGCAAUACCAAACCCCACUCCGUUAAUAAUUUGAGAAUUAUUUUUCCCCCACUCCCCACCCCAUUCCCCAAAAAUUAUUAAAAAAAUUUUCUAUUUGGGGUGGGGCUUCAUGGGGUCUCAAACCCGUGGAGGAUUUUGCCAUCCCUAAACUGAUGACAUAUCCUCAUAUAAAUAAAGACUAUGACGACAUUUAUUUAGAAGGGAAAAUUAUAAAAAAAAUCUCCUCUUUCUCUGAAAAUAUAGGGUUUCUCAAGAAUAGCUAAACCUACAUCCCUAUCCUGCAAAAUCUCAAUUUAACUCUCUAGGGUUUCGAUUGAAGAGCAUUCGCUUCAAAAUUUAUUAUUCUUUUAGUGGAUUUUGGUUGUCGCGUAUCCUUCAGUUGUUAGUUCGGUUCGGAUAAUAAUUUGGAAUUCAGUUUCAAGGGUUAAGUGCAAUUUCUAAUUUUUUUAUACAAUUUAAAUUGAAAUUGAUAGAACAAUUGGGCGGUUAAUAAUUAAUUGAUGGCUAGUGAUACUACAACGGCGCCCGCGCCCGCAGCUCCGGAAAAAGUGGAGGCGGUGGAGGAGUAUGAUAGCAAUCCAGAUGAAGUGAAACGCUGUCUUGGGACACGCAGAAGGGAAGCCAGCGAUGACGAGGACGUGCAAUACCAAACCCCACUCCGUUAAUAAUUUGAGAAUUAUUUUUCCCCCACUCCCCACCCCAUUCCCCAAAAAUUAUUAAAAAAAUUUUCUAUUUGGGGUGGGGCUUCAUGGGGUCUCAAACCCGUGGAGGAUUUUGCCAUCCUAAACUGAUGACAUAUCCUCAUAUAAAUAAAGACUAUGACGACAUUUAUUUAGAAGGGAAAAUUAUAAAAAAAAUCUCCUCUUUCUCUAAAAAUAUAGGGUUUCUCAAGAAUAGCUAAACCUACAUCCCUAUCCUGCAAAAUCUCAAUUUAACCUCUCUAGGGUUUCGAUUGAAGAGCAUUCGCUUCAAAAUUUAUUAUUCUUUUAGUGGAUUUUGGUUGUCGCGUAUCCUUCAGUUGUUAGUUCGGUUCGGAUAAUAAUUUGGAAUUCAGUUUCAAGGGUUAAGUGCAAUUUCUAAUUUUUUAUACAAUUUAAAUUGAAAUUGAUAGAACAAUUGGGCGGUUAAUAAUUAAUUGAUGGCUAGUGAUACUACAACGGCGCCCGCGCCCGCAGCUCCGGAAAAAGCGGAGGCGGUGGAGGAGUAUGAUAGCAAUCCAGAUGAAGUGAAACGCUGUCUUGGGACACGCAGAAGGGAAGCCAGCGAUGACGAGGACGUGGAGGAGGAGAGAGAUUGAGGGCUUCCAAUGGCGAAGUGUCCACAUUCCUGCGGGAGAAGCGGAGGCUGUGGAUGAGUACGAGAGCGAUCCAGAUGAAGUGAAAUACUCUCUUGUGAUGGGCAGAAUGGAAGCAAGCGAUGAUAAGGAGGAGGAGGAUAAAGAAUUUGAGCGUCGAAUGAACCGUAGGGUCCACAUUCAUUCUUACGAUGAAUCUGAUGGCCAAGGUGGUGUCCAGCUGAGUAUGGUGAGGUUGAUGAUGAAGAAGAUGACAGAGAAUUAGAAGAAGAAGAUGAAGAGGGGGAUGUGAUAUGACUUCAUAUCAUUUAAUUUGUAUAACCGUGACGCCAAUCCCAUUGAUCCUGGUCCGACCCGAACGGAUCUUGUUGAAUGAAUUGAUCCAUUGUUGUAUGCCUUACUUCUUAGUGAUUUUUUUCCUACUUGGAGCCGCCUUUGAGUACUCCUGGGAGAUAAAGUGGAAACGUUUUUUAUGGUGAAGAGUGGGGAGUGAAAAGACCAAUUCAGCAGAGAACGACCGCAUGAAUCGGAAUCCAAGAAAGGCUCCACGUUCUCCAAGUGAUUGAUCUUAGCGUAGCGUGCUAGCCGCUGCUUCAUUUCGUAUAGUGAUAACGCUUUCUUAGCGCUCCGCCGCCCCCCCCCCCCCCCCGGCGGCCGCGCCCGGGGUAUAGUAGGGGACUGGUUGCGCGGCUUUCUCUUAUAGGGGUCUAUUUUCCCUUACUUUACUCAACUUGAGUCGGUUAGAGUAUCGCUUUCAUACGGCAAGAGUUAUUGAUUCAAAUCCAAUAGUAGGUAAUAAUGCUGUCAAUGUCGGUUAGAGUAUCCAAGAGUUAUUGAUUCAAACGCAGUUGUCAACCACAUUCGAAUAACCCUUCUGCUACCUUCUAAAAACCCUUGCAUGGGCAUUAAUGCUGGCAUAAUCUCUUUGACUUCCCUUGCAUUUGAAUGAAUGGAUGAGCGUUGCAUUUGAAUGAAUGGAUCAGUGUCAAUGCAGGCUAAGAUUUUCUGGACUUUCAUGGAUGCACAAUAAAUGCUACGUCAAAGGCCUGGUAAGAUGUCAGCAAGCUGGUCGAAGAUAUCAACCUGAUUUGGUGGCUGCAAGAUUUGUUCAUCCAGGACCAUUUUCUUUGACAAUGAGAAAGCCCCAAUGUCUAUAAAUUGAGAACUCACUGAAUUGUAGAGAGAGGGGAAAGUGAAUAACGGGAGAGCCAGUGAAAAGAGAGUGUGGGAAUAUUUGUGCGUAAUUGGGGUUUGGGUGUGAGAUAAAAUAAUCAGAGAGUGGUUGUAAUAAUUUUUUAUAUAGUGAAAAUUUUUGUCUCCUUGUUUUUUGCAGUGGUGGUAAAUUUUGUCUCUAAUAAAGGAGUCUUCCAAGUAAAUUUUGUGUGUUAUGAUUGGGAUAUUCACCAUUUUAGUUUUUUAUUUAUUAUUUGUUUUACAUAUUGCUAGCAAAAAUCUGGGGCGGGAACCGAAAAUUCCCAACAAUUAUUAAUUAUUUUAAACUCUGUUCUGAACAGAGCAUGAAGGGUUUCACUUACCUAGUUACGUUUUUCAUUCUUUCACUUCACUUGAUUUCAUCUUGUCCCUCUCCUUUAUAGAAGUUGCAGAGCUUGGAUCUUUACUCGAACAGUUUCACUGGCUCUAUUUCUGACACAUUGGGCAAGCUGAAGGAAUUGCAAUUCCUGUAUGAUAAUUUCCCCAACUAUUAUUUGAAUAAUUAUUUAAUGCCGUUCAUUCCAGCACUGUUUGGCUGUCAACUUUAUUUUGUUAUUUAUGAGGAGAUUCAUUUCCCACCUGAAGCUAGAAAUUUACGGAUCAAUGACUUUUUUUUUUUCGGGGGCCAAUUGCAGUUUUGAUAACAACUAAAAUCUGUGUGGUCCGGUUACCACAAAGCCUUGCCCCAGAUCCCUGCCAUUUUCUCCUCCACCUCCAUUUGGGGAAAUUACUACUUACUUUUUGCAAGUUUUUCUUGAAAUAUUUAUUUUGAUAAGAAAACCAAUAAUACAUUUUAAGAUUUGGGCUGUUUCAAAGAUUUCGCUUGAUGUCUCUGCUACUGGUUUUCAGCAGAGUGCCCAAAAAUAGUUUUCAGCAGUACAAAAAGUAUAUAUUUUGUACCUUCCAUACAUUUUGCUUUGUUAAUGUUAUUAUUUGAUAACAUGUUUGUCGAGUUGCACAGUGUAUAAAUGCUAUACAAAUACACUCCUUUCAUUUUAUACAACUUUGAUCGAUCAAGUUGUAUCUCUUUGAUAAUAUGUUCAAUCUCCUUUCAUUUUAAACUUCAAUUGAGUUGCUAUCUAUUUAACAUUGGCAAGUCAGAGAGAGGGAUGGGACUGUCCAAUUAAAAUUAAGUUCCAAGUGCCAAUCCCACCAUUGUCGUCUCUUGUUUGCCAAAUUCAAAUUUGAAAAUCUCACCAAGUCAGUAUGGUGAUGUUGUGGGAUUGUCUCGCCUAGGUUUUUAGCCUCAUGACCUCCUUUAUUAGAAAAUGUCUUAAGUGUUCUUACUCAAUGGUAGAAUCAUAAUUUUACUUCAAUGGAAGCCAUAAUGAUUAAAAUAUACUCUUUUGAUUAAUUACUUAUUUGAUGUUGCUCUCUCUACCUUCAUCUCCUUCUUUAUGAAAAAUUUAUUGUAAUACAUGGAAGUAUAUAUUGCAUUGAAUAAAAUGAAAUUGUUCAAAAAUUAACAAAUUCAGCUUUAUUAUAAUCUAAAACAAAGUAAAUAAAAUAAUACCCAUCAUGUAAAAAUUAAAAAAAUAAAAAAUUUUGUACCACUUUGAAUCUAUUUUAAUUUUUUUGGUCAAAUCUCAGAAGCACAAAAUUUGACCAACAAUAAUAGGUAAAAACUAAUAAUCUUAUAAUAAAAAGUAAUAUUUAAAAAUUGAAAAUUAAAUUAUGCUAGUAAUUCCGUAAAAUUAAAAUUUAUCUCCCAAAAUUGAUAAAUACUAUGUCACUUUGUCAAAUUACUUAGGAUAAAAGUUAUGUGGCUAAAAACUUUUAAGAUGAGUUGUAUGCUAAUGGAGAAGGACAAGACACAAAAGAAUUCAAUGAAUGCUACAUCACGCAACAAUGCUUACUCUUAACAAAUUAUUACAAUUUACAAACGUGAUUCAUGAAACUUGACUUUUUUGUCUAAAGAAAGGACUAAAGAAACAUGCUAAGCAACAAAUAAAAAGUUGAUAGGCACUAUUUAAAUAGUAUUAAUAUGGCAACAAAAAACAUGCGAGCAAAGUAGCCUAUUCCUUUAUUCUAUAAAUAGCUCAUUUGAGCUUAGAACCUUUAAAGUGUGUCGUACGUUUCUGUUACUUCCAAUAAAGAUUUUCUCUAUUCCCUUUUCUUCCACUUUCUCUUCCAUUUUCACGAUCCCCAAACACCAUCAAUCCAUGAUUUUCUAGAGUAUUAGCUGUCUAUUUCUACAAACAUAGAAUUGCUGUUUUAAGAAACAAAGUAGUCUGUCCUGUCACCCAUGAUUGCCUCUUUCUUUUCUCCACAAAUCUUUGGUUAAUUUUUAUUUUCCCUCAACUUUUUUCCCCUUUAGCACCAAAAUUGAUUUUUGAUACUUUAUGCAAAAAUUAUGAUGAAAAUGAGUCACUUUAGAACAUCAAUAAAUUUUUUUUUACAUCCAAAAUAACGACAAUUACACUUAGAUCACUCUUAUUUAGUUGAAUUAUAUAUGUAAUAAUGUUGGCUUAACAAAAUAUAAUUCUUGACCGUUGUAAUUACGAGCUGGCAUUCUUUGGUUUUAGUAGUAGGGCUUAUAACGCUGUGCAACAAUUCUUGGUGGCUUCGAAUUAUUAUACGAUCAUUCUCAAUUCUUUACGGUACGUAAUUAAAAAUUCCUAUAUCACAAUUAGAACUUACAAACAAGUCAAAGUGAAUUAAAUCAAACGUAUAAAUUCGAGGUCUAUUACAAACUUCUAAAAAAGAUUUUCUCUGCUCUUUUUUCUUUCACUUUCUCUUCCAUUUUGCCAAUCCCCAAACACCGCCAAUCCUUGAUUUUUUAAGUAUUAGCUGUCAAUUUCUACAAACAUAGAACUGCUGUUUGUUUGUCUAAUUACUUUCAAGAAACAAAACUCUCUGUCAUGUGGUCUCUUCGUUUAUUGGCUUGUGAGCAAAUAAGAUAUUGGGCCGAUGGGCUUAACGUGACAAGUUCUUGAAUUGAAUGGCUCCUCUUUUUUUCAUAAAUCUUUGCUAAACUUUUUUGUUCCCUCAACCUUUUUUGGCCUUUCGCGCUAAAAUUCUUUUUUUGAUACAUUAUGCAAAAAUUAUGAUGAAAAUGAGUUACUUUAGAACAUCAAUAAAUUUUUAUUACAUCUAUAAUAAGACAACUGUAGUGAGAUUUCUCUUAUUUAGUUGAAUUAUAUGUAAUAAAAUUAGUUUAACGAAAUCUAACCCGUCAAUAUUCCAUAUGACAUAAUUAACGUAUUUAAAAAAUCUUAGCUGUUCCGUCGCUUGUUUUACAAUUCUUUUAUAUAUCUUUGAGACUUUCUGCUUCCUGACACAUCAUAUUGUUCUCAAUUCGUCUAAAUUAAUUUUUUCUUCAAACACUGCAGCAACAACCGGUAUAAAAUAGAAUGAACUCAUUUAAUGGGAAUUUUUCUCAUUGGUCUAUUUCUCUUCGCACCUUAGGUUCCUCUAACAAACUUAAAAGAUGUUCCCCAUCCCACGUGUCCCCAAAUCUUCGUAUUUCCAAACAAACCCCUGCCAAAUAGAGAAGAGGAUGGCUUUUAUUGCAACCUGUAUGAACGUUAUGGCCAUAGGACAUUGGAUCAAAAUCAAACCAAUGGAUUGUAAAGCAAAAUUACCAAUUAAAAAUUCAACCAAUUGAAUCGGUUUGGUGUCACUUAAAAAAUAAAUAAUAUAUAAAACAACACAAUUAAAUUCAUUCAGUCAGUAUUUUUCUUUUCUCAUUUUCAAUGAAUGCUUAAUAUGGAAAACAAUCUGUCCCAUUGAGCACUGUUUAAAUCAUUCCCUAGUUUGUUCAACAAGCAAAGAAUAUUCUUAUUCGGCUCGGCAGCCAAUCCGUUAAAAUUUGUAAAAAUUCAUUUAAGUGAUGACUGUGAUAUGACUCGAUCAAUCGUUUAAUUUGUAUAAUUUAUAAAAAUUUGAGCUUCAAGUAAUGUAGAUAGAAUGGUUAAUUAUUUUAAUAUUCAGAUAAAUUGAUAUAUGUCAUUAUAUUAUGAGUGGAUGAAAUAUCCAAUAGAAAAAAAAAAAUGUUUGUAUUCGUCAUUUUUAAUGGGAAUCUAUUUAGUUUAACUUAUCCAUAAAAAUGGUUGCCAGACUUAUCUUGUUUCUCAUUUUGUUUAAUUUUCAUAAAUUUGACUCACGAUUAAUUGUGAGUGAAGAAUUUUUUGAAAAAAAUCUGGUCUUCCAUUUAUUUUGUAGGAUUUAAAAGAUUAAAAAACUUUAAUACAUAUAAUUUUAUGCUCGAAACUAAAUACUCGUAGCAUUGCUGCUUCUAUAAAUAACUCAUUUGUGCUUCCAACUUGUUAUUUGUAUUUUACGUUUUUGUUUCUCUUCAUAAAGAUUUUCUUUUUUUUCUUUUUUCCUUUCACUUUUUCUUCCAUUUUCCCGACUCCCAAACACCACUAAUCCUUGAUUUUCUAGAGUAUUAACUGUCCGUUUCUACGAACAUAGACCUACUGUUUGUCUAAAUACUAUCAAGAAACAAUAUACUCUGUCGCGGGAUCUCUUCGUUUAUUGACUUUUGACUUGUGAACGGGGCUAAUUAAAGGGCAUUCCUUUCUUCAAGAAAGAAUGCAAAGAAAGUACUAUCCAUGAGACACGUUAAAAAUUAUUUUACAUAAAAAAUGAUAAUAAUCAUAAUAAUCGGUUUAGUGUAACCCCGUUAUUACUUAGUGACUGUUCGAUUGUCUUCUCUUUCAUUGACUUCGCAACUGUGACUUCUAAAUUGGGUCAAGGAUCGACAAAAAAUGUUAUAACCUAUAAAGCAUGGAUAAUUAAUUAAUGGGAAUGCACCUCUCAUCUUUACCAUUCUCUUUGUCAUUUUCAUAAUUCAGCUGUUUAUUAAUAAAGUGAAUAAAUUUAUCUUUUAAUAAUAUGUUUCUUGGCUGUUUUUUGUGUAUUUUUGCGUACAAUUUUGUGUGCAAAUAGCAUUAUUCAUUAGUAAUAAGUCUGGAGUGUUCUAAUUUCUUCUAACAAGUAGCUCAUUUUAGCUUAGGACAUGUAACUAGUAUUUUAUGUUUCUGUUAAUCUUUAAUAAAGAUUUUCUCUAUUUUUUUUUUUCCUUUCACUUUCUCUUCCAUUUUCCCCGACUCCCAAACACCACCAAUCCUUGAUUUUCCAGAGCAUUAGCUCUCUAUUUCGACAAAGGCAUAAUUAGUCACGGUCCGAUUGUCUGACUUCUCCGUUGACUCGGUCAAUUCACGACCUUGACCUGCACAGUUGAUACAAACGGACUUCUCCAUUUGAUGUGCACAAAACUUUCUUGGGUCAUUUUGUUUGGUGAUGAUGAAUUGGAUGUCAGUUCAUGAGUUUCAUGAUGAAGGGGACCAAAAACAUUAUUUUAUUAUUUAAAGAAGACUAACAAUUAUUUCGAUGGUCAUUUUAUUAUUAUUUUUUAAAUAUCCAAAUGGUGAAAUUUUAAAGAAUUAAGGUGGUUGACUUCUUUACACAGAAUUACAAAGCAAAACAAUUAAGAAAUUAAAUACUCGUCAUCCAAGUGAGAAGAGAUUGGGUUGUUGAUACAUUAAAUAAAAGAAAAAUCAAUUAAAAGCACAACAAUUCAAUAAUUUCAUUCUCAAUCAUAUCAAAAAUAAAAUUUACUGUACAUUGUUGUUCGGUUCUGUAAAAAAAAAAAAAUUAUUAGGGAUUUGCAGUUUUUUUUAGUGUAAUUCUCGUUAAUUAAAGUUUAGUCUGAAGGGUUAAGCACAUGGAUCAUAAUCAUAGUAUGGCCUAAGGAAGGAGCACAGUUCAUUGGCUGCACUCAGUUUACAGAAUAUUUUGGGAUUCAAGACUGUAGGUUGUUCCGGAUGUAACUUGCAAAGGCUGUUGCUGUGUAACUGUAUGCCAAGCUGGCAAGUGUGCUAUACACAUAUUGUUGAGAUAGCACCAAAGAUUGUAAACUAAUUAGUACUGGAAAAUCCUAUUUGCACAAAAAAAUUGCACAAAAUAAAUAGAAUGAGAAUACUUAUGCAAAAAAAAUAAGAUUAAUAAAGUGGAUAAAUUUAUCUUUUAAUAAAAUAUUUCUAGUCUUUCAGUGUUUUCGUGUAUUUUUGUGUACGUGCAAAUAAUAUUACUCAUGAGUAAUUAGUCUAGAGCGUUGUAAUUUCUUCUAAUAAGUAGCUCAUUUGAGCCUACUACCUGUAACUAUGUUUUAUGUUUCUAUUACUUUCUAAUAAAGAUUUUCUCUGUUUUUGUUUUUUUCCCCCUUUUACCUUCUCUUCCAUUUUUCCAACUCCCAAACACUACUAAUCCUUGUUUUUUGUUUUUUUUCCCCCUUUGAACGGGGCUAAUGUUGGUCUAACUGCUUUCAUGAAACAACGUACUCUGCGGUUAAAAUUAAUUGAUCAUUUUAUUUGGUGAUAAUGAAUUGGUUGUCAAGUCAUGAGUUUGAUGAUGCACAGGACGAAAAACGUUAUUUUAUUAUUUAAAAUAAUACUAACAAUUAUGUUGAUGGUCAUUUUAUUUUUUAAAAUAUGCAAAUGGAAUUUUACCGAACUAUAGUGCUUGACUUCUUCAUACAGUGAUUGACUUCUUUGUACAGAAUUAUAAAGUGAAAGAAAUUACGAAAUUAAAUACUUUUCGUGCGAGUGGGGGAGAAAUUCUGUAUAUUUAUGAAAUAACUAUUGAUUUCACUUUGGUAAUUACUUUUUAAAAGUAACGUAAACAUUUUUAUUUUAUUUGCAUUCGAGCUUUCUUUCUUUUUCGCUGGCCUUUACUCUUGACCGUAUUUCAUGGGGCAUAUUCAAUCUGAAUCCUCUGCAAGUUUGUGGCAGUUUGGUUAGUUACGAACUUUCGUAGAAUUGCAUGAAGAUGACGCUUUUAUAGACAUUUUUUCUUGUUUCUUUUUUUCUUCAGUGAACAUAUUAAAAAUUUAGUUUUUUGUCAUCAUGACUAGAACAGUAAAAUGAAAAUAGUCCUCAUUUUGACGAUUGACAAAAAUGUUGUACUCAUACCGAUUAAUGGGCCACUGAUUUCGUCUUCUUAAAAAAUUAUUAUUGCAGUGAGGUAAUUGGAUCGAAGAUGAACGAUUUCCAUAUUUGCCUAACCUAAGUGAUAAGAAUUUUCAUAUGAGACAUAAUCUGGUUUAUUUUGCUUGACUGUAUUCCAAGAGACAGUCAUAUCUACUAAAUGAAACAAAUCUUGCUUUUCUAGAGAAAUAAUGCAAUAUGCAAUUAUGCAUGAAGGUGCGCAUCCAUGUGAGAAAGUUGACGAAAGCUUCUUUUUCAGUAUUGGAAGUGCAAUCCACAGCGGAACAUUGGAUAAAACCAAUGGAAUGUAAAGCAAAAUUACCGAUUAAACUAAAUUGAAAAUCCAACUAGUUGAAUCAGUUCAGUGUCACUAAAAAAAAAAAUUAUAUAUAUAUAACAACACAAUUAUCAUAUUAAUGAGGCACUGUUAAAUUCGAAUAUUUUUCUUUUUCAUUUUUAAUGAAUGCUUAAUAUGACAAACAAUUUGUUCCAUUGAGCACUGUUUAAGUCAUUCAAUGAAAAUGAAUACUUCUAUACAAAACAAUUAUUCCCUUGUCUAUCUGACACACAAAGAACUUUCUUGCUCAGCUCGGCUGCCAAUCCUUUAAAGUUUGUUAAAAUUCAGUCAAUUGAUGAACGAGACAUAACUCAAUAAAUCGUUUAAUUUGUGUAAUUGAUAAAAAUUUAAACUUCAAAUAAUAUAGAUAAAAUGAUUUUUUUUAAUAUUUAGAUAAUUGAUAUAUGUCAUGUUAUUAUGAGUGAAAGAAUGAAGUGUCUGAUAGAAAACACAAUGUUUAUGUUUGUAUCAAAAAUUUUAAGUGCGAAUCUAUUUAGUGUGUACGAUAUAAAUAAAAAUAGUUACCAACUUGUCCUGUUUCUCAUUUUGUUUAAUUUUCAUAAUUUGACUAAGGAUUAAUUAUGAGUCAAUGGUUUAUUGGAAAAAUAUGAUCUUCCAUUUACUAUAAAAGAUUAGCGUGAUUUAAUUAUUUAAUGGUCGUUCAAUUUUAUUGGUUACAAAAUUCUCUAGGAUUGCAUGUAGAUUAUACUUUUAUAUAUAAAAACAAACACUGUCAACAAGCAUUAAUGUCAUUUGACGCAUGAAAGACAAUUAGUCCCAUUUUUUGUCCUGUUUACUUGAACACCACUAAUUCCACUAAUUCCAACAAUUUAUCCAAAAAAACUAUAGUUAGUUUGCCAGGUUCUAGGGGGGCUACUCUUCUUUUUUUUUUUUUUUUUUUCGAUCUGUUAAUGAAUGCUCCUACUCCUAUCGGUUCUAUAUCCAACUCGACCUCGGAAGCUAAUUCGCGUGGGCUUUAUUGGAAUAAUGGUAUCGAUUGGAAUUGUAAGGAAAGAGGUCUUCGUGUCGUGGACAGCUCAACCGAAGAGAGCAGAUGAGCCUUUUCCACCCUUUGCAGAAGAAGGAAAUAAGCUGCCUAAAAUAUUUUUUCACAAAAAUAUUUAUGGCUGUAUCAUUACUCAUUAACUAAUAGGCCACUAAUUUAUUCUUCUUGAAAGAGAAUUACUGCAGCGAGGUUGGAGGCUCAAAGAGUUCUCAUUUAGCCAAACAUAAGAAAUAAGAGUUCAUAGAAGACGUAAUUUGGAAAAUCAAUUCCAUCCAAUAGGCAAUAGGUCUCAGUGGGUUCGACUUAGUAUACGAUUAUUUUCAAAUUUUUAACGUCUUGUAAUUACAGAUUCCGAUAUCACAAUAUAAUUUUCAAACAAAUUAAAGUGAGUCAACUCAAAUUUAGAAAUUUGAGGUCUACUAUAGACUCUUGACAUAUUAAAUCUAAGAUAAUUAAGUAAAUGCUAGACAAAAUCUAACUUGUAAAUAUACCUUACUGCAUGAUGAACGUUCUUAAAAAUCUUAACUGAUUGCUCACCAAUUAAUUGUAAUUUUAAAAUUUUUACAUAUCCUUUCUUUUCCCUAAAACUUCUAGUUUCCUAACAUAUUGUUCUCAAUUGGUCUAAUUAUAAUGUAAAAUUUUUUAAAUAUAAAUUAAAUGAAUUUAUUUAAUAGAAAUUUGAAAAAGAGACACUUAUCUAUGCAAGCAAAGUUGCAUUCUGUUUGUGGGGACCUUAAAAAAAUUUUUUAAAAAAAAGCAUAAUGAUACACUGAUGACGACAAUCCUUAAGUAUUUGUUUUCUUUAGUUACAGUUUGGUUUGAAUGGUUAAGUUCAAGUUCGAAUUUUCUUUUUGUAAUUUAAAUUAAAAUUGAUAGAACAAAUGGGCUGAUCAGUAUGAUGAAGAAGAAGAAGAAGUAAAAGCUAUUAAGCAUUAUCCUAUCACCAUAUCAAAUGGACCGAAUUCAAUCAAAUGAAAUCUAGAAAAUAGAGCAGCUCAUAGAUGUACGUCGCUAAGUGGAGGUUCAUUUGGAAGUACUUGGUCGAAUUGCGACUUGCGCCGGAGGCUUCGUUUUAGAAGAGUGCAGAGCAGCUGCCUUGUCCAUUAGGCACGCCAACGACUUUCUAUUGACCAAUAAUUUUGAAAGCGAUAUUAUAAAUUUACCAUCUAAUUUUUUUUUCUUAUCAUUUCACCAUCAAAAUUUUUUGAUAAACAUCUUUAUUUUCUUUGCAUACGAGCCUUCUUUCUUUUGCUUUGGCCUUUACUCUUGACUGUAUUUCAUGGUCCUAUUCAAUCUAAAUCUUCUGUAGGUUUGUGGCUGUUUUAUGAGUUACGAUUUUUUAUAGGGUUGCAUGUAGAUGAUACAUUUAUAUACAUUUUUUCUUUUUUCUUUUAUUUUUCGGUGAAGAUACUAAAAUUUAGUUUUUGUUAUCAUGUGAAAUGAAAAUAGUCCUCACUUCAAGGAUUAAUGGGCCACUAAUUUCGUCUUCUUAAAAGAAAAUUUUUUGCAGCGAGGUAAUUGGAAGCUCGAAGAUUUCUAUAUUACAUAGUCAAACCUAAGUGAUAAGAAUUUCCAUAUGAGAUAUAAUUUGGAAAAAAAAAAAACAAUUCAAGUUAAAGAUAAAAAAUCUGUGUUCCUUAAAAAACAUAAUUCAAGCCACACAAUUUUUCUUGUUUUAUUUGAAAAAAAGAAAUUUGUGUUCCUCACAAAAACACUUUAACAUUUGUUGUCUCAUAGAGGGAAAUGUCCUUCACUCUUUGACGUAUCCCUGGGGCAAUGUAAGUUGACUUUACAUUAAAACAAAAUUGUCAUGUAGUUAAGAAAAAUCAGUCUCAUUUGAUACGCAAAGAGCUUUUUUACUCUGCAGCCAAUAUUUUGAUGAAUGAGACAUUACUGGUUUGUAUAAUUUUUUGGAUAUUAUCUCAAUUUUACUUCUGUAGGUUUGUUGUUUGUAUAUUAUCUCAAUUUUUAAAAAAAUGUAACUGCAAUUAUCAAACACGACUAAUCCCAACAAUUUAUCCAAAAAUUUUUGUUUCGAGAAAUGUAGCAUUUAUGAUAGAAUGGCUAAUUUUUUCAAUCGACUUUCUGGAUAAAUGAUAAUUUUUUGAUAGAAAUGUUACUUACUUAUUACAGGAAGAAAAUUAUAGAAUAAUUUUUUGAAUUAAUAGUAUUACUUUACGAUAACACUAUCACAAUCUAAUUAUAAAAAAAAAUAAAGUUAUUCUUUAAAUUUCGCAUUACUAUUCCUACUUUUCUUUUUAUACUACUUAAUGGCACUGGUGAAGCCUCGAAUUAUCAAACAAAAGGCAAAAAUAGUUCAAUAUCUGCUGUCCCACUGAGCAUUGUUAAAUUCAUAUGAUAAAAUGAGUACUUAUAUUAAAAAAACAAUCGGUCUCAUUGCGUGCUCUUUAAUAAUUUGUGGCACUUUUAUGAAUUUUCAAGACUAGUGAAUUUUUCAAAUUUAAAAGAAAAAAUACAGAAAUGUAAUCUCAAUUUAUCCAAAAAUUUGAGUUUCAUGGAAUAUAGCAUUUAUUAUAAGUCAUGUUAAGAUAGAGAAGAAAAUUUUAAAAACUUCUUUUUGGAUGAAUAAAAGUAUUUUCUGAUAAAUAUUUCACAAUCAUGUUUAAAAAAAUUUCACUCCUCUUGGUACAUAAUUUAAGAAUUUGACAUUAUAAAUUAAUCUUUUUAAUCAAAGUAAUAAUCUCUCCUCGGCCUGCAAAUGCUAAAAUUUAAUAUUAUAUCCGUUGACGAUAUUUUGCUCCAAAUUCACGAAAAUAAAAUUUCUAACAGAAUUAUGAAAUUCAUUACUAGAAAUUUGUAUAAAAGUUGUGAGAAUAGAAGGUUUGAUCAUAGGAAAUUAAUAUAUCCCUAUCCGAUGCAAAAAUGAUUGUAAAGAAAAACAAAAGUCACAGGCUUAUUUAGAAAAAAAAAAAGAAGAAAAAAUUACAUUCCAUUUUCCAGUUAUUAAAGUAAUUCUAAAAUUGCUAGGAUCACAAAGGAUAGGCUUUGGUUGACUGAGGUCAGCCUUAACGGAUGCCGGUCUUUUCUCCUGUACGUUCUUAGAAAUUUUGGUUUUCACUAUAAAUACUCGGUAUAUAGCAAACUUAUAAGUGUUCUUGCGUAUAGAAAGAGUUCAUUCUCUCAGGAUGAUGAGCAGAUUUCUCUUACUCCAUUGUUUGAUUCUUAUUUCCUUAUUUAUCGCGGCAGCAACAGCCAACACAAGUUCUACUAUCACAGACCGAGAUGCUCUGUUAGCCCUGAAAGCUCACAUAACUCAUGAUCCGACCAAUUUCUUGGCCAAGAAUUGGAACACAAGUACUCCUGUCUGUAAUUGGACAGGCGUCACUUGUGAUGUCCAUAGCCAUAGAGUCACAGUCUUGAAUAUUUCAAGCUUAAAUCUCACAGGCACCAUCCCUUCUCAACUUGGGAAUCUUUCUUCUCUGAAAUCACUCAAUCUCAGUUUUAACCGACUUUCUGGUUCCAUUCCCUCUACCAUCUUCACCACGUUUACACUGACAUAUGUUAGUCUCCGUCAAAAUCAGCUCUCUGGGCAAAUUGCUGCAAAUAUUUGUAGUAAUCUUCCUUUUCUUGAAGUUCUUUCUUUGUCCCGAAACAUGUUCCAAGGUGGAAUACCGUCCACUCUAUCAAAUUGCACAUAUUUGCAAACAUUAGCUUUGUCAUACAAUAAUUUCUCGGGGACCAUACCUAUAGAAAUCGGCAAUUUGACCAAACUUAAGGAAUUAUAUCUUGGCGUUAACAGACUCCAAGGUGCGCAUGAUCACGGAGUUUCAUUAUGAAAGUUGUUCCAUAAGUUGUAAUAUGAAUAAUGUUCCAUAAUACAGUUUACACACGUUGAUUAAUUUGCAGGAGAAAUUCCGCGAGAGUUUGGCAAUCUUGCCGACUUGGAGCAGAUGUCGUUGGCGAUAAACAAUCUCCAAGGCAUGAUUUUAAACUUUUUGCAAUUUUAUUUUAGCUAUGCUUGCUUCUGUAUUCAUUCGCUUGUUCUUUGAUUAUGCGAUGAUUUAUUGUUUUUCUUUCAGAUAGAGAUAAAGCUCCAUGUCUCCCCUCGCUCAUUUCAUUCUUUAAUUUAUGCAGAUAAAAAUUAAAAAAAAAUGUUUUGUAAUUUUCUUUUGUCAUAUUGCCACUUCCAUUUUGAAGCUAUUCUUAUAUAAAUGAAGAGUAAAUUGUUAUUACGAUAUUCGUCAGCCAAUAAAUUCUUCUUUUUUUUUCCCCCCAAACACGAGUGAUCAAAUUGUUUGCGCAUAUAUAAAUGUACUUAAUUUGCAGGAGGUAUUCCACGGGAAUUGGGGAAUCUUACAAAAUUGGAGAUGUUACAGUUGUUCGAGAAUAACUUGACCGGUAACCUUCUUUACAAUAUAUAUACGAGACAUCUUCCGCUUUUUAUUAGAAAUUAUAAAUUCAAGUUAAAUCUUAAUUAAAAGAUUUCAAGUCUCCCAUUAUAAAUUCUCAUAUGAUGAUGUGUCGUUACCACUAUCUAACAUUAUUCCGUUUUUUAUUAGAAAUUAGUUUGUGUUAAUUCAAAAUUCUGUAGCAUUCAAAAAAUUAAAAACACGUGGAAUAAAUUGUUAAUCUUUCUUCUUUACUGAAUUUGGAUUUCCCAAAAAUAAUCUUGACAAGUAUGCUUCACUAAUGAUACGCAUGUGUGACAACUUCAUAAAAUAUUUUACGUGGAAUCACUAAUUAUCUCUAAAGAUGCCAUCAGUGAUACAUAAUUUCUUAACAAGCACCAUACCAAAAGAAAUCAACAAUUUUAUUAAUCUUAAAGAGUUACAUCUUCACUGCAAUUAUGACAUAAAUUUUUAGUCAUCAAUCGCAUAAUAUUUUAUCUUAACUGAUGAUGAUGUUUAGUCUUGGAAUUUAUAAUAUCUUGAAGGUUAGUAGCUUUGAAAAUAAGAAAUUGUUCAUUUGCUAAAAAGUUAACUUAGUAUUUAAGUUUUCCAAUUGAAAAUUGUGAAAAAAGCGUUGAGAACUGGCGCUCCAUGGUAUUUCAGCGGAUAAAUAUGAAAAAUAGGCUAGAAGAAAUUAUUUUACUGAAAUAAGAGUUAAAAAGAGAGGAGAAGUACAGUACUCAUGACUUAGGCUUGCUGUGUGUGCUUAUUCUACUUGGGCUUUGGGCUUGAUUACACAUGUUAUAAUAAUGGGCUUUUCCUUUCACCGCACAUCUAAUAAUUUCCUAACCUUCCAAUUAGGUUAUAGCAAUUUAAAUAUAAAUAAUAAAGCAUACUAAAGCUAGCAUUGAUGUAUGGAUGAGUGCCGUCAAAAGUGUAUCGGUUUUCAUGUAUUAUUUAUUCUCUGAAACAAAUCUGAAUACAAUUCUUUCAAAAUACCGAUGAAAUAGAACAUGAAAUCGGAAAUAUUUUAUUGCGAUGAGAAUUCGUAUAUUCAUUGUAGUAGAACAUAUAAAAUAGAGUAUAAAUUUAUUAUUCUUUGAAACAAACCUGAUUAUAAUUCCUUCAAAAUUAAGUUUGUCAUUAAAUGAUUUCUCAGGAGCCAUACCAAAAGAAAUCGGGAAUUUGACCAAACUCAAGGAAUUAUCUCUCUUCGGUAACAGGCUCCAAGGUGCGCAUGAUCACAGAGUUUAAUUAUGAAAAUUGUUGCAUAAGUUGUAGUAUGAAUAAUGUUCCAUAAUACAGUUUAGACACGUUGAUUAAUUUGUGUUAAUUCAAAAUUUUGUAGCAUCUAAAAAAAUUAAAAACACAUGGAAUAAAUCGUCAAUCUUCUAAUUUGGAUUUCUCAAAAAUUAUCUUGACAAGUAUGCUUCACUAAUGAUAUACAUGUGUGACAACUUCAUAAAAUAUUUUACAUGGAAUCACCAAUUACCUUUAAAUAAUUGGAGAUGCCAUCAGUGAUACAUAAUUUCUUAACAAGUACCUUAUCAAAAGAAAUCAAUAAUUUUAUUAAUCUUAAAAAGUUACAUCUUUACUACAAUUAUGAAAUAAAUUUUUAGUCAUUAAUCGCAUAAUAUUUUAUCUUAACGGAUGAUGUUCAGUAUUGGAAUUUAUAAUACCUUGAAGGUUAGUAGCUUUGAAAAUAAGAAAUUGUUCAUUUGCUAAAAAGUUAACUUAGUAUUUAAGUUUUUCAAUUGAAAUUUUUUUUAAAAGUAUUGAGAAUUGGCCCUCCUUAGUAUUUCAGCGGAUAAAUAUGAAAAAUAGGCUUGAAGAAAUUAUUGUUGUGUGUGCUUAUUCUACUUGGGCUUUGGGCAUGAUUACACGGUCGAGCACUUACACCUGUCAUAAUAAUAGGCUUUUACUUUCACCACACGUUUGAUAAUUUCAAAUUGUUUGCACAUAUGUAAUUUGCAGGAGCAAUUCCACGGGAGUUGGGAAAUAUUACAAGAUUGGGGAUCUUAGCGCUGCCUAAUAAUUUUUUAACCGGUAUCAUUCCUUCAUCUAUCUACAAAUUGCUUUUCUCUAUUAAAUUUGGAACUGUCAUUUAAUAACUUAACAGAUAACUUCCCUUACAACAUGUCUGUGUGACAUGUUUUGCUUCUCAAUUAAAAUAUUUCACGUAUUUCAUUAUAAAUUCUCAUAGGAUGAUGUAUUAUUACUACUAUUUAACAUUAUCUCAUUUUUUAUUAGAAAUUAAUCUGUGUUUAUGCAAAAAAAUUUAGCAUCUAAAAAAAGUAUAAAAACACAUGGAAUAAAUCGAAAAUCUUCCUUCAUUACUGAAUUUGGAUUUCUCAAAAAUUAUCAUGACAGCUAUCUUAGUGUCUUACUAAUGAUAUGCAUGUGUGACAGCUUCAUAAAAUAUUUUACAUAGAAAAUAUGAAAAAUAGACUUGAAAAAAAAUUAUUUUACUGAAAUAAUAGUUAAAAAGAGAGGAAAAGUACAGUACUCAUGACUUAGGCUUGCUGUGUACUUAUUUUACUUGGGCUUCGGGCUUGAUUACACACGGUUGAACACUUACAUCCCCUGACAUAGGCUUUUAGGGAUGAGUGCCGUCAAAUGUGUAUAUGCUUUUAGGUAUUAUUAUUCUUUGAAACAAAUCUGAUUAUAAUUCUUUUAAAAUAUAGAUUAAAUAGCACGUGAAAUCAGAAAAUAUUUUACUGCGAUAAGAAUUCAUAUAUUCAUUGUACUAGCACAUAUAAAAUAGACUAUAAAUUUAGUUCCAAAAUACAUUCUUAUCUUCAUAUAAAUUUUACAUUAUUAACUUAAAUUAAUAUUAAAAUAUGUUGUUUCUUUCACUAUCUUAUUUUAUUUACACAAUGAUGUGACUAUUGGAAUUAAUAUUUGUAUAUUUAAAAUACUUGCAUUUAUUAUAUUUUGAAAAAAAUUUAUUUACAAUUAUUUUAAACCGUUGGAAGUUGGAUUUAAAUUUUUGUAGUUAUUAAAGUCAAAGGGUAUAAAUGUAUAAUAGUCAAAAACAGAUUUGUAUGAUCAUUUUUCAAUGUAUAAAUUUUCUUAGUUAGUAGGAAAAUUAGAAAUUGUUGAUUUACUCAUAAAUAAAUUUAAUGUUUAGCAUUUCAAUUUUGGAAAACUUGAACUAAAUGUUGAUAACUUCGAAUCGGUCGAGCCGAGUUUCGCUUCCUUGACCCACGGACCCAUUGAAAGUUCUAUUCGAAUUGAGUUUCCCGGUGCUUAUAAAAAGCAUUUCUUUUCCUUGUCGUAGUAAUUUAUUUACAAAUGAGUUGAUUAGCAUCGAAGUUACCUGAGAGUCUGAGACCAUGCUAGUAGGAGAAAUUUGAAAAUAAAUUAUUUUACUGAAUUAAUUUAUUUUAUCUUGCUGUAACUGAAAUACUACUUUUUUUUUGGGCUGUCAUUUGGGCUUGAUUUCCUUUAAUAGUAGUAGCCACCGACUUAGGCCUUUUUUACUUCUCACCACACAAUUUGAUUUUUUAAUUCGUUUUAACCACAUAAUCUAUCUAUUUCUCACCUAUUGCUUACUUAAAUCGCAUACAUAUUUUACCUACUAAUUUUUAUAAAUAUUAGUCAAAUAUAUUUUAUUACGUUCCUCUAGUAACUGCUCCAAAUGUGUACUAUUAAUACUUAACCCUCCCUUUUAAUUUACCGUGCAAUUUAUCUAUCACUUAAGUCACAUAUAUAUUUUACCUAUAUUUUAACCCAAAAAAUAUAAAAAUAAAAGAAAGCAAUUUGCAUAUAACUAACAAAGCAUCGACGGUGUAUAGCAUUUCAAUACUUCACGAGUGGCUUUUCUUGUGUGUUAGUACUUGUAAUAAUUGUGUAGCGUAUAAAUGACAUUUUAUUAUUAAAGUGCAUCCAUUUUUAAAUAUUACUUAUUAUUUGAAAAAUAAACUGAAUAUAAUUCUUUUAAAAUACAGGGGAGAUACCACUUGAAAUUGGUAAUCUCCAAAAUCUGGAGGAGUUGGACCUUGGUCUAAACAAAUUAAUUGGUACUGUCCCAGCUACAAUCUUUAAUGUGUCAACACUGAAAUUACUUCUGCUUGAACAUAAUUCUCUCCUGGGAAGUCUUUCGUCCAUCGCAAACGUCCGACUACCAAAUCUUGAAGAGCUUCUUUUGUGGGGUAAUAAUUUCAGUGGCACAAUUCCUCGUUUCAUCUUUAAUGCUUCUAAGCUCUCUAUACUAGAGUUGUCAAAGAACUCAUUCUCCGGUUUUAUUCCCAACACAUUUGGCAACUUAAGAAACCUUAACUGGCUCUAUUUGAAUGAUAAUAAUUUGGCAUCUUCAACUCCAGAAUUGAGCUUUCUAUCCUCGUUGUCAAAUUGCAAGUCUUUAACACAUAUUGCGUUAUCACAUAAUCCACUAGAUGGCAUUCUUCCAAGGACGUCUGUCGGUAAUCUUUCUCAUUCUUUGAAAGAAUUUUACAUGUCCAAUUGUAAUGUUAGUGGCGGCAUCCCUGAAGAGAUCACCAACUUGACCAACUUGACAACCAUUUAUUUAGGGGGCAAUAAAUUGAAUGGAUCAAUUCCGAUUACUCUCAGCAAAUUACAGAAGCUUCAAGGUUUGGGUCUUGAAGAUAACAAAUUAGAAGGAUCAAUCCCAGAUAGUAUUUGUCAUUUGACUGAACUGUAUGACUUGAAGUUGGGUGGCAAUAAGCUUUUUGGAUCAAUCCCUGCAUGCUUCAAUAAUCUGGAUUCUCUGAGGAUACUGUCGUUGGGUUCCAAUGAGUUAACUUCUAUUCCCUUAACUUUUUGGAACCUUAAGGAUAUCUUGUACCUCAACUUUUCUUCAAAUUUUUUUACUGACCCACUCCCAUUAGAGAUUGGAAAUUUGAAGGUUUUGAUUGGAAUUGAUUUUUCGAUGAAUAAUUUUUCAGGCGUUAUCCCAACAGAAAUUGGAGGCCUAAAAGAUCUAGAAUAUCUCUUCCUAGGAUAUAAUAGAUUGCAAGGAUCGAUUCCUGAUUCAUUUGGUAAUUUGAUAAGUUUGAAGUUCUUGAAUUUGUCCAAUAAUAAUCUCUCUGGGGCAAUUCCUGCAUCUUUAGAGAAACUCUCAUAUCUUGAAGAUCUAAAUCUUUCUUUCAACAAGUUAGAAGGAGAAAUUCCUAGGGGAGGAUCUUUUGGAAACUUCUCAGCUGAAUCAUUUGAAGGAAAUGAAUUAUUAUGUGAUUCACCUAAUUUACAAGUCCCGCCAUGCAAAACUAGCAUCCACCACACAUCAUGGAAAAUUUCUCUUCUCCUGGGGAUUGUCUUGCCAUUGAGUACUACAUUUAUGAUAGUAGUCAUUUUGUUAAUCCUAAGAUAUCGACAGAGAGGAAAACAACCAUCGAAUGAUGCUAAUAUGCCACUAGUAGCAACGUGGAGAACAUUUUCAUACCUAGAACUUUGUCGAGCAACAGACGGAUUCAGUGAAAACAAUCUAAUCGGCAAAGGAGGGUUUGGCUCCGUUUAUAAGGCAAGACUUGGGGACGGGAUGGAGGUUGCAGUGAAAGUCUUCAAUUUGCAAUGUAGAAGAGCAUUUAAGAGUUUCGAUGUUGAAUGUGAAAUGAUGAAAAGUAUUCGCCAUCGAAACCUUAUCAAAGUUAUUAGCAGUUGUUCAAAUGAAGAGUUUAAAGGGUUGGUAUUAGAAUACAUGCCUCAGGGAAGUUUGGAGAAGCAUUUGUAUUCGAGUAACUGCAUUUUGGAUAUUUUUCAAAGACUGAACAUAAUGAUAAAUAUUGCAUCAGCUUUGGAAUAUCUGCACUUUGGUUGUUCAACUCCAGUAAUUCAUUGUGACUUAAAGCCCAGCAAUGUAUUGUUAGAUGAUAAUAUGGUUGCUUAUUUGAGUGAUUUUGGCAUCGCGAAGCUCUUAAUUGGAGAAGAUCAGUCUAUGACUCAGACGCAAACACUUGCCACAAUAGGUUAUAUGGCACCAGGUUUGUUCGAUAUAAAUAUUUUCUAUUUCUUGCAAACUUCCUAAUAAGUUAUUUAUGUUUCAUAAUCUUCAUUAGAUGAGGAAAUUAUUAUUAAUGAUAUAUCUUACUAUGUAAAUGUUGCAAUUCAUAGAGUAUGGAAGAGAAGGACGAGUAUCCACAAAUGGAGAUGUUUAUAGCUUUGGAAUUAUGUUAAUGGAAACUUUUACCGGGAAGAAACCCACAGAUGAAAUUUUUAAUGGAGAAAUGACAUUAAAACAUUGGGUUAAUGAUUGGCUACCCAUUUCCACUAUGGAAGUUGUUGAUGCUAAUUUGCUAAGUCAGGAGGACGUACAUUUUGUUGCAAAGGAGCAAUGUGUGUCAUUUGUCUUCAAUUUGGCUAUGGCUUGCACUGUGGAAUCUCAUGAGCAGAGAAUCAAUGCAAAAGAAAUUGUAACAAAGCUCUUAAAAAUUAGAGGCUCAUUACUUAGAAAUGUUGGAGGCAGAUGUCUAAGACAAUCAAAUUUAAAUUGAUUCUGCCCCUCCAUUGCUUGCUAUCCUUUUCAGAGACUUGAACGGUCAUCCUUCAUACCAGUUUUGUUGAUAUGUUUUGUUAUUGCUCUUGCUCAUGUUUGUUUCUCUAUUUCUUUAAUUUGCAUGCAUGUAUUUUUCAUUCUCUUUUAUGUCCUCCCCUAAUUAGACGUAUCCUUUUUAUGUUUAUUCAAUAAAGCUUCUCUAAUACUAUCGAGGUUCAUCAAAAGAAAAUUUUAAAUUAAUUUUUCUUUUCUAUGUUAGAUAAUGAAAUUCUAAUCUUCAUAGUGAAUAACUUCAAUAAUAAAGUGUAAGAGUAUUAGUAGUUAUGGUUGUUUUCUGAACCUGAAGUCAAGAGCAAUUUAACAGCAACAAACAAGUCUCUUGUAUUAUAGGCAAAAUUCUUUUCAUUAAUCUUAUUUGUCUACAUGUUCUCCUAUUUUCUCCAUUAAUCUUCGCUCAAGGUUUCAUGCUUCCUCUUUGAUAAAGAAAAAUAUACUUGCGAAUAUUUCAAUUUGACAUGAGAGACAGUUUUGCCAACCAUUUGAUAAAAUAGCUAUGAGUGGAGCUUUCAAUCAUUACCUCCACCAAAAUCCUUACAACGCCACUUUUAAAUUUUAUUUUUUAAAAUACAUUCAGUUUAAUUUAAAAAAAAUAAAUCCAUUUGUUAAAUUUAAUCUUUUUCUCAUAAAUUUCAACCUAAAAAAUAAAUUUCUUUUAAAUUUUUAUUAUAAAAUACUUACAAGUUCUAAACUAUUAAAUUAUUUUCUUCUUAUUAUAUUGUUUAUAUCUUCAUAACUCUAAACUCCUAUAAUUUCUUAAAAAACAUUUUUUAAUUUAAAAUAUAAAUAUAAAAUAUAGAAUGGAGUGAGUAUAAAAAAACUUGUUAAAAUAAUAAUUCUUUUAAGUAUUUAACUGAAUUUUAAAUUAAAAUAAGAAAUAAAUUAAUUUUUGGGAAAUAUUUAACCUACCCCAAAUAAAUUGACAUUUUGCACCGCGUCCCCAAAAAAUUUGAUUUGUUGCACCGCGCCCCCAAUUCCGUUAUUUUCUCAGUUAAGUUUAACUGUGAGACAUUAAAAUUGGAAGUUUAUUCCUUAAAUUACUUUUAAUGGGAAUUCUCUUUAUUGCAAUUGAAAUAAAAAUCUUAAAAAGUUAAAGGAAAAAUAAUUGUGGUGACAAUGUACAUGUAAUAAGAAAUUUUUUUUUAUUGCAAUUGAAAUAAAAAUCUUAAACAAAUUAAAGGAAAAAUAAUUGUGGUGACAAUGUACAUGUAAUAAGAAAUUUUUUUUAUUGCAAUUGAAAUAAAAAUCUUAAACAAAUUAUAGGAAAAAUAAUAGUGGUGACAAAUGUACAUGUAACAAGAAAUUUUUUUUAUUGCAAUUGAAAAUUAAAGGAAAAAUAAUAGUGGUGACAAUGUACAUGUAACAAGAAAUUUUUUUAUUGCAAUUGAAAUAAAAACCUUAAAAAAAUUAAAUGAGCUAAAAAAAUUUCAUAAAGAGGGGUAUUUUUGUCAUUCAAUCAAAAGUUAGACGGAACCGUUAGAAAUAACUGAAAAAUUAACAGAAUUGGGGGCGCGGUGCAACACAUCAUUUUGUUUGGGUGUGCGGUGCAAAAUGUCAAUUUAUUUGGGAGUAGGUUAAAAAUUUCCCUAAUUGUUUUUAUUAGUUAAGUAAUUUUCAAUUGAAAAAGAGCUUUAUGAGUAAUAUUAUUGAAAUAUGAUUAAAAUUCUUAUGAAUUAAACAUUUUCGUAUAAAUACUAGUGAUAAUUAUAGAGAAAGUACGAUGAAGUGAAAAAACUUAAAUAUAAAUACUCUAGUAUAAUUUUACACAUGCAACUUAUGAACCAAUGAUCUUUAGAGCAUCAUAAAAUUGUUUUAACACAAUUAAUUGGUUUGAAAAAUUGCCAAUAAUGUCUACAGUGGGAUUUAAAAGAUUAAACUACAUAUAUAAGACAUGAUAUCAUUUAAGACGGCUUACAGAUUAUGAGAAAUAUUUUGAUCUUCUAAAUAUUUAAUAUGUCAAUUAGACUGAGUCUAUGCAAUAAAAAUUUCAAAUAAAAAAACCUUUUAUUUUGUUUUAAUCAUAAGUGUGAUCUUAAUUAUUAAAGUCAUUUAAUGUCCAUUACUUAUUCAUUUUUUUAAUUACCUAAAUGACAUUGAAAACGCUACUCAAUAUUAAUUCAUUCAAAUGUUUUGUUUUAAGGUAAUCGGAAACUACAAAUGAAACAAAUACUUGAAAUCACAAACGGCCUAAAAAUAGAUUUUCAUUUUUCAAUGUUGCAGUGACUUUGAUCUUGAUAUUGAAAAUUUAUUUGUAACUUAUAUAAAGGCCUCAAUUUUAUCAUAAUUGGUUAGUAAGGCUAUGUAGGGAGCAUCGAUAAAUUUUGGGAUUGGAUUAUAUUUUUGGAAUUAAAAAAUUAAUUUCAUCCAAUGUUAUGUUUAGCUGUCAGGACUAGCAACUUAAUCUAAAAUUAUUGAAAUUAUUAAUCUUUUAUACUAUAAUCUUUUCGUUCCCACUUUAAAUAUUAUUGGUAACUUAAAUCAUUUUUUAAAAUUAAAUAUAAAAAUUAAUUUAAUUUAAUCUAAAAAUCAUUUAAAUUAAAUAUUAACAUUAAUUUCAUAAUUUUUUUACCUAGAAUUUUAUACCAUAUUAAAUACUAAAAUUAUAUUCGAUAAUGUAUUAUCAUUUAUUUAAGGGAAAAUAUCCAUCGUCCACCCGUUUUUUUCAACUUUUUCAAAAAUACACAAUUCCUUCUUUUUUUGGCUGGAAUCCACCUAAAGUUAAAUUUGUUUCACUUUUCCACUUCCGUUUGGAAUCCGUUAAGAAAACUAACAGAAACUUAAAAAAAUGACCAUUUUACCCCUUAAAACGAAAAUUACAAUUUCACCUUAAAAAUUGCCAAAAAUAAUCAAAUUAAAUCUAAUUAUUUUCCCCAUCAGUCAAUAAAGAAAUUAAUUGUACAACCAUCAAAUGCAGGUUUUUUUUUUAAAUAUGUCUGUAAUUAAAAUGCUAAAUUAUAGCAGUAAUAUUAAAAAUAGCCCAAUCUCGCAAACCAUCAAUUGAAUUUAAGAUAAGUAGAGUUUUAUUAUUCAUUGAGUUAUAAUCUCUAGUAGUUAAGAUUUUUUUAUACUUCAUUAACGUACCAAUAAUGAUAUUCAUCAUUAAAUCUAAUUAUUUUUGGCAUUUUUAGGGUGAAAUUGUAAUUUUUGUUUUGAGGGUAAAAUGGUCAUUUUUUUAAGUUUCCGUUAGUUUUCUUAACGGAUUCCAAAAGGAAGUGGAAAAGUGAAACAAAAUGUAACUUUAGGUGGAUUCCAGUCAAAAAAAAGAAGGAAUUGUGUAUUUUUGAAAAAAUUAUAAAAAAUGGGUGGACAAUGGAUAUUUUCUCUUUAUUUAAUAAAUGUUUAGGUUUUAGUAUGUUAUAUUAUUAUUUAAAUUAAUCUUGUAAUUUUAAUAUGGGCAAAUUAGAUAGUCCAGUGAAUAAGAGACUGAUUCCCAACCAUCCUAAGAAUUAGUCUCUCAUUUUUUAUUUCUAAUUUGAUGUGGGUCCUGUUAUUUCGAUUUCAAUUCUUACAUUUAUUUGUGAGACAAAACUAUGGUGCAACUGUGGUACAAUUAGAUCCAGCCACAGUUGUCACCAUAACUAGAUCCACAAUUACACCAUAACCGGGCCCUUAUUUGUGAAGUAAAAUGGUGUUAAUAAUUUUGAUUUCCAAUUCGAGAAGUAAACACGUCAUAAUAUUUUUUUAGAUGCUUCUAUGGCAUAAUCUCAUUGGGUCCAUUUUUGUUCACGCCUUAGAUUCAGCUUCAAGAUUCAAGACUCAAUUUGAAGCAAACACAACUACAAAACAAAUAUAAUAAGCGUUAAUAAGCCUGUGGCUGACUAGCUGUGGCCAAGCAAAUGUAACUCAUAGUGACCGAAUCAUAUCUUAUUAUCUUAUGCCAUAGGCAAAUGCUAUGUUACAAUUAAUGUAACAUACAUACUCAACAACAACCACACAAAUUGUGUGGGCUCAUCAUUUGUGUGGUUAUUAUUGAGUGUGUAUGUUACAUUAAUUGUAACAUAGGGGCUCCCUAUGCCAUAAGCUAAACAAUGUUCCCAUUCCAUGUGUCACUCUCUGACCAAUCCCGAACUUUCUUCAUAUUUCCAAAGAAACCCUCACCAAGUCAAGAUAAUUACUUUCACUCUACUCAUAUAAAUACUGUCCUCGAUUCGACUGAUGUCUGAUGACGACAUAUCCUUAGUCUUUAUUUAAAAGGGGAAAUUAUAAAAAAUUCUCCUUGUUCCCUAAAAAUCUAGGGUUUCUCAAGAAUCGCUAAACCUAGAUCCCAAUCCUUCAAAAUCUCAAUUUAACCUCUCUAGGGUUUCAAUUGUCGAGGAUUCGCUUCAAAAUUUAGUAUUUUUGGGGGAUUUUGCUUGUCUCGUAUCCUCCAAUUGUUGUUCGGUUCUGAAAAUAAUUUGGAAUUUUAGGGAUUUUCAGAUUAUUUGGUUUUGCUUGAGUGCAAUUUCCUCUAGUUACGGUUUCAGUUUGAAGGGUUAAGUGCGAUUUCGAAUAUUUUUAUAAAAUUUAAAUUAAAAUUCAUAAAACGAUUGGGCGUUUAAUAAUUAAUUGAUGGCUAGCGAUACUACAACGGCGGCCGCAGCUGCGGAAGAAGCAGAGGCGGUGGAGGAGUAUGAUAGCGAUCCAGAUGAAGUGAAACGCUCUCUUGCGAUGCGCAGAAGGGAAGCCAGCGAUGAGGAGGUUGAGGAGGAUAAAG
rnacentral:lncRNA from 1 species